rnacentral:lncRNA from 1 species
GUACCUUUAGUGAUGCUGUGGAGAAAGCCCAAUGAGUUGAAAAUGCGAGGUUACAAGUUAAGAACUUCUUAACCAAGAAAAGGAGAUUUCCUGGAAGUAGUUCGGAGCAAGGGGAUGAAAGUACGCCUCCUAAGAUUGGAAGGGAAAACGGGAGAGUACAACUACCGGGGAUAUCAAGUAGUGCAUCAGAGAAAGGCUCAAUCUCCGCUUCCCGUGGUCCCUAUGGGUAUUGUGGGAAGCCGAAUCACACGGAGGAUGUCUGCUGGAAGAAAGGAAGGAAAUGUCUGCGUUGCGAGAGUGCAGAUCAUCAAAUCGCUAAUUGCCCAGGCCGAUCUCGAGAAGGGAGUAGGAACCGACAGCCAACCACGACCAACCCUGACCAGUUGAAGGGGGAGAAGAAUGGAUCUAAGGUGUCGGCUCGGGUGUAUUCCCUAGAGCAUCAUCAAGUCCCUGAUCCAUUUGAGGACGUGGAAGGUAAGAUUCUUGUAUUCCACCGUUUGACCACUAGAAUGGUGUAUAAGAAUUUCAAUUUGAGAAGGAAGAAGAAACUAUACGAAAGAAUUCAGUGAACUUGGCUAGUGAAGGGAUACUGAUUGGUUAGCUAGGUACAGUGCUCAAUUUGAUUGUGAGAAGGAAGUAAUAAAAGUUUUGUAUCCCGGAGAAGGCGAUGAUAAGAAAUUUCUAGGACGAAAUUCUUUUAAGGGGGAGAGAGUGUGAGAACCCGAAAAUUUUCUGAAUUUCUAGGCCUUAUUUUCUUUCUUUGCACCCAUUUUCUAUAUUUUUGUUAUUAUGUUAACUUUAGAGAUAUUUUUAUAAGUAAAUAUAGUUUUUAAAUUAUUUUUCUAGUAUAAGUUAGUUCGUGAGAUAUUAGAAGUGUAUAUUGGACGUGGGAACCGCUAGUGGCGUUAAGUACGAUAAAUUCGACCAAUUAGAUUACGUUUUGUAUACCGGGAUUAAUUUACUAGGUGUUAAGAGAUAAUUAGAGGUUACUUAGAUGGUUUAAUCUUGGAGAGACAAGAGGAUAAGCUUGAACCAUUAAGAGUGCCAUGUGUCGCGACCCGAUUGGAUGGUUGACUUGCCUAACUUUCUUACCUUUACUAAAAGAACAAUUUUGACCCAAAAUCAUCUCCAAUUUUCAUCCUCUUGGCCGAACCUCUUAGGGAGAAAAAAGAAAGAGAGAUUCAACUUUCAUCUUCCAUUUCUUGCUUAUAACUUGAAAUCCAACCGAUUAAAUCUCGAAUUUGUCCACUAAAGUGACUUGCUAAAGGAGUUUCAAGGUCUUGGUGGAGUUGUUUCGGAAAGAAAAACCCUAAGUUAUCAUCUUUCUUGAGGUGUCAAGGUACUUUGCUUACAAAUUUCCUCUUUACUUCAAUUAAUUGAUAUGUAGUGGCUUAUAGUUGUUAUAGAUGCUACUUUGUGGAAGAUUUCAUGGAUUAAAGUGGAGUUAGCUAAAUUUCUGAUUUUUUUGGGGAUUUUUCUGUUUUCAUAUGAUGAUUAUGGUUGGCCUUGGAUUGAUGGUUCUAAAUUGUGUUAAAUGGAUCCCUUGUGCGUUAAUUGCGGUUAUUUGCGAAAAAUUUCAACUUGUGCGGAAAAUUUCAGUUUUAGGGUUCCAAUCUGCCCUGUUCUGGCCGGCUUUAUUAGUGUAUGUUAGAGGCCGAAUCAAGAUUAGAUUAAAACAUCAAAGUUGUAGAAAAUGAUGUUAACUAAUUUGUUAUAAAAUUUCAGCUCAAUUGGAGCACUGUAACCUAUGAAAUGACUGAAAUACCCUUGACUGCCCAUGAACCCUGUUUUGCGGACAGAUUUCUGUUUUCGUGGAGAUUUCCAUUUUUUAUCAUGAAAGUGCAAGAUUUGGCUUUGGAGGUCUUCAUAAUAAAUGUAGGUUUAUGUUUUAGUUUCGAAACGCCAUAAUAUUCGUUUCAAUCCGAUAAGUGUAGCUUCAGUUGUGCUUAUUGUGCCAAAAGGUGUAUUCUAUAGUCUGUAAUGUGUAUGUGGUUGAUUUGAGAUGAAUUGGUGUUGCUUGCAGGAUGGAAAAGUAAGGAAAUGUGGGGAACAUGCUGUCCAAAGUUUGGGAAUGUUGGAUUCCUUUGAGUUUGUUUUGGUUUGGGAUAUAUAUAAGAUAGGCUUUUGGGGUUGUUCGAGCCCUAGGUUUUCAUAUUACCUUUUUGUUCCCGAAAUCAUAUUUUGCACACUUGCAUGAGUAAUUAGUUGGCGAGGUCUAUGACUUGUAGUCGAGCCUCAUUUGUGCAUUUUAUUUACUAGAAUUGUGGCUAUAUGAACCAUAAUUGUUUACCUUGGCUAUUCUAGGGUUUCUUGGUGAUUAGAGCCCUACCUUGGUUGAAACUCUGUUUUAACUGGUGAGUGUACCACUCCCCUAAAUUGUUGUUUAAUUGGUUCAUCUAUACUUGAAAUUUGUGACAUGGAUAACUAUGAACUAUGUUAUUCUGAAUGAGACGUGGGUGUACUUUAUCACACUCGUUCUCUUGCCUGUACUAAAUGAACUGGAAUCUAUUACUUGUACUUGUUAUUUGAACUUGUUACUUAUGCUUGUUAUGAGAUCGUUUGGAAGUGUGUCCAACGAUCUUCCUGUUAACUUGAGCUCAACCUCAUGGAGAGUUAAUUAAGUCGAGCCAGCAAGGGCUUGGUCAAGGUAAUUGACAAUCCGUGGGUGCCUGUUCCUGGGGAAUCUUUGGGUAUUGAGACUCUUGAUUCCUGUAUACUCGAGUAUUACCAUUCUUGUUCCUGUUCGGCGUUCAGGCUCGGUAAGGGGUAUGUUUGGUGAACGGGAUUUUGCUGUAAGAGGGGUCUAUGGACAUGAGUGUGUCAUUAAACGUUGACGGAGAGUCAACGAGGCUGGAUCAAGUAUUGCAACUGGGAUUUGUCUCCUGAGGGCCACCUGUAUCCUUUAAAUUGUGGUGUUCAUUCAUUUCUCUUACUUGAUGUGUAUAUGUACCAUAAAAGUGUUUUCUCAUGAUUUCUACUGUUAUACUUUUGGUACCUCAUUGAGCUUCUAACUCACUCCGUUCUGUUAAUUUUGUUUUCCUUACAGGGAACCAUCUUUUGGACUUUUGAUUUUUGAAGAAUGAGUUGAGCUAGUUUAGAUAUUUUGUAUAGCUCCUCAAUGGUUGGAAACCCUAAUUGUACUUGGAUUCAAAUGUUUCCUUUUGAUUUGUAAAAAUAUGAAUGUGGUUUAUAAAAGCGUGUACUCAUGUUCAUGUGUUAUAUUUGGUUUGUAUAUGUCCAUUUCAAGGAUUAUAUGAAGUUACUUGUAUUCGAUUGGGUCCCGGUCGGAUUGUGACGUGGCAGGCACUAUUCACUUUCCGUUUCGAUUUUCAUUUUUUGUUUCGUGAUUUUUGCUUUGUUUAAGCGCGCUACUGUAUUCCGACACGUUUUGAGUUGUGUAUAACCGUCUUAGUAGUCCUGGCGAGAGUUGGGCAGGCGGUCCGCCGAACCCUUUGGUUCGCCUUAGGGUGAGGUGGGGCUGUCACACUCUCGCUUACACCCCUCCUCCCGUACCACCCAACCCAUCCCUCCGCCCCUUAUAGCUCAUUUAGUAUAGUGUAUAUAGAUGAUGUAUUAUUAUUCUCAGAAUCAUUCGAACAAUAUUUUAAGUAUUUAAAUAUUUUCUUAAAAAUCAUAAAAAAAGGACUAGUAGUCUCAGCAUCAAAAUUAAAAUCAUUUCAAACACAAAUAAGAUUUUUCUAGGUCAUGAUAUUCAUAAAGGAACAAUAAAACCCAUAAAUAGAGCAUUGGAAUUUGUAAAUAAAUUACCAGAUGAAAUUAAAGACAAAAAUCAGUUACAAAGAUUUCUAGGAUGCUUAAAUUAUAUUGCUGAUUUUUCCCUAAACUUAGACAAGAAUGUUCGAUAUUAUUUGAUAGACUUAAAAAGAAUCCUCAAGCCUGGACAGAUGCACAUACUCAAAAGAUUAGAUAUUUAAAAGAAAAGAUUCAUUCAUUACCAUGCUUAUGUCUUCCACAUCCUAAAGCAUUUAUGAGAGUAGAAACUGAUGUAUCAGAAUUAGGAUAUGGAGGAAUAUUAAACCAAAGAAUAGACAAUUCAAUAGAAGAAUUGGUUAGAUUUUAUUCUGGAACAUGGUCAGGACCACAGAAAAAUUAUUCUACUAUUAAAAAAGAAAUUUUAUCCAUAGUUCUUUGUAUAUCAAAAUUCCAAGAUGAUUUAUAUAAUAAAAGGUUUUUACUUUGAAUAGAUUGUAAAUCAGCAAAGGAAGUUUUACAAAAAGAUGUAAAAUAUAUAAUUUCCGAACAAAUUGUUGCAAGAUGGUAGGCUAUUUUGUUAGCUUUUGAUUUCGAAAUAGAAUUUAUUAAAGGAGAAAAUAAUUCCCUUCCUGAUUUCUUAACAAGUGAAUUUUUACAGGGCAAUGGAACAAAAGGAUAGAUUCACACAGGAUCAGUUUGUAAAAAUGAUCUGAAAACAUCUGGGUUCUAGUUUUGGUAAAAAAAACAAAAAAAAAACUGUUAACAGAUUCAUUAUUCCAAACAAUAGAUUCAAAAAGAAACCCUGUUAACAACCCGUCAAUUCAUUUAAUAUACACCUGAGUUCUAGCUUUGGUAAAAAAAAAACAAAAAAAAAAUGAAAGCCAGACUGCACCCAAUUGAGACAAAAACAAAUCAAAUUGCUAGUCAAAAUCCUGAACAUCCUGCACUACAGACCAGAAGCAAACUAUAGCCCUACGUUAUAAUCUGUAAUACCAGCUUCACAAUUGAGUAAUCUUAUGGGCAUGACAACCAAAUUAGUAAAGCUUAGAUUAGAAUCUAUUAACAUCAGUUUCAUAAAAUAGCAUUUACAGGGACAUAACACCAGUAAUAUGCAAAUAUUAGUUUAAUAACUAAAUAAGGGGACUUAAAAACCAAAUCAUGGAAUUGUAGAUUAUAAUCUAUAAUUAUCAGCUUCCAUACUAAAUAGCUUUAGAGGACAUAACCAAAUUAUGGAAAUGUCAAUAUUAAUUGGUUCUGAAUUUCCUUUAAAAAAAAUCAUGAAUUUAAAUAAAGAGCUAUCCAAAAGCACAGUCCAAAAUACAUUGCUUACUAAAGGAACAUACCUAGUUCCUAAAACCUCAUUUUAGCAACUAAUGACAUCGAUUUUAGCAUAUAGUUCAAAGCUAGCAUUCACUAAAGACCAUUAGAAAAAACUCCACUAUAAAUAAAAUGCUUAUUAAGUAGAAAAUCGAAUUCCACAACAAUUAUUUUCAAACAAAAAUAAUUCCUUCAAUCACAAAAAUCUUUCUAUAGGGAAAUUAAAGAGCCUUUCAAAGUUGAAAAUCCCCAAUAUAAGCAUUCGCCUUUAGCAAGGUAAACAUUCUCUGCACCAGCAAUUCAACAGGCUCCCAAAGCAUCGAAGUUCUCUAGCAAUUCAACAAGCUCCCGAAGCAUCAAAGUUCUUCAAAAGGCUUGAUGCAUUAUUCAAAAAAAUCCACAUAUACAAGAAAAGGUAAAGAAAUAUAAACAUGAUUGUCGUUUGCACAAAAAAAAGGGAGGGAUCGUUGCCAUAGACUAAUUAUAGAUAGCUAAUUACUAUCUUUCAAAGGAAAAAGAUCACAGAUUACUAAUUUAUUUUUUAAAAAAUAAAAGGCCAUUCUACAUCUAAGAUUGUUUAUUAUGUGAUAUGUGUUAGACUUUGAGAGUGUAAUGGGAAGUAUUCUUUUGAUUUGUUUGAUUGAGUACCUUGUGAGGACACACGAGUCUUUGCAGCAUGAUGUGCAGGUGAUAUACCAUUCUGGUUUUGCUUUGAGGUAUUUGUUACAUGAAAGGCACACUAUAUACCAUAGCCUUUGAUUGGUAUAAACAAGUUUUGGUAUUCCACUGACCCAAUAUGCUUUAUCCUACAGCAUUUGUUGAUUAAUUGUUAGCAAAUGGGAGCUGAGUGUAACAAACCAACAUUUAUGAAGGAAUAUGAGUUUGAUUUUAUUGCUUCCAUCAUAGUCAGCAUUUUUAUUGUUAUGAUAGCAUCAUCAAUGGGUGGAGGGAGCAAUUUCAUAUGAUCCCCAUUGGAGCGAUUAAGUACCAUCUUAAAGAUUUCAUCUUGAUUUUUUGAACACCUACAAUAAUGUAUGAAGCAAUAAUAGAGAUAUUAGUGUUAUGACUGGAAUGUAGAAAUGAAUAGAAGUGGCUAUAGUUUUUGUAGACAAUGGAAGAAAAAGAAAGUAUACCAUUUGUUGACUUCAGUAAUUUGUGCAAUUGGUGGAUUGAUGAGUAUGCCUCUCUUCGGGCGGGGCUCGUUUUAGCUUACACAGCUACAACCUUUGAUUUUUAUCUCUACUCACCAGAAUAAGGGCAAGAGCCUUUUGGAAAGGGUCUUCCUGUGACGACCCCACCUUCCCCUAGGGCGUACCAUAGGGUUUAGUGGACCGCCUGCCCAACUCUCGUCAGGACUCACUCACUUACUGAAAGAAAACAACUUACAGCCAUAGAAAGGAACUAGAAUAAUAAUUUCCAAGCUUAAAGUAUACAUUAAUACUUAAAUCCAGGUCCAAGGCUCAAACAUGCCCAAAUACAUUAAAAUCUUUACAAUCCAAGUUCAUCCAACCCUAGUCUAGCACUAGCGCGAAAACAAUCACAAAAAUUCAAAAACUAGACUAAGCUAGCCUGUACCAGUCUCACGCCUUGCUCGCACCCCCUGUAAGGAAGACAAAUGGCGUGGAAUGGGCUAAAAGCCCAGUGAGGUUCCAAAUAACAAGUUGACCAUUUUUAGAAGUACAAAUAUCAACGUAGCAAAUUAGCGAGUAUAACAAGUCAAGAAAAUGAGCAAUAACGCCUCAAGUAGCAAAUCUCAAAAUGAACGAGUGUAAAGUGUUUUGUUUUCAAAAGAAACAAGAAUCCAAUAAGCAAUAAUCAUGUCAAAGUAUAAGGAUACGGAUGGCUCUCAGGAGCCAAGUUCUCAUUGCUUCACCAAAGCUUGAUCAAAUAGUAGUUGACACUCCGUCAACUUUCAAGCUAAGUAACCAGUCCAGUAGAGCACCACUUAACUCCAUUCUCCAUCCACCAACCAAACCUCUUACCGGGCCCGAACUCCACAAUAAACAUUGGUGGUAAUACUCGAGUAUACCGAUUAGUCGAGGAUAUAACACUCCACUCGACAUCACUAACUACCCAUGGUUCGUUAUCUAAUCGACCAAACCCUUGUCGGCUCAACUCGAUUAACUAGCCAGUGGGGUUUGGAUCCCCAAGAUGUCGAUGAGAUAACAUCUUCAAUCGGCUGAAUCAAAAUAAAAGUACGAAGACGGGAAUGAGAGGCACCUCCCACUCGGAUUGAGUGUGGUACAUACUGCCGCUCCGCACUUACAACUCAAGUACAAGUAUAUCAAGUUAAUUGCAACAAUAAACAAGUAUAUACCAUCUUAGGACAAGUGCGAUAAAGUACACUCUUGCUCGAUCAAACAAAUCACAUAUCAUUUAUUUACAUUGAUCAAGUAUUGAAAAUAAGUGUCCAAUUCAACCAGGUAUUUGGAAGCACUCACCAAAAUGUAGUGCUUUUCAAAAAUCACAUUCAGGUCCAACUUCUUGGUUGGAGUCCAAAUCUGCGAUAAAAUAUCAUUGACAAGUAAAUGCAACUCAUUUAAGUAGUAUUCAAGAUACUUAUCAAAUCCCGAAAAAUUUAUGCUCGCUCGUUUAGUAUUGGUAAGGAAGCGGUUAAAACUUUAGAACUCCCAUUGGAGUCGAAAGAACGAGGAAAACGUAUUUCUAUUGAUUAUUACUUUCAUUUUCCAAGGGUACGAGUUUCCAGCAAAAUUUUAGCUUAUAUACCCUGACUAAAGAAAACUCGAAUACCAUAGGCGAUCCAAGUCCAACUUGACCUCAAAUCCCUAUUGAAGUCGCGAGUAUAUCUACCUAUCUCUCGAGUGCAAAUUUAGGCAGCACGCCCUUAUUUUUACCUAUUUUCAGCCAUUUAUGGCUUCAUUAUUUUCCUCAAUCAGCCCCCAAAAAUACACACAAAUAAUCUCAUUACAAUAGCCGUUCAAUAGGCUAAAAGUCAUUCAAUUACAAAACUAAGCUAGAAAAGUGAGCGAAAAUAAGGUUUAAGGCAAAAAACAAAAUGACAGGUUUGACAUCUUUUAGCGUAUUGGUCACAAUCGAAGCUAUGCUUAUUGGAUUUCAUUGAGUUUUAUACCUUUACGAAUCUAAGACAAAGGGCUACAACUUUCAUGAAGACCACUCAAUCCGGUUCACAAUUUAUCUAGGUAAAAAGUACAGAUUACAAAACCAGAAUGUCCUUGUCAGUACGGUUGUCAGUACUGAAUUCAAAUGAUGAUAACUCAGGCUACAAAAGUCCGAUCGAGGCGUUUCUAGGUGUGUUGGAAAGCUAGGACAUAUCACUACAACUUUCAUGUUUUGGACAAAUGCUAAUUUGAUACGGAUCAAGGUGAAAAAAUGUGGCCAGAAUGAUGAAAUGUCAAAACUGUCCAUAGAACUCUACCUAUGGCAGUCAAGAGUAUUUUUGUCAUUUUAUGUUCUACAGUACUCGAAUUGAGCUGAAAUUUUACAAGCAGAUAUAAAACAUCAUUUCCUACAACUUUUAUGUUUUGAGCUAAGCCCAAUUCGGCCUUCAUCAUGGCCAAAUGAAACUGGUCAGAACAGAGUAGUACAAAAACUUAAAGCUGGAAUUAAUGCAUUCAAGUGAUAAUCUUCUUAUUCAUGUAUAAAACCACUACUACCACUCCCUAUCUAAGCUUAUUCACAUCAUAUUCUAGAUAAAUAACACUAAUAAAAAUAGAAAAUUACAAACCCUAGGUGAAAAUUAUAAGUUAAUAAGCCAAACCAUGAAAUCUUCUAUACAAUCCACCACAAUCAAGCCAUGCUUUGCUUAAAUUGCAAAAUGAGAAAGAAACAAGGGAGGUUUCUAGUAUAAUACCUCAAAAUCUCCAAAAUAACUUGCGAUACAAGAACUUUCUUCCUCCCAAAAGUUCCACCAAACUCACCUCCAAGCUUCCCCAAUGAUUGAUCGGAGUAGAAUCAAGUUUUACGGUAAUUUUCUCAAGAAUCAAGCAAGCUCUCAAGUUGGAAAAAUGGAAAAUUGUCUCUCUUCUCUUUUUCCUCUCCUAAGUCACGACCAAGCAUGAAGAAAAUGAGGUGUUUUUGGUUCUAUUUUACAAGAUAAAGACUAAGGAUAGUCUUGGUCAAAGGUCUUGGUCAAAGGUUUUGGUCAAGACCUUGGUUGGAUUUUUGACAAAUGGCUUAAUCACAAAUAUUUCCACCAAAAUAUCUCUCUUUUUCUUAGUCAAUAAUGGUGGCUGACUUAAGGGUUAAUUAAGAGCUAAUUAGCUCAACUAAAACAAGGAGAUUAAGGUAAUAAAGUAGUAUUCAAGUGAUGCACUCAAUCGGUAACGAACGGUACAUAUCGGUUCAACCCGUUUUUUCUUAUUUCGCACGUACUAGGGUUUUCACUUACAAUUCAGUAACUUAUUCUUAUUACUUCUAAUCAUACACUUAAUAUCAUCUAAAACUCACUCUAAAUCACUAAAUUUGAUACACACUCUGUACCAAAUAAUUACACUACGAAAAGACGUAAAAACCCUAGUUUACCUUAAUGAUGAAAAUAAAGGAAAACAUGAGGGAUUCCAAAUAAAGGAAAACAUUGAGGAAGUGAAUGAGCAGUAAAAAUAUUGUAAAAUAAUGGAUUCCAAAUAAAAGGGAAUUUUUAAGAAAAUAUGAGGGAUUUUACAAGUCUUCACAAUCACACUACCAAAAUGCACACAAAAACACACACCAAAACCCUAGUAUGCACAAAAACCCUAAUUUAUGCCAUUCCUUUAGAAAAAUUAUAACUUGAGUUAUAAAUAUCAAAAAUUUAUAUAACUUGGCUUGUUAAAAAGUAGACUUCAAAUACUAAGAAUCUUUAGAAGACACCUCAAAGAGAUUUAGUUCAUAAGUUGGUCCAAAUUGAGCCAUAAGCUACUACAACAUUCCUAUGUUUACUCAUGUAGGGCAGAAUUUUCAGUCAACUUUGCCAAUUUUCUAGAAUUUAUAGACAUUGAAUCAAACUCUGAAUUUUACACCGUAGGAAGCCCUCUGAGUCUAGUUUCAAACGCAACAAACGAAACUCAAUUCCGACUUUCCUAUACGAAGUUAUAGUCAAUUUUCCAAAGCUGUGCAGAGCCUCCUGCGAAAAUUUCUAGAUUUUCUAACAACUUGAGAUUAUGAAACUUUUCUUAACAAAAUUCACUUCCUUGGCUCAAAUUCAACCAUUAAAGCAACCAAGAAUCAAAGGCAAGUGAGUUCACAUAAGGGUUAUAAAGACAAGUGAAUUUUCGGGGACUCACAUUUCCCUUACUCGGCAGUUUGUGACGGAUGUAGCUGUUGAACUUUGUAGACAAGUUGAAGGUUGUUAUACAAUUGAAGUUAGAAGAGUUAUAUGGCAAACUUUGAAAAAUUUGUGCUAUCUUUUGAGGUGUGAGAAUUAUGUAAACUUGCAUACUCACUGUGGUAGGAUGUAACUUUGACUCGUAAUGCUGCUGUUAUUGGCUGUGUCUGGAUCAUUUCAUGUGACAGCCCCACCUCACCCUAAGGCGAACCAAAGGGUUCGGCGGACCACCUGCCCAACUCUCGCCGGGUCUACGAAUUUGGAACAAACGGAAACCCUACCAAACGCUCAAAGGAACUUCGAGAAGAUAAACAUUUAGAACCCAAUUGAGCCGAACUAAAAGAUACAAUCAAUCUUUGGUACAACGUUCCCACGAAAAUCAAAACGAAAUAGAAGUGCCGCCAGGACUACUAAGCUAAUUACACCUUGAAAUACUUGUUCCGAAAGAUAAUACAGUGCUCGAGCACUACAACGACCGAUAAAAAAAACAAAACGAAGAACGAAAACAAGCCACUGAUGAACAGUGACUGCCACGUCACAAUCCAACCAAGUACAAGUAAACUUUGUCUAACAUGAGAGAAUGUACAUUCCCAAAUACAUAUGUCACAUAAACAUGAGGAAACACUUUAAAAUAUACAUAUUAGUAAGUUUACAAACCCAAAAGGAAACAGUGUACUAAGAUACAUUUAGGGUUUCCAAAUUGUCGAGGAGCUAUACCAAAAGAAUAAAAGAAUUUCUAACUAGCUCAACUCAUUCUUCAAAACAUCAAAGUUCCAAAAGAUGGUUCCCUGUAAGGAAAACAAGGAUAACGGAACAGGGUGAGUUAGAAGUUCAAUGAUGUACAAAAAGUAUAACAGUAGAAAUCAUGAGAAAAUACUUUUAGGGCACAUAUACACAUCAAGUAAGAGAAAUGAACGAACACCACAAUUUAAAGGAUACAGGUGGCUCUCAGGAGCCAAAUCCCCAUUGCAAUACUUGAUCCAGCCUCAUUGACCAUCCGUCAACGUUUAAUGAAACACUCAUGUCCGUAGACCCCUCAUACGCCAAAAUCCCGUUCACCAAACAUAGCCCUUACUGGGCCCGAACGCCAAACAAGAACAGGAAUGGUACUACUCAAGCAUACCGGAGAUCUAGAGUCUCCAAUGUCCAAAGAUUUCCCAGGAACAGGCACCCAUGGAUUGUCAAAUUUUAUCGACCAAGCCCUUGCUGGCUCGAUCCAAUUGACUCCCCAUGAGGUUGAGCUCAGAUUUAACAGGAAGGUCGUUGGAUGCACUUUCAAACGACAUUAUAACAGGCGCAAGUAACAGAUUCAAGUAUAUACAGGAAACAAGUCAUACAGGCCAGAGAACGAGUGCGAUAAAGUACACACUCGUCUCGUACAAAAUAAACAGUCGGUAACGACAUUCAAAUAGCAAUUUGCAAGUACAGAUAACCAGUUUAGCAAUGAUUCAGGGGAGUGGUACACUCACCAGUUAAAGCAAGGAUACUUCAAAAGUUUCAACCAAAGUAGGGCUCUAAUCACCAAGAAACCCUAGAAUAACCAAGGUAAACAAUUAUGGUUCCCACAGCCACAAAUCCAGUAAAUAAAAUGCACAAAUGAGGCUCGACUACAAGUCGUAGAUCUCGCCAAAUAAUUACUCAUGCAAGUGCGCAAAACAUGAUUUUGGAACGAAAAGGUAACACGAAGACCUAGGGUUCUAACAACCCUAAAAGCCCUUCUUAUAUAUAUCCCAAACCAAACCAAACUCGAAGAAAUCCAACACUCCCAAAUUUUGGACAGCAUAUCCCCUACAUUUUCUUACUUUUCAAUCCUACAAGCAACACCAAUUCAUCUCAAAUCAACCACAUACACAUCAUAGACGAUAAAAUACACCUUUCGGCACAAUAAGCACAACUGAAGCUACACUUAUCGGAUUGAAACGAAUCUUCUUGAAUUGAUAGUUACAGAGCAAAAGAGGAUACGGAGAUUUGUGUAGGGCCUUAAUGUAGAAUUACAGGAGGCUUUGGCGGCGGCCCAAAUCAACACUUUUACGGAGGUUUUGGAAAAGGCUCAGAGAAUAGAAAUCUCCAGGGCACAAGUAAGGAAUUUCCAUGCCAAACGGAGAGGUGCGCCUGGUGGAAGUCAAGGGCUGGCACAGAGUGAUCGAAACAUGCCCCCCUCUAAAAUCAGUCGUGGAGCUGGAGGUGGAAGGUUUACGAGUACACCCAGGGGAGGUACUCCGAGGGGAGCCCAAAGUGGAAGGGGACCCCAAAGUGGUAGGGGCCAAGGGAGAGGCAUUCCACAGGGAAGCCAGAUAUCCGCCCCUGAGUAUCAUGUGGGUAUUGUGGGAAGUCAAACCAUACCGAGGAUAAUUGCUGGAGAAAAGCUCGGAAAUGUUUAAGGUGUAGAAAUACGGAGUAUCAGAUUGCUAACUGCCCACUUAUCAGUGAUGCACAAUCGACUGGCCAAGUGAACCCAAAACCGACCAAGUAGGAGGGGCCAGGUUGAGGGUGCCAGCCAGAGUGUACUCUUUGGACCAGUGAUCGGUACCUGAGCCGACGGAGGUAGUGGAAGGUACUAUUCCUGUUUUCCAUCGUUUAGCCAAAAUUUUGAUAGACCCUGGUACCACCCAUUCUUUUGUUAGCCCCACCUUUAUGCUUGGAAUUGAUGUGAAAGCUGAAAGAUUACCAUAUGACUUAGAAGUAAGAACACCUUCGGGUAAUCAAACUUUGCUUGCGAAUGAGGUGUAUAGAAACUGCGAUAUUUGGGUUGGUGAGCGGAAAUUAGUGGUUGACCUCAUAAGUCUAACCAUUAAGGGGUACGAUGUUAUCCUAGACAUGGAUUGGCUAACUCAUUAUCAUGCUCGGGUAGAUUGUAGGAUGAAGGUGGUCGAGUUUUGCAUACCGGGUGAGGCAACUUUAAUGCUAGAAGUGAGGGGUAUGUUAGCCUCGUCUGCACUCAUUUCGGGGAUAAGAGCUAGGAAAUUUCCUAGUCAUGGGGCACGGGGGUACCUAACUUUUCUGGUCAACACCCCAAGAGAAAAGAUUAAAUUAGAAGAGAUGUCGGUGAUCAAUGAAUAUCUCGACGUGUUUCCAGAGGAGUUGGCAUCAUUGCUACCCGAAAGAGAGAUUGAAUUUAAGGUUGACUUAGCACCUGGAACUAUACCCAUUUCAAAAACCCCUUAUCAAAUGGCACCCGCUGAACUUAAGGAGUUAAAAGUUCAACUGCAAGACCUGCUAGAACGGGGAUUCAUACAUGAGAGCGAGUCACCAUGGGGUGCUCCAGUGCUAUUUGUCAAAAAGAAGGACAGGAGUUUAAGGUUAUGCAUUGAUUAUCGAGGAUUGAAUGCAGUAAUCGUUAAGAAUAAAUAUCCUUUGCCCCACAUCGAUGAGUUGUUUGAUCAAUUACAAGGGUUGUGGUGUUCUCUAAAUUAGAUCUUCGACAAGGGUAUUAUCAAUUGAGAAUUAGAAAGGAGGAUGUACCAAAAACGGCCUUUAACACUCGAUAUAGGUAUUUCGAGUUUGUAGUAAUGCCUUUUGGCUUAACCCGUGCCCCUGCGGCAUUCAUGGACCUAAUACAUCGAGUAUUUAAACCCUACUUGGAUAAGUUCGUGGUGGUGUUUAUUGAUGAUAUUUUAGUGUAUUCGAAGACAAGGGAGGAGCAUGAACAACACUUAAGAAUAGUAUUACAAACCCUAAGAUAGCACCAGUUGUUUGCUACAUUUAGUAAGUGUGAAUUUUGGUUAGAAAAAGUGGCAUUCCUAGGCCAUAUAAUUUCAAAGGAUGGACUUACUGUGGAUCUGGCCAAUGUGGAAGCGGUAGCUAAAUGGAAACGGCCAGAGAAUCCUACUAAAGUACGAAGCUUUUUGGGUCUAGCGGGGUAUUACUGCCGAUUUAUAAAGAAUUUCUCGAGAAUUGCUGGACACCUAACGAACUUAACAAAGAAACAAGGAAAGUAUAUUUGGGAUGUUAAGUGCGGAGUGGUUUCCAAGAACUUAAGAAGCAAUUGACCAUGGCUCCAGUGUUAGCUUUGCCCAAUGGGAAUGAGCUUUGCCCAAUGGGAAGGAUAGCGAUACGGUUUAUACCGAUGCUUCGAGGGGUUAGGGUGUGUUUUGAUGCAAAAUAGAAAUGUGAUUGCCUACGCAUCUCGGAAGUUAAAGCCUCAUGAGCAAAACUAUCCAACCCAUGACUUAGAGCUUGCAGCUGUUGUGUUUGCUUUGAAGAAAUGGCGGCAUUAUUUAUACAGGGUGACAUUUGAGGUAUACACGGAUCGUAAGAGCCUUAAGUACUUAUUUUCCCAAAAGGAGCUGAAUCUAAGACAACGUCGGUGGGUGGAGUUCUUAAAAGACUAUGAUUGUACGAUUAAUUACCAUCCAGGAAAGGCCAACGUUGUAGCAGAUGCUCUAAGUCGAAAGGCUCAACUAGCAAGUUCAAUAGUGGGAGAGUGGAGCUUAUUAGAGGAUGUAUGUGAAUGGAACCCUCGUCUGGAGCCACAUAAAGUUAUUUUUGGAAAUAUUGAGUUGAAGUCGACACUAUUAGAUCGGAUUAAAGAGGGCCAAAUGAAAGAACCGACGAUACAGAAGUGGGUGGAAAGAGUGAAGAAAGAAGAAUUGCCUAACUUUAACCUAGGUCCUGAUGGAAUUUUAAGAUUCUAAAAUUGCAUCGUUGUACCUAGGGAUGAUGAAUUAAAGAGGGAGAUUUUGGAGGAAUCUUACCGUUCUAGGUAUACGGUGCAUCCAGGUAGUGGUAAAAUGUACCAGGAUCUCAGGAGUUUGUAUUGGUGGGAUAAUAUGAAGGCGGAGAUUGCCCAGUUUGUACAAAAGUGCCUUACAUGUCAACAAGUGAAAGCUGAGGAUCAAAAACCGUCGGGUCUGUUACAGCCUCUAGAGAUCCCUGAAUGGAAGUGGGAGCACAUAACGAUGGAUUUCGUAUCAGGGUUACCACAAACUCAAAAAGGUCAUGAUGCGAUCUGGGUGAUAGUAGACCGAUUAACUAAGACCGCACAUUUCUUGCCAGUUAAUAUGAAAUAUUGUUUGGAGAAACUUGCCAAACUCUAUAUGGAUAAAGUGGUGAGACUACAUGGGGUACCAGUGAGUAUCGUAUCCGAUAGAGACCCCAGGUUUGUGUCUCGAUUCUGGCAAAAGUUGCAAGACGCUCUAGGAACUAAGUUGAACUAUAGUACAGCAUAUCAUCCUCAAACCGAUGGACAAUCUGAGAGAACCAUUCAAACUCUCGAAGAUAUGCUGAGAGCCUGUAUUGUAGAUUUUGGAGGAAGUUGGAGCCAAUAUUUAACUUUGGUUGAGUUCGCGUAUAACAAUAGUUAUCACUCGACUAGGGUGAUUUGUACUUGAAUUGUUAUUUUAGUGUGAAGGAGCUUUGUAUUUUGAGUUGAGCAUUAAUGUAUAUUAUAAGUUUGAAUUGUGAUAUUAUUUAUUGUUCUAUGGAUGUAAGUUAAUUUCUCGAGGUACGAGUGAGUGAGUCCUGACAAGAGUUGGGCAGGCGACUCGCUAAACCCUAGGGUACGCCCUAGGGGGAGGUGGAGGUGGUUACAGCUUGUUGUUAAAAUUUGCACACGAAAAUAGGGAGAAGAUACUAUAAAAUGUUUUACUUGAGAUUAUAGCCAAUUAUCAUGAAAUUUUUUAAAAUAACAUGAGAGUUUCAGCCCCUCUCUCUCGACUAGUAAAACAGAUUUUCCAGCGAUAUUACUUCAAAAUUUUCAACAAAGUUUCCAUCUUUUACUUGCUUAAACACCAAACACACAACAUACAUUCUAUCCAACAUGAAAUAUAACAAAUAACAUGUAAUUUCAGCAAAUAAUUGCACCAAGAAGCCACAAAUAAAUCUGUCAUUAGCUAAACCUAACUUCCAGCAAUUUGGCAGUUUAAAUACGAAACUUUCUCCACAAUUUCUUCAUUUUUCACUCCAACUCAACAUGCAAAGGGUAGUUAUCAUGCUACGGGGUAUCUUAAGCAGCAAUAUGAAAUUUAUAGCCAAGGAUUCGAAGAGAAAAGCUGGACCAAGCUCUAUUUCCCUCUCUCACCCAUGUUGGAAGAGCUUGAGCAGCAAUUAGCUUUAAAGACAAGAAAUUUCUCCAAUAAUCUCCUCAUUUCAUACUCAAAUCUAACAUGCAUGUUAAGACCAAUGUAUUAUGCAAUGUAUUAAGCCUUAAUGUAGAAGUUUGGAACCAAAAUUCAUAAAGGAAACUGGAAACUUCUUCAUUUCUUUCUCUCGGUUGAAGCUGGGAAAUUCCAGCAACUUUCUUUCAACAUUUCCAACCCAAUCUUCCAACUUUUCAUGAGUUUUUCAGCUGAGCAUCUUAUAAGAUUUAAGUUAAACAUAUUCCAUGCAUUCCUAACAUCAUUCUCCAAAGAAAACUCUGGUAACAAGCUGCAAUUCCAGUUUCAUCCUCUCGGUUAUUACAGUUUUCUUUGCCAACACUUAGUCAAUCACUAAACAGAAUUUUCCCUCAGCUAAAACUCAUUUUUCCUAGCUAAAAUUUAACAUGCAGUUUAAGUAUUCAAUUAUACUAGAUAAGUAAGAGAUUGUUGCAGAAUUUUACCUCCUUUUUCCCUUAGAAUCUGUAAUUGCAUACUACUCUAGUUUUCUGCUUUGGUUCCUCAAAAUUUUUGCACCAAACUCUCUCUUUCUUCUUUCUUGCUUCACUCUCUCUCGGUUGAGGUUGGUAGGUGAUGAAACUAGCAAGAUUACUCUCCCUCUCUUUCUUACAGUUUUGGGUUUGAAGAGGAGGAACAACUUCGUACUCAGUUUUCUCUCUUUUGCUCUUCACGGUAUUUGCUAUCAAAAGAAAUAGCUGAGUUUCUUCCUCUGUUUCGGUUUUAGCUUAAGAAACAUUGUUAGGUAUAGGGCUGCAAACAAGUCGAGUCGAGUCGAGUUUUGGCCGAAUCAAGUCGAGCCUUGACAUAAUUUUAGUAAACUCGAACUCGAGCUCGAGCUCGACGAGCCGACAAUUUCAAGCUCGAGCUCGAGCUCGAAAAAAAAAUAAUUAUUUUUAUUUUUUAAAAAAUAAAUAAAAUAAUAUUUUUUUCUUAAUAAAUAAUAAAAUAUUAAGGAUAUAUAUGUAAUUUUACUAUUAAAAUAAAAAAUAUAUAUAUACUUAAAAUAAAAAUAUAUAUAUAUAUAUAUAUAUAUACACUCGAGCUCGUGAGCUAACGAGCUUAAUAUAUUGAGCUCGAUUUCGAGCUCGAUUUCGACUCGAGCCAGCUCGAACUCGACUCGAGCUUGACUCGAGCGGCUCGCGAGCGGUUCGAUUCGUUUGCAGCCCUAGUUAGGUAUUAGGUUGCAUGGUAGAUUCAUUUAAUUUCUAGGGUUAAAUGGUCAUUUGGUUUUAAUUUAUUUACUUGCCAAGGAGUUGCACUUGUAUUAAUUUCAUGUAUUGUCUCAAAACUUUUAUCUUGUUCUAAUUGGUAUUCUCCUAAAAGAAUUUUCAUGCAUUAAUCUAGGGUAUCUCCAUACAUUCAAUUAUACAAAGUCAAUUAAACAUAUAAAUUAAUCGAUUAUAUGAUAUAUGCAAUAUCUUUGGUAAUAUAUGAAGAUAAAAAUAAAAAUAUAUAAUAUGUAUAUAUAUAUAUAAUUUCUCAAGCUCUCACAAUAGUACUGUCUAAUAUAGUAUUAAGGGCACAAUACCUUUAAGGGUAAAAUACACUAAACCUCUAUGUGGUUUGCGCAAAAGGCAAGAUAACUCCCUAUAAUUCAAAAAUCUCCAAAGAGCUAAAUAGACAAGUUAAUACAAGAUGUAAGCAUGCAUAAAUACUCAAAGCUUGUUAUUGGUGAUCAAGCAACAACAAGUGAUAAGCAUGCAUAAAUAGACAAGUUAAUACAAGAUGUAACAAUUGUAAAUCAUAUUUACUUCAUAUCAAGUAGCCAUAAGCUUCAUCUACUUCCUAGAUCUAGGAACUUAGCUACUUAUAUGAUAAAUGACAAGAAAGAACAUAGGUUCAUUGCAUGAACACAUAUUGAAUCACAAGUAAAAAAGAUAGAUAAAGAAAGUUUAGCCAAGAAGUGAAGAAACUCCCAAUGAUCUUCUAUUUCUUCAACAAAAUGAGUUGUACAAUGAAAUCUCCGAUUGUUCUCACAAAAUGUCUAGCUAGAAAGAACAAAAGUAGACUAAAGCUAAGUUCUAAUGCUAAAAUCUGAUGAGAACCCCUCUAAUGUCCUAAUCUCCCUUUUUUUAUGAUUCUCACAUCUCUAGUGUGAAGAGAGUUAAAAAGUGGUUUUUUAGACAAGACAUAAAGCUCCUUUUUUUUCUUCCAAAAGGUCUCUUGAACAUCUGCAGCCGAAAUUCUUGUCUGGAGUAGAGUUGAAAAUUAGUGUGAAAACUGAGCAAGUGGCUGAGCAAGUUGCAGAAUUCUGGCUACAAUACGUGACCUUGAAAUACGCGACUUCAGCUCGCGUAUUGACAGCUCGUGUAUUCAUCUCUGCGAAUUUAGCACCACUUCAACUAAAAUUAUCUCAAUGAUGGAGGCCAAACUAGUUCUUUGUGCAAAACAUGAAAGUUGUAACCCUUUGAGUUAGCUUUCCAAUUCUUUAAGAAUUAUCCAAUUUGGAACUCUGUGGACUGAGAAAUGACCCAAAAUACCCUCAACUAGUCAGAGUUCUGUUUCAGCUUUUGACCAUGCAAAUGUACUUUUGUAUUUUGACUUUUUGACAAGGAAAAUGACUGAACUGGACUUCGAUAUCUUCUUACCAAAUGUAGAUAUAUCUCUUAACUUUAAAAUGGUGUAAGAAUCACCUCAAUCCAUUGUGUGUAGCUCAAGAUGUAGCCAAAAUACCAUAAUAUGUCAAAACUGGAAAACUUGCAAUUCUUCCCUUGAUUAUUUUGCACUUCAUGUUCUAUUUUUAUCACUUCAAACCAUCAUCAAUCAUCCAAUUAUCUGCUCAAGUCAUGCAUUUGAUGAUUGAAUCAUUAAACCUACAAAAUCAUGAAGUUUUCACCAUUAAAAUCCAUAGAAAUGCAAUUUUUACCACUCAAACCACAAAAUGUAUAUUUUCACUAAAAUCCUAGUUAAUUAGCUACAAAAGUGACUAAAAUAUUCUGAAACUAACUAAUAAAACACACUUAAAAACACAUAAAAUAUAUACUUAUCAAGCCACCUUAUGCUUUAAAUUAAACUAGAAAAUGGAUGAAAACCAUCUAUAUUACCGAAAAAUUUUGAAAUGUCUAUACUGCCCUCUUUAUUUUUUAUUUUCUAUUUUUCUUCUUAGAAAAUAAAUACUUUCUUGGAUUACCAAAAGUAUUGUGGGCUGAAAUGAUAUUUUAAAAUAUAUUUUGUGGGUUUAGCAAAAUGUUUUGGGUUAAAGUGAAAUUUAUGAAAAUCAUCUUCUUCCCCAAACCAUCAAACUAAGAACUUAUUAUUAAACUCACCAUUAUCAUCGUUACACCACCACCAACUACCACUAUUGCAUGGCAAAUUUUGGAAAAAGCUAACAUCCCAAGCUCUAUUUUUAGUGUAGAUUACAAUUUUGAUAUCAGAGUUGACCAAAAGAUAACUCUAGAAUAGUUUAAUAUACCAUGAAUGGUAAUUAGAGCUGGUAAAAUUUUUUAAAAUUUCUACUAUCCACCACCAUAUGAAAUUCCUUUGAAAUCGCAAAAUACAACAAAUGUGUAAUUUCCUUUGUAUUGGAUUCAAGGCCCAAUUGUCACAAACCACCCAAUUGCUAUGAGGCUCAUCUCAUAAAAUUAACUCAAAACCACCUCUUUCCACCUCAUCUCAACCACUCCUGGAUGCAUGCAAAAUGGUAACCUUGUCACCACCAAUUUCUCGAAAUUGGUCUGUUGUAUAUUGCGAAUUCCCAUCAAUUUAAAAAUGAAGGAACCAUCCAUUCCCCAUCAAUUAUUUUUUGAGUCUAAUGGUAGAGAAUAGAAAGAAAGAAAAAAGAAAUAAGAGAGAGAGAGAGAGAGAGGAGAAAGAGCUUUUGUAGGAGAUGAGAGUUGUAGUGUUUGAAUAUGGAGACUAGAGAAUAGAAAUAAAAAAAGGGAAGAAAAAAAAAUGGAAGGGAGAGAUGAGAACUGGAGAAGCAACAUAACAAUACUCGGCACUUGUUGUCUAGUUUAAAGAAGAAAACGAUGGAAGGAAAAGAAACUAAAAAAAAAAAAAAGGCAAAAGAGAAAGAAUUAUAUAUAGUUAUCAAGUUAUCCUUCACAAGGCAAUUUUAUUAACAUAUUUAGUCUAUGUGGGAAUGCCAAACUUCCUAAUUGAAUUCAAUUGCUGACAUGGCGCCUCCUCAUUGGACAAUUGGUGGUAGUCUUCCAAUUGAUUCCAAAUUGAUGAGGUGUCGUCUUGUGAUUGGUCAAUUGGUAGUAGCCCUCCCAAUUGCACAUGAAAUUGAUGAUGUGCAUGUGCAUGUGGGAUUAUGCUAAAAUUUGGCCUCCUUUUUUGGCCCAACAAAACAAAUUAACAAAAAUUUGGACUCUUUUUUUAUUGUCAAACAAAUCACGUUUAAUUAUUAAUUUUUUGCAAUUAAUUGUUAAUCGCUAAUUAAUAAUGUCAUGUUUUUGGUCGCCCAACAAAUCAUAUUUAAUUAACAAUUUUUUGCAAUUAUUGACAAAAAAUUGGUUUCUUUUUUGUGGUCACCAAAAAAUCACAUUUAAUUACCAAUUUUGUUCAAAUGUUAUAAAAAUGUCUUUUUUAUUUUGGGUUGUCAAACAAACUCACAUUUAAUUAUCAAAUUUUUUGCAAUUAAUUGAUAAUUAAUUAAUUAAUAAUUUCACUUUUUUAUUGCCUAACAAAUCACAUUUAAUUAUCAGCUUUUUUGCAAUUAUUAACACUUUUUUGGUUGCCAAAUAAAUCAUAAUUAAUUAUCAAUUUUUGGCAAUAAAUCAGCCAAAUAGAUGAAUACCCAAAGGGAUUUGCCACAAACUUUUCGUCGUCCUCCUCUCCCGCAUCCAAUGCACGUGAGUCACCUAUUCUCUAAAGUGGAAGCUAUAUUUUUUGUUUUGGGUAGCAAAAACAGCAUAUGUCCAAAAAAUUUGGUGAGAUGAUGAGAAUUCAGGGUUCAAGGCUCGAGAAAGUUGAUUUUUUUUUAAUCAACUACUGCUUUUAUUGAAUUGCAACAGAGUGUACAUUGGGCACCAGCAGGCGGACAGCUAUCCAGAGAACUAUCCCGAAGGCACUACUGAAAGAUGGCGGACAUAGAAUACCUCCCUAGCGUCAAGAAGUAUAGACGAUCGGACCGCACCCGGCAGUUGCUGAUGCGACGUGCAAAAAAAAUCGGACCCCCAACGCAAAUUAGCCAACCUGUUGGCUGAGGAGUUUGCUUCCCUAAAGAUGUGCGACACUGAAAAGUCCAGCAAGGCUAACAGAUGGUGUAUCCGAUGCAGUGUGUUGCAUAAAGGCCACUUCGACACUGUCCCUGAGCGAAUCAACUGGACCAGAGGCUGAGAAUCCACUUCCGCCAGGAGUCCUUGGAUCUCCCGGUCCUGGCAAAGCUGGAGCCCCUGUAAUAAAGCCAAACCCUCUGCAAUGAGGACCUCCGCGUCCCCAAACUCCUUGUAAAAUGCAAAAACAACCCGCCCACUUGAGUCUCUGAGGAUGCCCCCCCAGUUGCCCUCCCUUGGGUUACAUUGGCAUCCGUGUUCAACUUGAAGCACGAAGGUGGAGGGCGCUUCCAUCACACCGCUAUAGAGCACCGCCGGCGAAUGGUUCGAGGCACUAGCUUCGCCCAUGGAUCCUCAGUGUCUCCCUGAAAAUGCGUGGCCGAGAGGAUCCCCGCUGUACCCAAUUGCCCAAUCAAGUGGUCCACCAUCUUAAUCACCGUGGGCCCCUCGAAUCGCGUGCCCUCAAACCUAGCAUUGUUUCUGGCUUUCCACUGACUCCAUUGGACACACAGCGGGACCACUGUCCGAAUGUGAUUCACCUUCCCCCCUAUGCUAGAGGAAGACCAGGCCAGUAGUAUAGACGAAACAGAUGAGAAUGUAGAGUCAAUAAUACCGAAUCUCCUUCUGAAGUAGCUCCAUACCUGGUCAGCAACCGGGCAUGUUAUGAAUAAGUGUCUCCACGACUCUUCCUGCUGCCCGCAGCAGAGGCAACGGGAGGCAACCGGGAUUCCAACGCGCUUGAGCAUCAUCUCCAGAGGUAGUAUAUCCCUAACAAGCCGUCAAACAAAGAAUGAAAUCUUCAGAGUCACCACACCACUCAAUAGACUUCCGAUGACUCCUGGCGUCGGCGUAUCGAGGUCCAGGCCGCUUUCAGCGAAAACUCGCCUGUUGUCAACCCCAGCCAAACCAUGUGAUCCUCUUGGUCCGGGAAGAUGUGGAAGUCGCCUAUCAAUGAGAUUACCCAAUCAGGGACCCACUCCUUCAGUCUAUCUAAGUUCCAUCCGUCGCCGCCAAAGAACUCCGCCACCAACAUAUGGGGAGGGUCGACCAUCGCAACAACAUCUGCCAGUGGGGAAUCCAAGAGCCACCGGUCGUGCUAGAAAUCUAUAAACCCUCUCCCAAUGCACCAUCGGAUCUGCUGCUCAGCUCUCUCUCGCACCUGCUCCAGGCGUCUCCAGGACCAAGAAGGCCUCGGUACCUGCACUCUAAUGGGAUGCCGUCCCCGUAUUUACUUAGCAUGCAUGAAUUGUGCUCAGAUAGACUCCCGCUGCCUCAACCUCCACCAAAGCUUACAGGCAAAGGCUGAGCACAUAUCCUCAAAAGACCUCAAGCCUAUUCCCCCCUCUUCCACCGGAUAACAAAGUUUCUCCCAUGCCACCCAAUGAAUGCCCGUGGCCUCCCUCGAUUUGUCCCAUAAGAAAGCAUUACAGAUCCUUCCCAAUUUAGCAAACACCGCCUUCGGCGGCUGCAACACCUGUAGAACGUACAUCGGGAUCGAGCGAAGCACAUGUCGCAGAAGUACCAAUUUACCUCCUGUUGACAGAAGCCGUGUGCUCCAGUGGAGCAAUCUGUCUCUCAGUUUUGCAAUGACCAAAUCAAACAGUAUGCAAGACAUCCGUCCCCGUGCCACGGGUGCCCCUAAGUAGUUGAGCGGGAAGCUCUGUCUCUGAAAACCCAGUGUCGAAGCCACUAGCGCACAUUGCUCCUCCGACGCCCACUUUGCAUUAAGGAACGAGCUCUUCCCAGCAUUAAUCCUCUGACCAGAGAACGAUUGGUAGCGCUGAAAGAUAUUCCCCAAAGCCUGUAGACUGUCGCUCGAACAUCUAGCAAAAACCAGGAUGUCCUCUGCGAAAGCCAAGUAUGGCACUCGGGAUCCUGCCGACACAAAGUACCUAUUCACCUUCUGGGCAAAUGACCUCUGCAGUGUAUGCCCCAAGAACUCUGCGACUAACAGGAACAGAGCCGGCGACAGCGGGUCGCCUUGGCGCACCCCUCUGGAGGAUUUGAAGAACCCUGCUGGCGAGCCAUUGAUAAGGACCGAGAACCAGUUGUUGGACAGCGUCCGGAAAACCAAAUCUAUCGCCCAUUCGGAGAAGCCAAACUGCCGCAUCAUAAAAAUGAGGAAGCCCCACUCCACCCCGUCAUAUGCUUUUUCCAUAUCCAACUUGAGCAUGAGAUUUGGCUCCCUCACUCUCCGAUCUAUAUCAAGUGCCAGUUCCUGGGCCAGGAGGAUGUUAUCAGUGAUCCCUCUACCUGGAACAUACCCAGACUGCCAAGGUGAAAUUAGCUUGGGGAGCAGUAGGUUAAGCCGGUUGGCUAGGAUUUUUGAGAUAAUCUUAGAGCUGACAUUGCAGAGGCUAAUGGGUCGAAACUCUUUCCAUUGGGACGCCCCUACCACCUUCGGGAUCAGCACUAUCAUGGCACUCGUGAAGGCCCGCGGCUGCUGAGCUCCCUUGAAGAAAUCCUGAACGGCUAACAGUAAAUCAGAAUGAAUGAUAUCCCAGCAUCCCUGGUAGAACCCAGCUCCAAACCCGUCCGGGCCUGCGGCACUGUCCACCGGCAGUGCAAACACCACCUCCUUUAGCUCCUCCACUGUUGGCAUCCUGAGAAAUAGCUUAUUCUCCUUCGGGCUCACCGUCGGUAGUGUACCGUCUAUCACUGGUGGGGAUCUACCCUCCCGUUCAGUAGAAAAUAGCUGCGCAAAGUACUGAGCUACGGAGGCCUUGAUUCCCUCCUCGUCCUCAACCCACUGCCCGUUCUCCCCUUUCACCUGAGCAAUGAAAUUCAUGGACCUUCUCUGUUUGACCAUUGAGUGGAAAAAUUUCGUGUUUGCAUCGCCCAACUGAAUCCAUUUAACCGCUGAUUUUUGCUUCCAAUAUUCCCCCUCUAAGGCGAGAGCUCAGGCGUGACGGGCCGGGGGCAUUCCCGAUGCUGCUCUCGAAACUGGGUCCUGCACCAAGUCGUACUCCUGUUCCUUCUGCUGUAAGUCCUUCUCUGCCUCGCUCACGUUCUGAAAUAGACUCCCAAACACUUGCGCAUUCCAACUUCGAAGGGCCGCCUUGGUCUGUGACAACUUGCCAAAAAAGCCCACCAUUCCGCUCCCCGACACUGGGGUCCUCCAAGCCUCCCUAACUACCUCUAAGAACUUAGGGUCCCUCCUCCAUACGUUGAGGAAUCUGAACGCCGAGCCACGCCCCAUUGAACUCCCACACUUAAUUAGUAAUGGGGCAUGGUCCGACCGCCCGUGCAUUAAGUGGGAAACUUUAGUGGUCUGGAAUAGUUUCCCCCAGGCCUCAUUCACUAAGGCCCUAUCCAAGCGUUGCCACAAAGAACCGUUUGUCCAUGUGAAAGCCGAGCCAUCAAAACUGACCUCCGAUAGGCGACAGUUAAACACUAUGUCAUUGAACUCCUCCAUGUUACGCAAGUUUGGGGGGGCUCCCCCCAGCCUCUCCUCUGCCUUGGAGAUGACGUUAAAAUCCCCCACAACCAUCCACGGCCCGUCCAGCCUCCCGGCAAUCUCCUCAAUUGCCCUCCAUAGGGCUCUCCUCCCCACCCGUGUGCACUUUGCAUUUACUGCUGAGAAGUGAAGAGUGGUCCCAACCCAUGUCGCCUCCAUAUGGACCAAUUGGUCCCCCCAUUCCUCGAAUUCAAGUGUUAAAGUCUCACUCCAAAGGACCCAGAUCUUGCCUUCCAAGAACGCUUGGGCUCUAGAGAAACACAGACGUCGGGAGAUAAUGUCGAGUUGUCCAACGUCCGUCAUUGGCUCCAGCAAAACCAACAAGCAAACAGAAUACUGUGAGCAUAAUUUCUGGAGGAACCGUUGAGACGCAGCCUGGGAGAUACCCCGUAUGUUCCAUACCAUUAUAAAAAUUGACCUAAUCAUGUGGAUGUGGAAGAAGAAGGAAUUUGUGCACGAAACUGCUGCAGCUUCUUGGCGUAGUUUGUGGGCCUCCCAGAUUUCCUACCCAGGUUGUUGAGAAGCUCAACAUCCUUGGCAUCGAUGACCGCCCCGCGUGGGAGAUUAUUUUCCAGCAGCUCAGCACGACGAAUACGUUUUUCCAACCCACCAUGAAAGCUCAGGUUUCCAAUUGACACCCUCGGACCAAUGCCGCGCUCCAACGAUUUCCUCCUGCCCCCUGUCUUCACGCGCUGCGCUGGGGAGAGCCUCCCCACCGAUUGACUUCUGCCAGGCCAGGAUUUAAGGUCUGAACCAGCUCCCCUUCCAGGUCCCCAAGUGCCGCAAAAGCAUUUGAGAGGCGAGCUGCCCGUGCUUGCUCGGUAUCUCCCAUUGCCUCAAGGACUGGCAGCUGGGCCGAGGGAGGGGCCGCUGGAGAGCUUCCAUCUAUCACCUCCUUAGACCGCUGCCCCCCGUGAUCAGCCUCUAGCUCCUCUCGCAAAAUCCCCUGCCAUUCCAGCGUCGGACAGGCGCUUGCGGCUAGAUCAUCCUCCUUGCUUCUCCGCAACCCAGUCUGGUUGUCACGCUGGUGAAGCUCCUCCCCCGCUGUACAAAGCCCGGAGGCACCUCCAAGGACUGGGUCCGCCACAGCCACCGCUUCAGCCUCCUUCGCCCUCCUCUGUACGUACACCCGAGCAGGUUUCGAAAUCUCAGCGUGAAGCGGCGCUGGCUUCAAUGUUGGAUGUUUCUUCGCACAACCAUCUUCCUUAUGGCCUACACAAACACAGAAAGGACAGAAGGCAGGCCAUGAUUCGAACUCUACCCGUUGCCAAAACCCAAAGUCCUCGUCACCUAUCCAAAUUCGCUGAGUCGGCGGUGCCGCAACAUCCACCUCUACCAAGACACGGGCCACUGAUGGCCUGCGCAGUUCACCCGUAGCCGCAUCUAGUUUUAAGAACCGACCCAACGCCGACGCAAGCUUCACUAACUGACCCUUCGCGAAGAAAGGCAGGAGGAGCUUUGGGAAGACUGCCUAGACCGGAACAAUGGAGCUCUCCUGGUUGGCCCUGAACUCCAAGGACCAUUUAGAGAUGACCAUAGCAGCAAUCCGGACAUACCAUGUGCGGCGGCACAGCAAUCGUGUGUAAUCUUCUUCCAACGCUGGCCGCAGGAGGACAUGUUUCGCAUCCAAAAGCCCUACUGGACAGUCCCCCUUCAAUCCUUGUAGACACCAAAUUUUGAGUGAAAUUUCAUUUACUAUUUAUUUUUUUAGUUUUUAUUUGUCGUGCUAGGAUUAUUCACUUUUUUAGUUUUUAGUUCUUAUUUUAUUAUUUUAUUUUUAAGUUUUAGCAUAGAAUUUCUCGGAAAAAAGGAAAAGCAUUAAAAAAUUAUGCUUUAGUUGUUUUGAUUUAAAUUCAAUGUUUUCUUGGGAAAAAUAUGAAAAAAAAGAGGGGAAACCCGAUUGCGGGUUUUGUGCUAUUUAAGAAAAAACAAGAAAAAAAGGGAAAAAAAGGAAAAAGGAAAAAGAAAAUUAGCAUUUCAUCUUAUCUUUUAUGCUCAGUUUUGCUUGAGUUGUUAUUUUCCUUAUAUUUUGUUUUUAUUGAAUUAUUAAAAAAGACAAAAGACAAAAAAAAAAAAAAAUAGAGCCGCAUGCAGCGGCGUGAAAACCAUACCAUUUGAUGGCUAUCGGAUGGCCUGGGGUUGGAGAGAAAUCUCCUCUUCCAUCCUCACCCUUGAGGUGAGGGUUUGUCUGGUAUAAAUACAAGGAGAACAGCAGCCGCAACACAGAAGGGGAUUGCAGUUGACGGCCGAAAAAAUCAGAGGGAAAAUGACGGCUGGAGUUUGAGUGUCAGGACAGCUUUGAGAAAAAACGAGAGGCAGAGGUGGAGAGUGUUGAGAGGUAGUUGGCGGCUAGGGUUGAUGAAAAAGAAAAGCUGCGGCUUUGGGGAGAAAGAGCUAAGCAGAGUUGGCGGCUGUGGGGGUAGAGAGAAAAAACAGAAAGGCUACGGAGAGUUUCUUGAAAGGAGCAAAGUUAUGGAACAAGAAAAAAAAAGCAAGAGGAAGACCGUGACCAGAAAAAGAAAAACAGACGAGAGGGAGCUGGGGAGUUCGAAAAAAAUGAGAGAGAAAGCUGGAGAGGAGGAAGGAGAUCUGAACCAGAAAGGAAAGCUUCAGCAAGAAAACCAGAAAAGGAAAAACGCAGGGAAUUCCUCUGCGAAACCCGCAACAAAGCUGAUCUUUCAGCCUGCCUUCGCAAAGAUCUUCUUCCCCGACCCAGCUUUAUUCGUGAAGCCAUCAAUUUCUGCUCAAUCUGCAAAGGGAUGGGAGCGAUUUCUGUCCAGGAAAGCACCACUGGAGGCUCGUCAAAUUUGGCCACAAACUGGCGCCUUCAUUAAUCUUGGAGCAUCAGCGACGAAGCUUGCGUUUUCCUUUCUUGAAUCAGAGCGACUUCCUGGGGCGUUGUACAUUCAUAUUACCCCUCUAAGGUAACCACGGGUCCUCCUUUUUGAUAGUCUAAACACCAUUUUUUAUGAGAGUUCAAAUCCACAAGACAUGAGUCUUGCGUUAUUUGCUGGCUGUCAAUGUUUUAUGGUCAUGGUUGUGACUUCAUCGUUCAGAUCCUCAUGAACAUUAGUUAAGUACUGGUUUUUUCAAUCAUCUGAUGCAUUUUCGUUAGUCUCUGAUGGGUUUUGACGGAGGAAAUGAGAGGGUAAUGAUGAUAAUCUUGCAAUUAUGAAUCAAAAGCUUAGUUCUUUUUCCUUCCUAGUUUCUUGUCAAUAGCUCUCGACAUGAAUUGCAUGACCUUGGCUGACUGCAACAAUGAUAGCAGAGUUCUUUUUUUUUUUUUGGGUUGCUGAAACUUUUGGUCUAUCUGAAGCUUGAAAUCUGCUUGUUGUUUGAUUGUGGUAUCGUGCAUGAACUUGCCGCAAGUUCUCUUCUUUCUUUCCUGCAUUUCCACAGCUAGUAGCAUGCUUGGAUCUUUGGGGAAUGGACAAUUUUGUUGGGGGUUUUGAAUGGGUUUUGAUCAGUUUGCUUGACCUUUUAUGGUGAUAAAUUGGCAAAUGGUUGGCUUUUGUUGGAGUUCAUGCGCGUAAAUGGUUGCUGUAUUGUUCAGUGUCGGAAAUUGAAAAAACAGCAACCAGAAAUAUUGUUCAUGAGCUUUUUGUGCAUUUUCUGGUGAAACACGCAUGGUUUGAAGCUGCAAGAACCUGCAGCGGAAAUUCGCAGAAGUAAAGAAGGUUUCAGCCUUCGUUGCAUGCAUGAAUCUAUUUUUGCGUAUUGCACUUCAGUCCCUCUAAAUUACCCAUAAUGCUGCUAUGACCUAAUCAAUUGAAUAAUUUCCUCAAUUUGGUCCUUGGCAGUUUUAAUUCUACAACUUCAUUGCUUGUUGCUUCAAUUAAUUAUCAUGCUUUGUUUAGAUUGCACUUAAUGCAUGAGUUUAAAAACUUUGCGUCCAAGUGAGCUUGUGUUUACCUAUUCUCUUUAAUUUUCCCAAAUAAAUUGGUACCUUGACCUUUUCUUUUAUUUUGGAGGAUAAAUAAGUGAUUUCACUCCAUUUAGGGCAUCAACUCAAGGGAGGUAUAACUUCUUUUAUCUUUUUGUCUCUCCCCUAUUGAUCCAACGUGCUAAAUGAGAAUUGCAUGCCUACUUUGCUUUCCUUGCUUUUCCUUAAUUCCCUUCAUUUAUUUCAUUUUCAUUCACUUUUGCUUAAGUCAUCCUUUUAUUUAUUUAUGGGGUAUGUGUACACCUCUUGGCUUGUAAUAGAUAGGGCUUGGAGAGCAUUUUUGUCCAUUUUCCCCCUUCCUUUUUUGUUUUAGUUAGCAAAUGUAAUAGGUUCAUUAGCUUGAUUGCUUGCCUUUGUUGCUACGUGUUAAUUUGCUUUAUUAGGCUUUUGCAUCUAGUCGAGCAUGCUAAGUGUUAUGUGCUAUGUGUUUAUAUGUGAUUGGCAUGUCUACUUGCUUUCUAUAGUCAUAGAUGAAUAUGAUGGAUGAAUGCACGUCACCACACUAGUCCAACGCUAGUUGUAGCUCAUGGUCCCGUUUUCCACUAGUCCAACGCUAGUAUGAAUUCAUAGAUAUGGGCUAGUCCAACGCUAGACCCUUAGGGAUUCCCCUCGCUAGUUCAUACUUGCAUGUUUCACUACAUUUCAUGCAUUUUUCUUAGUUUUCUAGCAUUUGGCAUGCCCCUCCAAUCCUUUCCCUUUCAUUUUAGGUUUUUGCAUCUUCAUGCUAGUUAUAGGGUACAUUUGCUUGAGAGUCCCCUUUCGAUAAGGGAAACGAGCGAGUGUGGCUACAAAAUAGCCUUAGCACGCUAGUUCUUCCUUCUAAUCAAAAGGAAAAUUAAAGUCGUGAAAUUAGGAGUCAUUCCCGUACCCGACUUGAUGCAUUCCUCUAGGUUCAUGCACUCUCAUUCUUAUCAUAUCACUUCCUCACUCUUUUAUUCACAUUUUCUCACAACUUAUAUUUUUCUCAAUCCACAUGCCAUGUUUGCACAUUUUCCUUCUCUUAUCAUUUGUUUUCUACCUCACAAAUUGCACCCAAUUGCACUUAUAUGUAUCUACUAUUAUAUUUUCAUCCAUUUGCACACAAACACCUUUAUUUUCCCAAUUUGCACACAUGCACUUGUCUUACAUUCGCACACAUGCACGUUUUCUUACAUUUUCACACUUACACUCAUAUUUGAGUCUUCCUUUGCAUCAUUCGCGACCUCUAUGAGGACUUUCCUCAUUGGCCACCACAACUCAUGUGGUUGGGACCAAAAAGCCUCGUAAGAGGCAUUUCAGAUUUAGGAUUGCAUUUCUUUUUCAUAUCCAUUAGUCAUAUCCAACAUGCAACGCAUAUUUUGGGUAGAAGAAUUAGGAAACGUGGGGCUAAAUCGCGCAACUAGCUUUGGCUAGGGUAAGGGAGUGCCUUAGGCUUUGCCUUUGCCUUCUCCCUUAUCAAAUGUGACCCCCGAUCCCUUUCUUUGGUUACGUAGACCUAAAAGUUCUUAAAAAGGGGUUUGUUUACUUUGCUUUUCAAAAAAUCAUUUUUGGGUGACUUGGUACACCCUAACUCUAUACCAAGUGGCGACUCCAUUUUCCAUUCAAAAACCCUUUUUUGAACUUUGUUUGGCCAAAUCGUCGCAUUUUCAAGUCCCACGGCCUUUUAUUUUCAUUUUUACACACAUAUUCCACACACUACUUUCACACCACUCAAAAAGUGGGGCGCGACAGUUGGCGACUCCACUGGGGACUUCCUAAGUGGGUCCAAGCAUUUGAUUUAAGCUAUUCUUUUCCUUUUUCUACCUUUUUUAUGCAUAGCAUUUGGAUAUUAGGAUUGCAUUUUUUUCCUUUUUUAGGAUUUUUGCAUCUCGCGCGUAUCAACUCACUUCCUCACACAUUCGCCUACGAUUGUUUUGAUGGAUGGAUGGUUUAUUUAUAUGAUUCCGCGCUUUGCAUUGCAUUUGGGUGGGGAUAUUACUCUAGAGCCUCGCGUUGGUUCUUGAUCCCUCCCCUCCUAACGAGCACUAGCAUACGUGCAUACGCUUUAAUUUUUCACCCCUCAUUUAUUUUUCUUUUAGUGGCUUGUCACGCCACUCCACCCUAUUAGGAUUUUUAGGUGACUCACUUGGACUUGUGAUCGCGACACGAUGUGUGCGUAGCAUGAUCCGAGGGGUCACUCAAUCUUCCAUUUUAAGCUUUGGGCUCAUAGCCUUUAGCUUUUAGUCGAAGGUUGAGGAUUUGCGAUAGAUUCACUCAUGACAUGUAGCCGUGACACGAUGUGUGCGUAGCAAUAUCUGGGGAAUCGCUCGAGCCACCGACAAAGAACCUUGGGAUUGAUGACCCUUGGUUUCCAAGUCUGAAGGCUCGGGGACCUAAAACCUAUCGAGUCUAGAUGCAUUAGUGAGCCCCAGCCUCAUGUAUCCAUGAUAGUUUACCUAGGGUAGAGUCUGCCUUACCCUAUUAGGGACACUAUUCACGAGGGGAGGGAUCCAACCCCUCUUUGCCUUUUAUUGCUUUAUCUCUUUGUAUUGCCUUGCUACAAUGUGUUAUUUGUAUUUAUCUAUUGAACUAACUUUUCUUGGUUUUGUGUCUCCAUUGCAUUCACAAACCCUAACAAAUAAGAGGUCUGACAUGACCUUCUUUUAGAACCUACCCUUGUAGAUAGGCUGUUGCACGUUUAAAGAUUUUGGUAUAUUGCAUUCAUGGAUUAAUAAUUGCAUAUCAUUCUAGGCCUACCUUGGCGUAUAAAGGGUCCUUUUAGGUCAUGACAUCAUUUAAAUUGUAUGUUUUAUCGCUUUAAUAAACUAGCAUCAUGCAUAAACCCUAGAAAGGGAAUGCCAUUUAGGGGAUCCCGCGCUAGGAAUAAGCCACCUUAUGUCUCGGAUACUUAAUCCAAGGAGACUUGCACGUUUACAUUUUGUACCAUCCAAAGGGGUAGUGCACAAGAUAAGGUAUGAUCCGAUCAUUUUCAUAGAGCAAUCUUUGGAAUAUGAGCGUUUAAUAAUCACUUUUUGGCCAUUUUAUCAAAUUGGUAAAAAUCCCUUGCAAAAAGGACAUUAAUUUGAAGAAAUUCACAAAUCAUUCCUCGCUAUUGAGACGAUAAAUAAACUGAGGCCAAAAUUUGAUUUUAAAAGGCUCAUAGACUAAUGCAUCGCAAUAAGCCGUCAAUUCCAUUCAGUCCAUUGGAUCAUGUUAUUCACCAAUUACAUCCAGUCCAUUUUAUCAAUUUGUUCAUUUUUAGGGCAACCUAGUCGAUUUUGGAUUCAUUUGACUAGUUUAUCCAUUUUAGGGCAAUCUAGUCAAUUUUUGAAUAAGAUCACCAAUUUCAUUCAAUUCAUUUGAUUAGUUUACCCAUUCUUGGGUCAACUCAAUCAAUUUUGAAUAAAUUCAAAUCAUCAGAUUCGUUCAAUUUCAUUUGACCAGUUUACCCUUUUUAGGGUGAUUUAGUCAAUUUUCCGAUCCAUUUGACCAGUUUACCUAUUUUUAGGGCAAUCUAGUCGAUUUUGAAUAGAUCACUAAUUUCAUUCAAUUCAUUUGAUUAGUUUACCCAUUCUUAGGGCACUCUUAUCGAUUUGGAAUAAAUCAUCAAUUUCGUCCGAUCCAUUUGACCAGUUUACCUAUUUUUAGGACAAUUCGGUCGAUUUUGAAUAAAUCAUCAUUUCACUCGAUCCGUUUGAUCAAUUGAUUUCAUUCAAUUCAUUUGAUUAGUUUAAUUCAUUUUCAGGGUUAUCCAUUCAAUUUUCAAUAAAUAAUCAAAUUUCAUUCAAUGCAUUUGACCAUUUUACCCCUUUUGCACAUUAUGUGUUGAUCAAAACAAGCAAUUCAUUCGGACUUUGUCCUCAUUCUUCGGACAAGUGUCCCCUUCCCACUCCAAUUGGUCAAUUUUUCAAAUUAUUUUUUCGCUCCCUUAGUUGAUCGGACUCAUCAGGUAUUGUAUGAUGCCUACCCUAGAGGAUUGCAUCCUCAUUCUAGGCUUACCCUUGGCACAAAAAGGGCUCCCCCAUAGGACAUGCAUACCGAUUUUACAAUUUUGCUUACUAACUCUGGGUAUUUUUCUUUUAUUUUUUCCCCCUUCCCCUGCAUUCAUAAAAAUGUUCCAAUAAAGCGGAAAUAUUUUUUCUAUAAUCUGAUAACAAUUUUGAUCCGAUAAAGUCUGAAAGGUAAUACCUGAUUCUUGGGCAGACCUUGCAAUGAAAACAUGAAAGAUUCAUCUGAAAGCUCUAGGCUAAAGUCUCUGAGAGACUUUAUAAUUGUUUUUCAAAGGAAAAUUCUGUUUAUACAUUUUGUUCCAAAAGAAAUGGAGACAAAAGUGUAUAUAUGUAGAGCUGUUUAGAAGUUUUUCUCUUCUCAUUUGUAUUAUAAUUGAACGUGAAUUUUUGUUUUAAACUUUUUCAACAAUAAAGCUUCAGACAAUUAUUUGUUUUGUAUAUACUCAUGUACAUUUCAUUCUUUAUUGAGCUCAUUAAGAGAUUUCAUGAUGAAUUUUAAGAAAUAAGCUCAAAUUGAGAUUUUUCAACCUCCUGCCUGAAUAUUCACACUAGAUUGGUGAUCUGAACUACACAAUAAGAGUGCUCAAAAUUAAAAGAGGUCACUCAAAAGACUCAAUGCAAUACCUCUUUCUCUUUCACUGUACAAUUCAUAUUUUUGCCCACUUCAUUUAACCCCAAAAUAAAAUCAGUCACAUUGAUUGAUAAAUUACAAAUUGGGGCAAUCUUUGCUUGAAAAUGCCCACUGUGUCUAAUCUAGUUCAAUCCACAUCUAAGUGAAAGUAAAAAUGUGCAUUAUUCUUAUUUGUUUGGAAAAUUUGGAAUGAUACUUCGAGCAUUCGUUUCUCUACCUAUACAGAUUUUAUCAUUUGCUCUCCUAUUUGAGCCUUAAAAAGAAUAAUUUCGUUUCAAAUAAGGGCCUUAAUGAUCACUACCCUACAUUGGGAAGAUUUUCAAAAGGGAAUGGAUUCUCAACGAGCAAUUCGUUUACUCGGUUGUCAUGAGGCGUAAGAAUGAUACUUUGGCCAUUGUUUCUGCAACCUAAACACCAUUUAUCCCUUGCAUCCUCAUUUGAGCUAAAAUUGGUGUUUCUUUUCGAGUGCACAUAUGAUCGCACCCCACAUUGGGGAAGGAGAUUGGGGAAUUUUGAAAAAAAAAAAAAAAAGAAAAGGGGAAAGGGAACCGCGAAUUGGGGAAAUUUGAUUCUACCUGGGUAUCAAUUUUAAAAAGAAAAGAAAAGAGGGAAAAGGACAAGUUCUGUCCGGUGGAUCACUUAUGUUUCAUAGAUAUAAAUGAGCAAGAGUCUUCCUCAGUCAAUUAAUUCAGAUACAUGCAAGAAAUUUCGCAUUAAUGAAAGUUUCCUUUCAGAGUUAUUGUAAAGGACGGAACAAAGGUCAGGCCCUCUUCUUUUCCAAUCAAACAUUCUAUCCCUGGUUAUCCCUUUUGAGCCUUCAGAAUAAAUUAUUUCGUUUGGCAACCCCUGAGAAUCGCAAACCCCACACUGGGGGCAAGUUUGAGUUGAAAAAGGAAAAGUCUCAAGAACUGGAAAAGUGAUAAUGCAACAAAAUCAAAAACAAAAGAAGAAAAGAGAACCUCAGUGCAAAAAUAAACUGGGGCAAAUUUCAAAGAAUGGCAAAAGGCCGAAAAAUCAAAAGAAGAAAGAAAAUGAAAGAGAAAAAACCUCAAUUGAGCAUAAACUGGGGCAAAUUCUGAUUUAACCCUAAAAUAGGGUUGGCGCAACAAUGCGAUCUCAGAUUCUUCAAACCACUUUUGAAAUCCGUUUUCAAGCCUUAACUUUUCUAAGCACCCCACCUGACCCCAUUACAAAAGCCAAAAGUCCUGACUUCUGUUCUUUGCAAUGGCCCUGUCAAGAAAAUUUCUGAUGCCGAAAAUUUUAGCUGUAUUUCUGAAUUGCUUGGAUAUGGGGUUGACGCUACUCACCAUGUGAAAACCCACCAGGUCGAGAAGGAAAAGAAAAGCGAAAAACAAAGCAAGAAAAGUAAAUGCGAAAAAAAAUCGACUCUGAAACCCCUGGUGAAUGAUGAGAAAAUGCAAACAAAGUCUGAGAUCUUUGAGUUCAAAAUAAGGGCAAUUUUGGGAAAAAUGCGAUGUUCGGUGCAAUGUCCUUGAAAGACUUAUCCUUUAACUAUCGUUUCAAGCCACAUUACAAGCUAAUAAAGUCCAUCGCUGACUUAUUCCUUCAUGACAACCCAAAGUGAGGAUUAUGCUCAUAAGAAAUCCAUCGAUCACUCAUGAUCAUAAGGGUAUAACCAGUUUUCGCAUGUUUAGCUAUCGUUUCUACCCAUUUAUUGCAAGCUUAAAGCUUAUAUGUUGACUCAAUUUUCUUAAGAAAUAAGGGUGACAAACUAUUUGCUUUCACUAAGAUGUGGUAUUGAAGGGAUUACAUACCAUUUGGGCACAAGAAUAAGACAAAUCUUGACCUCCCGUUUCCAAAUCAGACAUAACGCCCACUUGAUUGGUCCUAAAAGAGAGCCAACAGGAAAUGGUGACCCAUUACCCAAAACACAGAUGCUAAAAGUGAGGAAGAAAUCUUCUGUAAUUUGGUAUUACUUCAAGAAAUUCAUCAUGAAAUUUUCUUUCUGGAAACAUAGUUUCUUACAGUGUUCAAAUAAAUGGAAAGUCAUCCAAACAAGUUUUUGCAAUUAAAUGGCCCAUACUGGGGCAAAAUUUUGUUUAUAAGAUUUCGUGAAAACAAGCCCGCACAGGGGCAAAUAUUUGUGUAGUCCAAUUGAGGAUUUCGUCAAAGAAUCAAAUAAUGCAUUUUUCAAAUCAAUCACGCUGCCCUUUUCAUGCAAAUUUGAGUGCAUGUAAGCCCCAUGUGCAGGUAUUCAUAGUUGAAAUCGACGAAAGAGCAUCUGGUGAUGUGGAAGGCCGAUGCCGAAGAAAGAGAAGAAAGAAGGGAAAAGGGCCCUACACUGGGGGCAAAUUAUUUUUGAAAAAGAUUCUCUCGAAAAAUCAGAAAAAUUCAAAAGUCAAAAAUCAAAAAUCAAGUUCAAAUUUUUGUUUCUUGGAAAAUCAAAUUUAAUUUCUUGUAUCUUGACAAAUCAAAUCCAAUUUCUUGACCAAUUGGAUGGCAGGACUGGGUCUUAUCCCACUGACCAUUCACAAAAAUCACGUUGGGCUUGGUUUUCGUGCCACCAACUUCACAAAUGUCACGUUGAGCCUGGAUUUGGUGCCGCCAACAUCACUUUAUCACGUUGGGCCUGGACUUGGUGCCGCCAACAUCACUUUAUCACGUUGGGCCUGGAUUUAGUGCUGCCAACUUCACAAAGAUCACGUUGGGCCUGGAUUUGGUGCCGUCAACAUCACUUUAUCACGUUGGGCCUGGAUUUGGUGCCGUCAACAUCACUUUAUCACGUUGGGCCUGGAUUUAGUGCCGCCAACUUCACAAAGAUCACGUUGGGCCUGGACUUGGUGCCGCCAACAUCACAAAAAUCUCGUUGGGCUUGGAUUUUGUACCACCAACUAAGGCAGGUUCGGGUUUAAUCCCACUGACCAAUUCAUCACACUGGGGCAAAUCUUGGAUAAUUUUUCAAGCAAGUCUUGUACAGUCUCUUCAUACAUACCAGUAUUUCUCUUAUACUGCCACUAGCCGUUGGGUCAGUCCCACUAGUGAGCACUUUAUUUUGCAUCGCCACUAGCCGUUGGGACUGGUGCGCGUUUCUUUUAUUCUGCCACUAGCCGUUGGGUCAGUCCCACUAGUGCGCGUUUCUUUUAUUCUGCCACUAGCCGUGGGGUCAGUCCCACUAGUGCGCAUUUCAUUUGCAUCGCCACUAGCCGUUGGGUCAGUCCCACUAGUGCGCGUUUCUUUUGCAUCGCCACUAGCCGUUGGGUCAGUCCCACUAGUGCGCGUUUCUUUUAUUCUGCCACUAGCCGUUGGGUCAGUCCCACUAGUGCGCAUUUCUUUUCAUCGCCACUAGCCGUGGGUCAGUCCCACUAGUGUGCACCAUGAUUUAAUUUUAUUCAGGUCAGUCCCAUGAUUUUAACUUUUAUUCGGAUCAGUCCCAUGAUUUUUAAAUUUUAUUCGGGUCAGUCCCAUGAUUUUAAAUUUUGUUCGGGUCAGUCCCAUGAUUUUAAACUUUAUUCGGGUCAGCCCCAUGAUUUUAAAUCUCUUGUUCGGGCCAGUCCCAUGAUUUUAAAUUUAAUUUUUAUUCGGGCCAGUCCCAUGAUUUAAAUUUUGUUCGGGUCAGUCCCAUGAUUUAAUUUUAUUCGGGUCAGUCCCAUGAUUUUAAUGUUUGUUCGGGUCACUCCCAUGAUUUAAAUUUUCUUGUUGGGGUCAGUCCCAUGAUUUUAAUGUUUGUUCGGGUCACUCCCAUGAUUUAAAUUUUCUUGUUGGGGUCAGUCCCAUGAUUUUAAUGUUUGUUCGGGUCACUCCCAUGAUUUAAAUUUUCUUGUUGGGGUCAGUCCCCUUUCAAAUUUCUUGUUCGGGUCAUUCCCGUUUUAAAUUCAUGUUCGGGUCAGUCCUGUCUUAAAUUCCUGUCCGUUGGAAUCAUUUUGUGGUCGAAUAACACAGGGAAGUAUUUGGUGUCUAUUUCUUUGUCUCAAGUUUUUCCAAAACUCAGACAAAGAGGGACAAACUGUAGACACCAAAUUUUGAGUGAAAUUUCAUUUACUAUUUAUUUUUUUAGUUUUUAUUUGUCGUGCUAGGAUUAUUCACUUUUUUAGUUUUUAGUUCUUAUUUUAUUAUUUUAUUUUUAAGUUUUAGCAUAGAAUUUCUCGGAAAAAAGGAAAAGCAUUCAAAAAUUAUGCUUUAGUUGUUUUGAUUUAAAUUCAAUGUUUUCUUGGGAAAAAUAUGAAAAAAAAAAGAGGGGAAACCCGAUUGCGGGUUUUGGGCUAUUUAAGAAAAAAAAAGAAAAAAAGGGAAAAGAAGGAAAAAGGCAAAAGAAAAUUAGCAUUUCAUCUUAUCUUUUAUGCUCAGUUUUGCUUGAGUUGUUAUUUUCCUUAUAUUUUGUUUUUAUUGAAUUAUUAAAAAAGACAAAAGACAAAAAAAAAAUAAAUAAAUAAAUAGAGCCGCAUGCAGCGGCGUGAAAACCAUACCAUUUGAUGGCUAUCGGAUGGCCUGGGGUUGGAGAGAAAUCUCCUCUUCCAUCCUCACCCUUGAGGUGAGGGUUUGUCUGGUAUAAAUACAAGGAGAACAGCAGCCGCAACACAGAAGGGGAUUGCAGUUGACGGCCGAAAAAAUCAGAGGGAAAAUGACGGCUGGAGUUUGAGUGUCAGGACAGCUUUGAGAAAAAACGAGAGGCAGAGGUGGAGAGUGUUGAGAGGUAGUUGGCGGCUAGGGUUGAUGAAAAAGAAAAGCUGCGGCUUUGGGGAGAAAGAGCUAAGCAGAGUUGGCGGCUGUGGGGGUAGAGAGAAAAAACAGAAAGGCUACGGAGAGUUUCUUGAAAGGAGCAAAGUUAUGGAACAAGAAAAAAAAAGCAAGAGGAAGACCGUGACCAGAAAAAGAAAAACAGACGAGAGGGAGCUGGGGAGUUCGAAAAAAAUGAGAGAGAAAGCUGGAGAGGAGGAAGGAGAUCUGAACCAGAAAGGAAAGCUUCAGCAAGAAAACCAGAAAAGGAAAAACGCAGGGAAUUCCUCUGCGAAACCCGCAACAAAGCUGAUCUUUCAGCCUGCCUUCGCAAAGAUCUUCUUCCCCGACCCAGCUUUAUUCGUGAAGCCAUCAAUUUCUGCUCAAUCUGCAAAGGGAUGGGAGCGAUUUCUGUCCAGGAAAGCACCACUGGAGGCUCGUCAAAUUUGGCCACAAACUGGCGCCUUCAUUAAUCUUGGAGCAUCAGCGACGAAGCUUGCGUUUUCCUUUCUUGAAUCAGAGCGACUUCCUGGGGCGUUGUACAUUCAUAUUACCCCUCUAAGGUAACCACGGGUCCUCCUUUUUGAUAGUCUAAACACCAUUUUUUAUGAGAGUUCAAAUCCACAAGACAUGAGUCUUGCGUUAUUUGCUGGCUGUCAAUGUUUUAUGGUCAUGGUUGUGACUUCAUCGUUCAGAUCCUCAUGAACAUUAGUUAAGUACUGGUUUUUUCAAUCAUCUGAUGCAUUUUCGUUAGUCUCUGAUGGGUUUUGAUGGCGGAAAUGAGAGGGUAAUGAUGAUAAUCUUGCAAUUAUGAAUCAAAAGCUUCGUUCUUUUUCCUUCCUAGUUUCUUGUCAAUAGCUCUCGACAUGAAUUGCAUGACCUUGGCUGACUGCAACAAUGAUAGCAGAGUUCUUUUUUUUUUUGGGGUUGCUGAAACUUUUGGUCUAUCUGAAGCUUGAAAUCUGCUUGUUGUUUGAUUGUGGUAUCGUGCAUGAACUUGCCGCAAGUUCUCUUCUUUCUUUCCUGCAUUUCCACAGCUAGUAGCGUGCUUGGAUCUUUGGGGAAUGGACAAUUUUGCUGGGGGUUUUGAAUGGGUUUUGAUCAGUUUGCUUGACCUUUUAUGGUGAUAAAUUGGCAAAUGGUUGGCUUUUGUUGGAGUUCAUGCGCGUAAAUGGUUGUUGUAUUGUUCAGUGUCGGAAAUUGAAAAAACAGCAACCAGAAAUGUUGCAGUGAAAGGGUAUCAUAAAGGAGAAAGCUACAAAGCUAGUAAUCCUAUUCUGGGACUCAUUUUUUACAUGUUUAGAUGUUAAAUUCCAGUGGUCUUACUAUCUAGAUUAGAGCUUUGAUGUUUAGUGGAGAAAGUUUGAUUAAAGUGUGCGUUUGAAUCUGAAGUUUGGGUGCGAAAGUAAAAUGGUAGCAAGUUUGAAUUGCAGCGAGCAUCUUCAUGGGUUGCAUGAUGUCGCCUCGAAAAUCCUUGUAUGGAUGUCCAGUACCUUGGUUGUUUUAUGGUCCGGGUUCUAGCAUGUUUCAUUGAAUGUUUUGACUUGAUGUUCUGAGCGGAGGUUAAGGAUCUCUUCUGUUUCAUUCCUUGUUUUCUUGCUUGGGUACUCUCUGUUGGGAUCACUAAUGAUAGACAAGUAUGCUUAAAUUAUGAUAAAAUUGACAAUUCGGGAUUCAUGUGAGUUGGGUUGGCAAACGAUGAGCUUUUUGUGCAUUUUCUGGUGAAACACGCAUGGUUUGAAGCUGCAAGAACCUGCAGCGGAAAUUCGCAGAAGUAAAGAAGGUUUCAGCCUUCGUUGCAUGCAUGAAUCUAUUUUUGCGUAUUGCACUUCAGUCCCUCUAAAUUACCCAUAAUGCUGCUAUGACCUAAUCAAUUGAAUAAUUUUCUCAAUUUGGUCCUUGGCAGUUUUAAUUCUACAACUUCAUUGCUUGUUGCUUCAAUUAAUUACCAUGCUUUGUUUAGAUUGCACUUAAUGCAUGAGUUUAAAAACUUUGCGUCCAAGUGAGCUUGUGUUUACCUAUUCUCUUUAAUUUUCCCAAAUAAAUUGGUACCUUGACCUUUUUUUUUAUUUUGGAGGAUAAAUAAGUGAUUUCACUCCAUUUAGGGCAUCAACUCAAGGGAGGUAUAACUUCUUUUAUCUUUUUGUCUCUCCCCUAUGUGAUCCAACGUGCUAAGUGAGAAUUGCAUGCCUACUUUGCUUUCCUUGCUUUUCCUUAAUUCCCUUCAUUUAUUUCAUUUUCAUUCACUUUUGCUUAAGUCAUCCUUUUAUUUAUUUAUGGGGUAGGUGUACACCUCUUGGCUUGUAAUAGAUAGGGCUUGGAGAGCAUUUUUGUCCAUUUUCCCCCUUCCCUUUUUGUUUUAGUUAACAAAUGUAAUAGGUUCAUUAGUUUGAUUGCUUGCCUUUGUUGCUACGUGUUAAUUUGCUUUAUUAGGCUUUUGCAUCUAGUCGAGCAUGCUAAGUGUUAUGUGCUAUGUGUUUAUAUGUGAUUGGCAUGUCUACUUGCUUUCUAUAGUCAUAGAUGAAUAUGAUGGAUGAAUGCACGUCACCACACUAGUCCAACGCUAGUUGUGGCUCAUGGUCCCGUUUUCCACUAGUCCAACGCUAGUAGGAAUUCAUAGAUAUGGCUAGUCCAACGCUAGACCCUUAGGGAUUCCCCUCGCUAGUUCAUACUUGCAUGUUUCACUACAUUUCAUGCAUUUUUCUUAGUUUUCUAGCAUUUGGCAUGCCCCUCCAAUCCUUUCCCUUUCAUUUUAGGUUUUUGCAUCUUCAUACUAGUUAUAGGGUACAUUUGCUUGAGAGUCCCCUUUCGAUAAGGGAAACGAGCGAGUGUGGCUACAAAAUAGCCUUAGCACGCUAGUUCUUCCUUCUAAUCAAAAGGAAAAUUAAAGUCGUGAAAUUAGGAGUCAUUCCCGUACCCGACUUGAUGCAUUCCUCUAGGUUCAUGCACUCUCAUUCUUAUCAUAUCACUUCCUCACUCUUUUAUUCACAUUUUCUCACAACUUAUAUUUUUCUCAAUCCACAUGCCAUGUUUGCACAUUUUUCUUCUCUUAUCAUUUGUUUUCUACCUCACAAAUUGCACCCAAUUGCACUUAUAUGUAUCUACUAUUAUAUUUUCAUCCAUUUGCACACAAACACCUUUAUUUUCCCAAUUUGCACACAUGCACUUGUCUUACAUUCGCACACAUGCACGUUUUCUUACAUUUUCACACUUACACUCAUAUUUGAGUCUUCCUUUGCAUCAUUCGCGACCUCUAUGAGGACUUUCCUCAUUGGCCACCACAACUCAUGUGGUUGGGACCAAAAAGCCUCGUAAGAGGCAUUUUAGAUUUAGGAUUGCAUAUCUUUUUCAUAUCCAUUAGUCAUAUCCAACAUGCAACGCAUAUUUUGGGUAGAAGAAUUAGGAAACGUGGGGCUAAAUCGCGCAACUAGCUUUGGCUAGGGUAAGGGAGUGCCUUAGGCUUUGCCUUUGCCUUCUCCCUUAUCAAAUGUGACCCCCGAUCCCUUUCUUUGGUUACGUAGACCUAAAAGUUCUUAAAAAGGGGUUUGUUUACUUUGCUUUUCAAAAAAUUAUUUUUGGGUGACUUGGUACACCCUAACUCUAUACCAAGUGGCGACUCCAUUUUCCAUUCAAAAACCCUUUUUGAACUUUGUUUGGCCAAAUCGUCGCAUUUUCAAGUCCCACGGCCUUUUAUUUUCAUUUUUACACACAUAUUUCACACACUACUUUCACACCACUCAAAAAGUGAGGCGCGACAAUCCUAAAGCUAUGAUGAAUUUUCUGAUCUGCUCCAUGGGUGGGCGGCCGUACGCGAAUCGCCCCACCAGUGCAUUGCGGAAAGGCUCCGCUAGUUGAAGCAUCUCGCUCCUGGACAUGCGCAGCACUGGUUCGCCGCGAUACAUAGAGACCACGCCAAGCUCGGAUCUUGCUGGGUUCGACGCCUCCCCAGCAACCACACUUGCGAAGCUUCUGGUUGGAGGGGCCGGACCACCUCCAAAAGCCUGACCAGGCGGCCAAGAGGCCGCCAUGACAACUCCUCGUGUAGGAAACCCUAGACGGUUAGAAGAGUUUUUUCGGAUAGUGUAUUUUGAUUUUAGAUUUGCUCGUUAUCUACAUCCAUCCUAUCGAGAAAGUUGAUUUAGCUUUCACCUUGUCGCGCCCCAUUUUAAAUGAAAAAAUAAGAGUUACGGGUUUAUAAAAAUGAAUUUUGAUUUAUUUUGAGUGAAAAUGAGUAUUUGAUUUGUAGAGAAUAAAUAAAGAAAAAGAGCCUAAAAUGGGACUUUAAAAAUACGACGAUUUUGGCCCAAAAUAGUAGUUUAAAAAGGGUUUUUAAUAAAAAAUAGAAGUCACCAUUUGGUAUUGAGUUAAGGUGUACCAAGUCACCUAAAAUGAAUUUUAAAUAAAUAAAAAAGUAGAGAAAACCCUUUUUAAACGACUCCAAAUCUUCGAAAAUCAAGAGAAAAGUGUUCGAGAGUCACGUUUGAAGAAAGGGAAGGCAAGAAUAAAAUCCAAUGCACCCUUUCAACCUAACCAGAGCUAGUUGCGUGAUUUAGUCGAAAAAAUUUCUUAAUUUAACCUAUAAAACUUAUCACAUUUGGAUGUUAGUAUAUGAAUGCAAACCUAGACCUAAUGGCUAUCGGAAGAGUCAAAAUAUCUUUUCAAAUCUUGAUUGGUGCAAACCACAUUAAUUGUGAUACUCCAAAAGUGAAUAUUUAAAGAGGUCACGAAUAUGCAAAGAGUGAGACUUGAAGAAAAAGAAAAGAAAAUAAUAAUAUACAAAUAUACAUGACCUAAAGGAAUGCAUCAUAAUGGGUACGGGGGUACUAAGAUUCGUGACUUAAUUUUCCCUUUUAUAAAGGAGAUACAAGCGUGCUAAGGCUAAGGAGUCAUACUCAUCUAUAUCCCAUAUUCAAAGGGUAAUUCCUAUCUAAUCAAGCAAAUGAUCUAAUCUAAUUCUAAUUUUCCUAAAUGAGAUGCAAAUCUAAAUGUUAUAUUUUAUACAUAGGGAUAAGGGAUAUUCAUAUAGGGAAAAUAUCAUGUAAAAAUGGUAAGAGUCAUAAAAAGUAGAAAAAUAUGCAUGAAAUGUAGUGAUUUGUCACACAAAUAUGAUCUAACAUGUAGACGGUCCCUAAGGGUCUAGCAUUGGACUAACCCAUGUCUAUAAGUUCUGACUAGCGUUGGACUAGCGAGAAAGCGGAAAAAAAGGCCACAACUAGUGUUGGACUAGUGUGGCGACGUCAUGCAUUUAUUAUAAUCAAAUAAAUCAUAUAAACAUAAUAAAAUCAAGUAAACACAUAGAGCACAUAGCACAUAAACAUGAUAUCUAAAUGCAACAACCCUAAGAAAGUGAGUAAACAUGUAAACACACAAGCAUGCAAACACACAAGCAAAUAAAAGCGAAUAAAUACCUAACUAUUGCAUUCGGAGACCCUAACUACAAUCUAAAGGGGAAAAGAAUGAAAUAAAAUAAAAUAAUAACCUACCUAUUACAACUCGGCAUUUAAUUGCCUCUCAAAUAAUCAAAAAUUAAAUUAAAAUAAAUAUACAAAAUUAAAAACCAAUAAAGUGAAUAAGUAAAUAAAUAAAUUAAACAAAAUUCAAAAAAAUCAAAAAAAUGCAAUUAUACACAUAAAAUCACAUAGGAGCACAUAGGAUUUUUAAAUAAAAAAAGAAAGUACCUCCCCUUGAAGUAGUAGCUAAUUGGGUUUGGAUUUACCCUAUUUAAAGCUCCAAAAAUCAACAAAGUAGUCAAUGUACCAAUUUAAUUAACAAAUAAAAGAAAUAAUAUGUAAAUAAAUGGAAAUAAAUCAUGAAAUUGAACAAUUAAAGCAUUUAAAUGAAAGUAAACAACUCCUAUUCAAGAAAUUAAAACAAGCAAGGACCUAAUUAAAAAAUUAUAAAAGUUUUGGGGGUCAAAUUAAAGGAAAAUGAGAUUAAGGGCUCUAAGAUAAAGCCUAACAAACCCAAUGCUAAAAUCCAAAAAAAUAAACCAAAUAUCCACAAAAUAUUACCCAAGUCUUUAAAUCUUUUGAUAAAACCCAAAUCAAAACUAUAAAAUCUAUCAAAAAUACUAAACCUCAAAUUUAAUCCUAAAACACAUAAAUAACCUGUCCAAAAAUCAUAUUAAAGCAUGCCAACAAAAAUUAACAUUUAAAAGGGACCAGAUUGACUGAUUUUUUCAAUUUUUCGGGCUAUAGUAGAAUUAAGCAAAAAUCUAGGGUCAAAAUGCAAUUUUUUUGAAACUUCAUGCAAACCAUUCGAAGAAGCUUUCUUCUUCCUGCUGGCUUCCUUCCUCUGCAAUUUCAUGAGCUCACGGUACAAGUUUUCCUUUGCUAAACAUAACUAGAGUCUCAACCAAACAUCAAGCAUUGAUUUUAAGCAACAAAAAUUACAGAAAUUCAACAUCCACACACAAAACCUGCUGCAAAAAUUUUAUUCAACCUAAAUAUGCUCAUGGGAAUAACUCAGACAAAAACCCACUGAUUCAUUAAACAAACCCAAGUGCAAUGGCUUCAACCCAUCUUUAAUCAUAUCACCCAAAUAAUAUUGCCCAUUCCCAGCAAUGCUACUGGCCAGGGAAACACAGCAAAGAAAGAAAGGAAGAAACUUACGGUAACUGAAGUUGGAUCCAUCGCAAGUCACUGUUUUUCUAGCCAAACCAUCUAAUCACUGAACAUCAAAUUACCCUAAAGCCUUUUAAACGCAUUUUGAGUCAGCCAAACAAAUUUCUUCAAAUCAUUAGGAACCACAGAGAGGAAAUAACAGGCGCACGCACAAGGAGUAAACAAGAAACUGAUGCGAUGAAUUCAAAUCUUCACAAAAAUAUGUUAAAAUGACAGGAAGAUAAACUAGAGUUACCUGAGAACGCUCACGUGAUCAAUUGAACGUGAGAUAUGCCUGAAAAUGCGCGUUAAUUCCAAGAAUGAAGCCAAGAUCUUGGUUGCAGAAAAUUUCAGCAAUGGCAAUCUAGCUACUUUGAGCCGCGAUUUGAGAGGGUUGGAGACGUUUUUUUCGGAUGAUUUCUUAACAAGAAUUGUUCAUGGGUAUCUACAGAUGGUGCAGAAAGAAGGAUCUCGCUCUUAAGGUUGGAGGUUAAGUCAGAAUUUAUCGGGAAGUGAGCUGGUUCGCCAACCUGGUCGUGGGUUUUGCAGAAAAAAUUUUCUGAACUUUUCUCAAUUCCCCCCCCCCUUUUCUCUUCUGUUUUUUCCUUGUUCCGUUUCCUGCUCUCUCUCUUUUGUCCUCAGAUUAUCUCCUUUCUUGUUUCUCCUUUCUUUUUCCUUUUCUUCUCCUUUCUCCCUUUCUUUCUUUUCUUCCCUGAAGCUCUCUCUUUUCCCUUUCUCUCUGAUUUUUUCUUUUUGAUCUCUCUUGUUUCCCUCUAUCUCUACACAGUCUCUCUUUCCCUUUCUUGCUCUCCCCCCAGAUCCUCUCUUCCUCUCCCUCGUUCCUCCUUUUUUUUUGUUCAGCCUUCCCUUUCAAUCUCCCCGUAGCCUCAUUUCCUCUCGGUUCCUUCUUUUUCUUUUUUUUUCUUUCCCUCCUUGCCCGCGGCUUCCUUCCCCCAGAUUUUUGUCUUUGUUUUCUAUUUUUUCAUCCCCUCUCCCUGAAGCCUCUCUCUUUCUCUUCUUGUUUCCAUAUUUUUCCGACACUCUCCACCUGUAUAUACCAAAUACUUGAUACAAAGACGUAGACACCAAAUACUUACAUGUAGUUAUUCUACUGCAAACUGAAAUAAGCAAACAUAUAAAGGUCAGUGGAAUAAAACCGGAGUCUGCCUUAAAAUAACAUCGGUCAAUGAGAUAAAAACCUGAGCCUACCAUAAAAUUGGUUAGUGGAAUAAAAAUCCGAGCCUACCAUAAAAUAAUAUCGGUCAGUAAGAUAAAAAUUCGAGCCUGCCGUAAAAUUGGUCAGUGGGAUAAAAUUCGAACCUGUCAUAACAUCGGUCAGUGGGAUAAAAAUCCGAGCCUGCCAUAAAAUAACAUUGGUAAGUGGGAUAAAAACUAACCCGAGCCUGCCGUAAAAUUGGUCAGUGGGAUAAAAUCUGAGCCUGCCAUAAAAUCGGUCAGUGGGAUAAAAAUCCGAGCCUGCCGUAAAAUUAGUCAGUGGGAUAAAAUUCGAGUCUGCCAUAACAUCAGUCAGCGGGAUAAAAACUCGAGUCUGCCGUAAAAUAACAUCAGUCAGUGGAAUAAAAAUCCGAACCUAACGUAAAAUUGAUCAAUUCCGAACUUGCCAUAACAUCGGUCAGUGGGAUAAAAACUCGAGCCUGCCAUAAAAUUGGUCAGUGGGAUAAACCCGAGUCUGCCAUAACAUCGGUCAGUGGGAUACCGCCGUAAAAUUGGUCAGUGAGAUAAAAUCCGUGCCUGCCAUAAAAUCGGUCAGUGGGAUAAAAACUCGAACCUGCUAUAAAAUUGGUCAGUGGGAUAAAAUCCGAGCCUGCCAUAACAUCGGUCUUCAAGUUUGCAAGAUUCUGACUUGCGCUUUUUCAUCGAUUUCAAUCAUAAACACCUGCAUAGACGGGGGUUUAACAUGAACUUGAAUUUUUUCCUUGACUCUUGGACGAAAUCCCACAAAUUUGUUACAAAAAAUUUGCCCCAAUUUGAACCUAUUGGGUAAAAUCUCACAAAAUGUAUCAUAAAAGUUAUUGCCCAAAUUUGGACUUAUUGAGCGAAAUCUCACAAAUUAAAAACUUUGCCCCAGUUUGGGCCCAUUUAAAUUGUAAAAUUUCAUUCGAAUGACUCUCCAUUUAUUUGGACAAAACAAAAAAAUGUGUUUCCUAGAAUUUAAACAAAUGAUCACAUACUGACAUGCAAUGUGAAUAGAAAUUACAUUUUUCAAAUGAAAAAAUUUAAAUGUCGUGUUUAAAUUCAUAUAGAAUAUUUCAUGGUGAAUCUUUCAAAACAGGACCAAAUUGUAAAAAAAUUCCUCGCUCGCUUUAUAAUCGGUGUUAAGGGUAAUGGAUCACCACUUCUUGUUAGCUCAUCUUUCAGGAUCAAUCAAGUGGGUGUUAUUUCUGAUUUUGAGAUGGCUAAAAUGGUAUUUUAUGAUCUGCCUUGUUUUUGUGCCCAGAUUAUGUCUAACUCACUCUGUGACGCCCCCACUUCUCCCUAGGACGAACCCAAGGGUAUCCGCGGAACGCCUGCCUAGCACUCGCAAGGACUUGAUACAAGUCAAAUUCAAACUUAAGAAUAAACAACCAAAAUAAUAAAGGUCGGAGUAAAGAAAAGUCGCUUUCUUAAUAAAAUAUUCAAAUUUUACAUCAUAAGUACCAAAAGUACAUCAAUUUUUUCUAAAAUACAACCACUAGAAGUCGACUAAUCAAUUACAUCCAAACUUCUAAUCAAAAGUAAUCAGGUCGGCUUCUCCAAAAUUUUUCCAUUUCGAGCUCCUGUUAAGGAAAACAAACUAAUGGGGUGAGCUAAGACUCAGUGAGGUCAAGAAAAAAAAAAAAAAAAACAUGCAAACACAUAGUUCAAGUAACAAUAACAUUUGUACAAGAAUUAAAGCUAAAAAGUUCAAGCAAUUCACAAUUAAUAAUAAAACAUGAUUAAUAAGGAUACGGGAGCUUUCAGGAGCCAAAUUCUACUUGCUUUCCCAAGGCUCGAUCUAAUACCUCCACGUGAUGAUACUCCGUCAACCGAGUAGGUAUUAAGUCCGUAGAAACUCCACUUACUUCCCCCGUCCAUCAUUUCACCCUCUCGGAUCUGUAACCAAACACGCACGAAAAGGGCGAUACUCCACGAGUAUACCGAACAAGAUCUCAAAAGAUCAAGUUUUGUUUUUAAUAUUCUCACGGUUCAUCAAUCUUCUCAACCAAACCCAUGCCGGGUCGAGUCACAAGGUUAGCCGAUGAGAUUUGGGCGUCCCCCACGAGUACACGUAUAAGUCGAUGAGAUUCACUCCAAUCAACAUUGAGUCAAACAUGAAUAUAAUUUCACGUAUGAGCAAGUUAAUUAUAUAAUCAAGUAAAAGAGAUCGAGUGCGAUAAAGUACACACUCGACUCGACAAGUUAUGUUCAUGUAUACAAGUAAGAUUAAUCAAGUAAACACAACAAUUCAUGCACUUGACACUCACCAAUUCAAAAGUAAUUGAAUGAGUAAAGCCUUUAGUUGUCCCCUCCAAGAUUCUCAUCAAGACUCGCUUGAGCACCUGAAGAAAUAGGGACCAUACAUCACUCACUUAUACUCACGAUCACUUAUCAUACAAGGAAGUGCAUUCGUUUAAACGUAGAACAAUGCCACAAGAGAGCUUUACUCUAUUGAAAUUCAAUAUUCAAAAGUAAGGGUUUAAAGUCACAAGGAAAACUUGUACCCCCAUGAAAUCAGGUUUAAAACGGUCUAUCAAUAUCGAAAGGAAGUCAAAAGUUCUCAAAAGUUCAUUUCCUAAAGAAUUAGAAAUUUUCAGUUUUGCGCGACAAAACUUGGAAAAUUAAAUCUUGAGUUUGGCACAUCCAAAAAUGGAAAAAUUUAUACCGUUUAAAACUAGAUUCAAAGUACUAAAAGUUCCCAGUAGACACUUUUCCAAGAUUCCAAAUAGAAAGUAUUCGUUUUUCAGUUCAAAGUUGCUGAUUCAUUGAGACAAGACAAAACCAGUCUUGGUUUUCAGCAAUGUUUAGAAAUUCGGCAAAAUUUACAGAAAGUGAAUCAACCUCUGAAAUUUAUAACACAACAAGAGUUCCAAACCAAGUUUCUAACAAAACAAGAGGAACUAAAUUCAGAGUUUUGAGCAACAAGAUAUAAUAGUUUAAAUUCGGUGGAUUUUCGCGACCUGAUCAGUGGAUUUCCAGCUUUGAAAACCAAUCUUUGGGACACCAUUUGGGUAUCGAAAUGGUAUUGCAAUUACGCCAAAUUUGGUACACUUUAACUUUCAUGUAUGGGCUACCUCUCUAUCAAACUUUAAGUAAAAACUCGCAUGGGAAGAUAGUUAAGGAAAUGACCAAAGUUUGUGAAAUUUCUCAAAACUAAUCUGUCAACCCUAUCUCUCCUUCUUUUUCAAAAGUUUUGUCCAACGAAAUCAGCCCCAAUUUGUUCCAUUUUUUAAACCAAGAUUCCAUAAACAUUUAAUGAGCAAUUUAUGGGUAAAUGACACUAAAAGUUUUGAAAUAAAAGACCCCAAAAUAGAAUUGACCAUUCGGUCAAUAGGGAAAGGAAAAUUUUCCAAUUUCCAGCCUUGUUGCAGUUUCGAAAUCAAACCAUAUCUAACUUUAUAUAAAUCCGAAUUUAGAAUGGUUUAUGGCGUUAGAAACUAGGUUCAAAAUUCUACAUUUCAUCAGAAAAAUUAUUUUCAAAAUUUUUUCACAAGUAAGACAAAAUCGAGCCACAAGAUGCAGCUUCCCAGUUGCUCUCGGACAGACAGGCAAAGCAGGACAGUCCAAUUUGCCGACUCACCACGGUUUGCUCAAAACGAACUAGCAGGGGAUUCUUAUCCCAUUUGAAAGCUUUGAAUAUUUAGUUUUGAAUGUCAUAAACGGAACUCAAUUUUGACUUUUGUACAAAGAGUUAUGUUCAAGCAAAGAACCACUAUCCGGUUACCCUGCUAGCGAAUUUUCAUAUUUCAAAUUUUACCAAAACUCAAGUUUUAUGCAACCAUUCGACAUGAUUUUUGAAAGACACUUUCUACACACAUAAUACAACAUAUAUCCAUCAAUUUAACAACCAACCAAUCAUCAAAAUUUUGAAUUAAAAGCAGGACAACAUGAACAGAAUUUCGGCCAGCUUUCCUUUCACAAUUUUUCCAACUUUCUCUCCACUUUCUAACCAUAAUCAUCACAUGAACAACAAUAAUCAAACAAUAUGGCCUCAAGUCAGCUACCUAAAGCCUUCUCAAGACAUCUAGCUUAGGAUUUAAAGCAAGAUAAAUGUUUCCUCAAGUCCGCUAGCCUAUAAACGCGAUUAGGGUUUCAAACCCAUGAAAUCUAACCGUCAAUCUUAGUAAAAUUUGAAAGGUUAAGGAGAUGAAAUGAUUACCCUUUAAACCCUAGAUGAAGACCAGAUUUUUCCACCAAAAUCACCUAGCAACACCUCAAGCUUUCACCGUUCUUCUAGUUAGAGCAAAAACCCAAGGGAUUGUGAGUUCAAUGGAGUGAAUCAAGCAAACUUGGAGCAAGAAGUUGAAGGCUUUCUUUUCCCUUUUCUUUUUCUUUGGGUCGAACGAGAGUGAGGAGAGAGAGAUGAGGGUUUUGUGGUUUGAUUUCUUGGAGGGAAAGAAUGAAAAAAGUAGCCAUAAAGUAUGCACAAAAGUCAACCCUCAAUAGUACGAAAUAGUGUCGUGCACUACCACUUCCUCUCUUGUUUGAUACACUUAUGCACUAAUCCUCCAAGGUAAUUCCUCUAACAUUUUAAUUACUCACGCUUACGAGUCUAGUACUAAUUUAUCAAAUCUCCAAUUAAUCGGAUCGGCACGACUUCCGAGAAACUUUCGACACGCGUGCGAAAAAUCGAAAUUUAAGGGCAAUUCAUGCAAUACUAGAAUAAUUAAGUAACACUAGGGAAAAUAAUUAUAAAAAUUACUAAAUUAAGAAAUAAAACAUGAGUUCUCACAUCCUUUUCCCCUUAAGAGAAUUUCGUCCAUGAAAUUCAUACCUUGAUUCGAAAAUAGGUCUGGAUAUUUCUUUCGAAUCUCCUCCUCUACUUCCCAAGUUGCUUCCUCUACUCCAUGGUUCCUCCAUAGAACUUUAACCAAAAGGAUUCGCUUAUUCCUUAGUUCCUUCACAUUACGGUCCAAAAGCUUUACUGGUUUCUCCUCAUACGUCAGUGCCUCGUCAAUCUCAAUAUUUUCUAGUUGCAGUACAUGAGACGGGUCUGGAUGAUAUUUCUUGAGUAUAGACACAUGAAAAAUGUUAUGAAUUCGAGAUAAACUUGGUGGCAGUUUCAAUUUAUAGGCCACGUUUCCCACACGUUGAAGAAUCUUAUAAGGUCCUACAAAUCUCGGUUGUCACUUCUUUCCUCUCCCUGCCAUCAAACUUGCUUUUAGAAGAGUGAUCUUAAGAAAAACUUGAUCACCAACCGCAAACUCCAAAUCUUUCCUUCGAUUACCUGCAUAACUCUUUUGACGGUUCUGAGCUGUCUAAAUCCUUUGGCGUAUUAACUUCACCUUUUCGUACGCCUCUUCAAUCCAUAGUAUUGCAGUUGGGUCUAAAAUCUUUCUUUCACCUAUUUCAUCCCAACAUAUCGCAAAUCUACACUUUCGGCCAUAAAGUACUUCAUACGGAGCCAUUUGAAUGGAUGAAUGGAAAGUAUUAUUAUAUGCAAACUCCACUAAUGUCAAAUACUUACUUCAACUCUCUCCAAAAUGCAAAAUACAGGUUCUCAACCUGUCCUCAAAAGUCCGAAUUGUCCUUUCUGACUGUCCGUUGAUCUGGGGUGGUAUGUAGUGCUAAAACUCAACUUAGUUUCUAGCCUUUCUUGCAUUUUCUGCCAGAAUUGAAAAACAAACCGAGGGUCUCGGUCAGAUACAAUACUUACAGGUAUCCCAUGUAGCCUUAUAAUCUCAUCCAAAUAUAGCUUUGUUAACUUCUCCAAUUGGUACUUGAUACUAAUCGGCAAAAAAUGAGUAGAUUUGGUCAAUCUAUCUACUAUCACCCAAACGGCAUUGUGACCUCUUUGUGUUAUUGGCAAUCCAAAUACAAAAUUUAUGGUAAUGUUUUCCCACUUGCACUCGAGUAUCUCUAAAGGUUGCAAUAAGCCAGAUGGUUUCUGAUGCUCAGUUUUAACCUGCUGGCAAAUCAAAUAAGUCUGGAUAAAUCGAACAAUUUCCUUCUUCAUGUUCUCCCACCAGUACAAGCUCUUCAAAUCUGGGUACAUUUUACUCCCUCCAGGGUGUACCGUAUACUUAGAUCGGUGCGCUUGUUUUAAGAUUUCCCUUUUUAACUCUUCAUCGUUUGGCACCACUAUGCGAUUUCGAAACCUUAGUACACCAUUUAUUCCCAAAUUAAAAUCUGACUUUUCCCCCUUGUCAACUUUCUCCAACUACUUUUGUACGUCAGAGUCCUUUCCCUAUGCCUCCUUGAUACGAUCUAACAAAACGGAUUUCACGAUAAUGUUCCCAAGAAUCACUUUUCUCGGUUCGAGACGAGGGUUCCAAAUACUAAUCUCUUCCAACAAGUGCAAUUCUUUAACCAUCAAUCCUGCAACUUGCACUUGGCGAAUUAAAGCAUCUGCUACCACAUUAGUUUUCCCUGGGUGAUAAUUGAUCGUGCAAUCAUAAUCUUCUAAAAAUUUUACCCAUCUACGUUGUCUUAAAUUCAGCUCUUUUUGGGAAAACAAAUACUUAAAACUCUUGUGGUCUGUAAAAACCUCAAACGUCACCCCAUAUAGGUAAUGUCUCCACUUCUUCAAUACAAACACUACCGCCACUAAUUCCAAAUCAUGAGUUGGAUAAUUUCUCUCGUGAGAUUUUAACUUCUUAGAGGCAUACGCAAUCACCUUAUCAUUCUGCAUCAAUACACACUCCAAGUCUUCUUUGGAAGCAUCUGUAUAGACCACAAAACUAUCAUUUCCAUUAGAUAAAGGUAAAACAGGUGCCCUUGUCAAACGUCUCUUUAACUCCUGAAAACUUUCUUCACACUUAGGGCUCCAUAUAAAUUUCUCACUUUUCUUAGUCAACUCAGUCAUGGGUCCCGCAAUUUUAGAAAAAUCUUUGAUAAACCUUCGAUAAUACCCUGCUAAACCUAAGAAACUUUAAACUUCAGUAAGGUUUUCCAGUUGCUUCCACUUAGAAACUGCUUCAACUUUGGUCGGAUCCACUUUAAUUCCUUCUUUAGAGAUUAUAUGAUCUAAGAAAGUCACUUCCUUCAACCAAAAUUCACAUUUGCUAAACUUAGCAUACAACUGAUGUUCCCUCAAAAUUUGCAAGACAAUCCUCAAAUGUUUGUCAUGAUCUUCCAAAGUCUUAGAGUACACCAGUAUAUCAUCAAUAAAUACCACCACAAACUGGUCCAAAUAAGACUUAAAGAUUUGGUGCAUUAAAUCCAUAAAGGCUGCAGGAGCAUUAGUCAAUCUGAACGGCAUUACUGCAAACUCAAAGUGUCCGUACCUCGAGUUAAAGGCAGUUUUAGGUAUAUCUUUUUUCAAAAUCCUUAACUGGUAAUAACCCUGCCUGAGAUCCAACUUUGAGAACACUACCGCCCCUUGCAACUGAUCAAACAACUCAUCGAUAUGGGGUAAAGGGUACUUAUUCUUGAUGGUAACGUCGUUCAAGCCUCGGUAGUCUAUACACAACCUUAAACUCACAUCUUUCUUUUUAACGAAUAACACUGGAGCUCCCACGGUGAAUCACUUUCUUUUAUAAAGCCUCGCUCUAGAAGAUUCUGUAAUUGCAACUUUAAUUUUUUCAAUUCAACUGGAGCCAUUUUAUAAGGCGUCUUAGAGAUAGGUGCUACUUCUGGAGUCACAUCGAUUUUAAAAACUAUUUCUCUUUCAGGUGGCAAAGAUUCUAGUUCCUCAGAAAAAACAUCCGGAUACUCCUUAAUCACUGGCAUGUCUUCUAAUCUCAUCUUAUCACUAGGAGUAUUUAUAAGAAAAGCCAAAUAACCUUGACCUCCUUUACUCAACAUCUUUCAAGUUCGAAUUCCUGAAACAAGAGCAGAUGAGGCUAAUCUACCCCUUACAUUCAAUUUUAGGGUUGCCUCUCCCGGAAUACCCAAUUCUACCAUUUUCGUCUUACAAUUCAACUGAGUAUGAUAACGGGCUAACCAGUCCAUUCCUAGGAUGACAUCAUAUCCCUUAAUAGCUAAUCUCAUCAAAUUGGCCAAUAAUUUUCGCACUCCAACCCAUAUUUCACAAUCUCUAUACACCAAAUUAGCAAUUAAACUUUGAUCCCCAGUAGGCGUUCUAACAUCCAAGUCAUAAGGUAAUUUAAUUGGUUUCACAUCUAUUCCACUCAUGAACUUAGGGUUUACAAAAGAAUGCGUUGCACCAGGAUCAAUUAAAACCUUAGCUAAAUGGUGAAAUAUGGGGAUCGUGUACCUUCAACUACCUCAGUGGCAUCAGGAAUUUGUUGAUGAUCCAAAGCAUAAACCCUAACCGGCACCUUAGGUCGACUCCCUCCAGCACUGGACUGCUUAGAUGCCGAUUUUUUUGGCCUUUGGGUACUACCUCCCUCUUUUGGUAUACUUGGACAUUUUGAGAUUUGGUGCUCGAUACUGCCACAAUAUAAACAUUUUCCUGAUUUCUUCCAGUACUCAUUUUUCGUGUGGUUGGGUUUACCACAGUAGCCACAAACUACUUGAGGAGCCACGGCCUGGCCACCAAAAAGUGUUCCUCUCGCUUGAUCUUGCCCAUUACGGCCUCCUCUUGAUAGAGCCCCACUUGGUGCUCCAGCAGUCCUUACUCCUCCCGUAUCUCUUCCCAUCUUAGAAGGUGGGAUACUCUUACUUGAUUGUCUAGGAGAGUAAGUAGGAGUGCUCCUUUUCUUAGUAUGGAAGUCCCUAACUUGCAGCCUUGCACUUUCGACUCUUUGUACUUUUUUUAGGGUUUCAGUGAACGUAGAGAUUUGGGCUGCUACUAACCCCUAUUGAAUCUCCACAUUAAAUCCUUGUACAAAGCGCCUUAUCUUUCUCCGUUUAUUAGCCACCAAUUCUGGAGGGUACUUAGAGAACUUAGUAAAUCUUCCCUCAUAGUCGGCCACGCUAGAAGCUCCCUGUCUCAAUUUUAUGAAUUCGUCCUCCCGUUUCUCUUGAAUCAGGAGCGGGAGAAACUUCUCAUUAAAUUCUCUUACAAAGUUUUCCUAGGUCCAAGGGGUUUGUGCCCUUUCCCAUUUUCCCCUUAUCACGUCCUACCAAGCACGUGCUACACGCUCAAAUUGGAAGGCAGCGAAAUUCACUCGCCUCUCCUCAGUAUAGUGUAGGGCAGCAAAUAUAUUGGUCGUUCUCUCUAACCAAUUUUCCGCUAACUCAGGAUCAGGUCCCCUAAUAAAUUUAGACUGGACAAAUUUUAAAAACCUUUCCAAGACUCUAUCCUCCCCUCUAUUCUGAACCCUGGUUGGUUAACAGGUCCUGGACCCUGUCGCUCGGCUAACCGCUUUAAAAUAUCCGUCAUUCGGUUAAUGGCAGUAGUCACUUGAGUAUCCCCUUCAUUAACUUGCUCUUGGCUCGGUCCAGUAGCCGAUCCUUGUUCAUCCCCUUGAGCUUGGGGUUGCCUAACCCCACGCUCUCGGCCUCUACCACUUCUUCCACCAUCUGGAUCCUAAUUAUGCCUAAAUGCAAGGAUAAAAAUAAUUAUGUUAGAGAAUACUCAAAAUAAAAGCCGACAUGAAAAAUAUUGAAAAUAACAACAACUAACAUAUAUUAACACUUCAAGAGUCGUACAAUUAGCAAGUCAUGGGUCAUUUAUAAAAAUAUAGCACACAUGUGCCACAAAAGUGCAAUUAGUCAUGCAGUAAGAGUCAUGAGCUUUACAAGCAUCACCCCAGCUAAUUCCAGUUACAAAAGUCAAAAGAUUCAUCAAUCCUAACUUAAUUCGCAUCCGAACCGCUAGUCUGGACCUCUUCCUCCGGGUCCUCCUCGAAAGGCUCCUCCUCAGUAGUGCCCUCACGAGCCGAGCUAUCGACGGAUUCUAUCACCUCUUCUAUUAAUAUGGUAAUGUCAGCUACAAUCUCAACGGCCUGAUCCCGAACCUCCUCGACUACCCUAACUAGUCGAACCCUAACCCUCUGAAGCUCGACACUAGUGGCAUCAGCUCUAGUCCGCUCAUCCACCACCGUCACCUCGAGCUUGAUGAUUCUAGCACCCUGGGCAUCCACCAUAGCAUUCAACUCCUCGAUCUCCUGAAGUAGUGUCCUAUUAGUAACCACCAACUGUCGGCGCUCGUCGUCAAUGGACAGUACAAAGUCAUUAGGAUAAGCAUGUGUUACCUAUAGGGACAACGGGGAAACCUAGAAGAAUGCGAGAAUCGAACGCGAGCUCCUCCACCAAGUGCUCGAUAGUAGAUAGGCCUAAGAGGCUUCACGUGGCCAUUAGCAUGUCCAUUACCAUUAGCAGCAUGACCUCCAUUACCGUUCUCCAUUCCUACAAAAUAACCACAACUUAGGGUUAGAAACUUAAGGUCACUAACUCGCUCAAACAUCACUUAAGAUAUAGCUAAAUUAGUUAAUCCCUAUUCUCAAAAGUAAAGUCUCUAAAACGUCUCCCAAAAAGAUCACUAAAUCUAGCGCUCUGAUACCAACUGUGACGCAUCCACUUCUCCCUAGGGCGAAUCCAAGGGUAUCCGCGGAACGCCUGCCUAACUCUCGCCAGGAUUCGAUAUAAGUCAAAUUCAAAUUUAAGGAUAAAUAACCAAAAUAAUAAAGGUCGGAGUAAAGAAAAGUCGCUUUCUUAACAAAACAUUCAAAUCUUACAUCAUAAGUACCAAAAGUACAUCAAUUUUUUCCAAAAUACAACCACUAAAAGUCGACUAAUCAAUUACAUACAAAAUUCUAAUCAAAAGUAAUCAGGUCGGCUUCUCCAAAAUCUUUCCAUUUCAAACUCCUGUUAAGAAAAAUAAAAUAAUGGGGUGAGCUAACGCUCAGUGAGGUCAAGAAAAAAAAAAGAAAAAUAUGCAAACACAUAGUUCAAGUAACAAUAACAUUUGUACAAGAAUUAAAGCUAGACAGUUCAAGUAAUUCACAAUUAAUAAUAAAACACGAUUAAUAAGGAUACGGGAGCUCUCAGGAGCCAAAUUCCACUUGCUUUGCCAAGAUUCGAUCCAAUACCUCCAUGUGAUGACACUCCGUCAACUGGGUAGGUAUUAAAUCCGUAGAAACUCCACUUACUUCCCCCGUCCAUCAUUUCACCCUCUCGGAUCCGUAACUAAACACGCACGAAAAGGGCGAUACUCCACGAGUAUGCCGAACAAGAUCUCAAAAGAUCAAGUUUUAUUUUUAAUAUUCUCAUGGUUCAUCAAGUUUCUCGACUAAGCCCAUACCGGCUCGAGUCGCAAGGUUAACCAAUGAGAUUUGAGCAUCCCCCACGAGUACACGUAUAAAUUGAUGAGAUUCACUCCAAUCGAUAUUGAGUCGAACACGAAUAUAAUUUCACUUCUGAGCAAGUUAAUUAUAUAAUCAAGUAAAAGAGAACAAGUGCGAUAAAGUAUACACUCGACUCGACAAGUCAUGUUCACGUAUAGAAGUAAGAUUAAUCAAGUAAACACAACAAUUCAUGCACUUGACACUCACGAAUUCAAAAGUAAUUGAACGAGUAAAGUCUUUAGUUGUCCCCUCCAAGAUUCUCUUCAAGACUCGCUUGAGCACCUAAAGCAAUAGGGACCAUACAUCACUCACUUAAACUCACGAUCACUUAUCAUACAAGGAAGAAAGUGCAUUCGUUUAAACGUAGAACAAUGCCACAAGAGAGUUUUACUCUAUUGAAAUUCAAGAUUCAAAAGUAAGGAUUUAAAGUCACAAGGAAAACUUGUACCCCCCAUGAAAUCAGGUUUAAAACGGUCUAUCAAUAUCGAAAGAAAGUGAAAAGUUCUCAAAAGUUCAUUUCCUAAAGAAUCAGAAAUUUUCAGUUUUGCGCGACAAAACUUGAAAAAUUGGAUCUUAAGUUUGGCACGUCCAAAAAUUAGAAAACUUUAUAUCGUUGGAAACAAGAUUCAAAGUACUAAAAGUUCCCAGAAGACACUUUUCCAAGAUUCCAAACAGAAAGCAUUCAUUUUUCAGUUCAAAAUUGCUGAUUCAUGGAGACAAGACAGAACCAGUCUUGGUUUUCAACAAUGUUUGGAAAUUCGGAAUAAUUCACAAAAAGCGAAUCAGCCUCUAAAAUUUAUCACGUAACAAGAGUUCCAAACCAAGUUUCAAACACAACAAGCGGAACUAAAUUUGGAGUUUUGAGCAACAAGAUAUAAUAGUGUGAAGUCGGUGGAUUUUGGCGACCUGAUCAGUGGAUUUCCAGUUUUGAAGAGCAAUCUUUGGGGCAUCAUUUGGGUAUCGAAAUGGUAUUGAAAUUAUGCUGAAUUUGGUACACUUGAACUUCCAUAUAUGGACUACCUCUCUAUCAAACUUUAAGUAAAAACUCGCACGGGAAGGCAGUUAACGAAAUGACCAAAAUUUGUGAAAUUUCUCAAAACUAAUCUGUCAACCCUAUCUCUCCUUCUUUUUCAAAAGUUUUGUCCAACGAAAUCAGCCCCAAUUUGUUCCAUUUUUUAAACCAAGAUUCCAUAAACAUUUAAUGAGCAAUUUAUUGGUAAAUGACACUAAAAGUUUUGAAAUAAAAGACCCCAAAAUAGAAUUGACCAUUCGGUCAAUAGGGAAAGGAAAAUUUUCCAAUUUCCAGCCUUGUUGCAGUUUCGAAAUCAAACCAUAUCUAACUUUAUAUAAAUCCGAAUUUAGAAUGGUUUAUGGCGUUAGAAACUAGGUUCAAAAUUCUACAUUUCAUCAGAAGACAUCAUUUGAGCCACAAAAUGCAGCUUCCCAGUUGCUCUCGGACAGACAGGCAAAGCAGGACAGUCCAAUUUGCCGACUCACCACGGUUUGCUCAAAACGAACUAGCAGGGGAUUCUUAUACCGUUUGAAAGUUUUGAAUGUCUAGUUUUGAAUUCCACAAACGGCACUCAAUUUUGACUUUUGUACAAAGAGUUAUGUUCAAGUAAAGAACCACUGUCCGGUUACCCUGCUAGCGAAUUUCCAGAUUUCAAACUUUACCAAAACUCAAGUUUUAUGCAACCAUUCGACAUGAUUUUGGAAAGACACUUUCUACACACAUAAUACAACAUAUAUCCAUCAAUUUAACAGCCAACCAAUCAUCAAAAUUUUGAAUUAAAAGCAGGACAACAUGAACAGAAUUUCGGCCAGCUUUCCUUUCACAAUUUUUCCAACUUUCUCUCCACUUUCUAACCAUAAUCAUCUCGUUCAUCACAUGAACAACAAUAAUCAAGUAAUAUUGCCUCAAGUCAGCUACCUAAAGGCCUUCUCAAGGCAUCUAGCUUAGGAUUUAAAGCAAAAUAAUUGUUUCCUCAAGUCUGCUAGCCUAUAAACGUGAUUAGGGUUUCAAACCCAUGAAAUCUAACCGUCAAUCUUAGUAAAAUUUGAAAGGUUAAGGAGAUGAAGUGAUUACCCUUUAAACCCUAAAUGAAGACCAGAUUUCUCCACCAAAAUCACCAAGCAACACCUCAAGCUUUCACCUUUCUUCUAGUUAGAGCAAAAAUCAAAGGAAUUGUGAGUUGAAUGGAGUGAAUCAAGCAAACUUGGAGCAAGAAGUUGAAGGCUUUCUCUUCCCUUUUCUUUUCCUUUGGGUCGGCCGAUAGUUAGGAGAGAGAGAUGAGGGUUUUGUGGUUUGAUUUCUUGGAGGGAAAGAAUGAAAAAGGUAGCCAUAAAGUGUGCACAAACGUCAACCCUCGAUAGUGCGAAAUAGUGUCGUGCACUACCACUUCUUCUCUUGUUUGAUACACUAUGCACUAAUCCUCCAAGGUAAUUCUUCUAAUAUUUUAAUUACUCACACUUACGAGUCUAGUACUAAUUACUCAAAUCUUCAAUUAAUCGGACCAGCACGACUUCGGAGAAACUUUCGACGCUCGCGCGGAAAAGCGAAAUUUAAGGGCAAUUCAUGCAAUACUAGAAUAAUUAAGAAACACUAGGGCAAAUAAUUAUAAAAAUGACUAAAUUAAGAAAUAAAACAUGAGUCCUCACACACUCCAUAUCACAUCUUAGUGAAAACAAAUAGUUUGUUAUCCUUAUUUCUUGAGAAAACUCAGUCAACAUAUGAGCUCUAUAAGCUUGUAAUAUAUGGGUAGAAGCGAUAGCUAAACUUAUGGAAACAGGUUAUGGCCUUAUGACCACAAGUGAUUGGUAGACUUCUUAGGAGCAUGGUCCUCAUUUCGAGUUGUCAUGAAAGAUAAAUCAACGAUAGGUGUCGCGCCCCAUUUUUUUAUAAGAAAAAUAAAUAAAUGGUUUGAAAAGUGAAUUUUUGAUUUGAAAAAUGAAUUUUGAUUUACAAAGAAAAUGAAGAAAAAUAUGGGUCUAAAUGGGACUUGAAAAUGCGACGAUUUGACCCAAAAUAUAUAGUUUAAAAAGGGUUUUUGAAAUAAAAAUCUGAGUCGCCACUUGGUAUAGAGUUAAGGUGUACCACGUCACCUAAAAAUGAAUUUUAGAGGAAAUGGUAGAAAGAAACCCCUUUUAAACGACUCCUAGUCUACGUAAACCAACGAAAAAGGUUCGGGAGUCACAUUUGACGAAGGGGAAGGCAAGGAUAAAAAUCCAAGGCACCCCUUCGACCUAGCCAAGGCUAGUUGCGUGAUUUAGUCAAAGAUUUUCUUGUUUUAACCAAAGAAUUUAUCACAUUUGAAUGUGCUAUAUGAAUGCAAACCUUAGACCUAGGGGGACAUCGGGAGCAAAAUUUCUCUUCAAAGCUCGAAUGGUACCAAUCACAUUAAUUGUGACGCCCAAUAAUGACUCUUUGGAGAGGUCACGAAUUAUGCAAAAAUAUGAGACUCUAAGAAGAAGAAAAGGAUAAAAAUAAUUAUAGAAAUAUACAUGUUUUAAAGGAAUGCAUCAUGUCGGGUAUGGGGACCUAAUGUUCGUGACUCAAUUUUCCCUUUAAUAGAGGGAAUACGAGCGUGCUAAGGCUAGAAAAGCCAAACUCGUCCAUAUCCCAUAUCCAAGGGGCUUUCCCUAAUCUAAUCAAGCAAAUGCACUACCCUAAUCCUAUUUCUAGAAUGAAAUGCAAUUCUAAUGUCAUGUGUCAUACAUAGGGGUAUAUGUAUAGGGAAAUUAAGGAUAAGGGAUAUACCUAUAAGGGGAAUAUUAUACAAAAUGAUAAAAGGCCCUAGAAAGUGAAAAAUAUGCAUGAAAUGAAGUGAUUUUAUCAUGCAAUCAUGAUCUAAUGCGCGAAGGGGCUUCUAAGGGUCCAGCAUUGGACUAGUCCUUCACUAGCGCUCUCUCACAAGCAUUGGACUUGUAAGAGCUUGAGGGGAAGACCAUGACUAGCGUUGGACUAGCCACGGCUUCGUGCAUUUUGCAUCCAUCAUACAUACAUAAAUAAAUGUGCAUAAUUAAAGCAAGUAGGCAUGUGAGCACGUAAUUCACAUAACACAUAACACAUAACACAUAAGCAUGCAUAUCUAGAUGUCAAACCCUAAAAAAGCAAUUAAACACAUAGCACAUACGCAUACAAAUCACACAAAGAAAAACAAAGAAACCCUAACUAUUACAUCAGGAGGGGGAUGCCUACUACAAUCUAAAAGGGGAAAUAAGAAGGAAUAAAACAAUUAAACUCCUAACUAUUACAAUUUUGGCAUUCGAGUGCCUCCCAAAUGAUCGAAAUUGAAAAUAACUAAAACGAGUAAAGUAGAUAAAUAAAUAAAUAAAUAAAUAAGAUGAAAAACAUUCAAAAGGCAUGCAAUUGAGCACAUAAAUCACAUAAACACAUAGGGUCAAAUAAAGUUAAAAUAAGGGAUAGAGUGUACCUCCCUCGAGUUGGGGCCCUAAUGGAGUGAAAUUACUUAUUUACCCUCCAAAAUAAAAGAAAAGGUCAAGGCAUCACUUUAAUUAAGAAAUAAUCACAUGAAAUGGGAAUAAGUGUGAAAUUAAAUCAAUCAAAGGCACUUAAAAGGAGGCAAACAACCCAUGCUUAAGAAAUUAAAACAAGUAGAGAAUGGCUUGUAAAAGCCAAAGAAGUUCGAGGGUUCAAUUUAUUGAAUAUUAAGGGUCUAAAAGGAAUGAAAUUAAAAUUAAUGGCUUAAGAUAACAACUACCAAUCAAAUGACAAAACUCACCAAGAAUAAAUGGAAAAACUAUUUGCCAUGAUUGAACCACAAAAAAUGCCAAAAUUCCAAAAAAUCAAAUUAACUAUAUAUCCAGAAAAAGUUAUUAGACCCUUCAAAUUCAUCCUACAACUCCUUAAGAACCUACCCAAAAACAAGUCAAGACAUAUUAAAGAGAAAAUGGAACAAGUCAAAACAUAUUAAAGAGAAAAUGGCACAUUAAGAGGACAAAAUUGAUUAAGCGAUCCAAUGAAUUGGGCCAUAGUAGCAUUAGAUAGAAGCCAAGGGGUUGGAGUGUAAUUUUUCCUUUUCUUUUCCAUGCAUGCACACGAGAGCUGCUAGCCAUUCGAAGUUUUCAUUGCUUCUGCAAUGUUUUUUCCUGUUUUUGCUAACUUGUAGCUUACCAAAACACAACAUAAAAUGUCUUAAACCUCUGCCAAACUUCAAAACCAAUUCACAAGAUAAGAACCUAAGAUUUCAACCAUAAUCUUGCAAUCAAGAACAAACAAAAACUCAGCAUUCACAGCAAACAUCUCUCCAGAUUUUCGGAUGGGACAAACUGACAACUUUCAUUCAAAAAUGCAGAAAUGAACAACAAUGGCAAACUGCAAGCCUGUUCCGUCAAAGGAAACCUGGUAUGAAUCCAGCCGUUCACAUGCAAACCACAAGCAAAGUGCAAAAUUCUUUUGGAAAAGAAAACCCAUAACAAAGCCACGAAUGAACUUUAUUUUGAACAACAAAUACUCUCUGCGAUUUCUGAUGCAGAAAACUCAUGUGAAGCUUCCAACCAGAACCAACUAAACUAUCCCCCGAACGCCCCUUAACACUGAACACUUCAAAUGAACCCAGAGCUAUUGACCAAAAACACAAAAUUUCAGCGGAUCAGACCUUGCGGCCAAACAAAUGAUAACCAAUACAGAAAAAAAAACAACUAACUAUUUCAAAAAAAUUGUAGACAAUGCAUGUUGCUGUAACAAACAAAUGCCUUUGAAUUGCAGCAAAUACACGCAUGGCAUCACCAUCACAUAGCAAAACAAACCCAGAAAGAAUGGAAAAAAGACGCCGAGUAAGAACUUUAAACAACCCAAAAGAUAGUUUAUCAACAUUUGCUGCAACAAAGCCCGGCACUUCAAGUUUGUGGUAGCAGACUCUAAAACUGACUCUUAAGGGUCCUAACAACCAUGACAAUGAUGUUUCAGACCAUUGUUUGAUCAAAUCAAGGGAAAAACAAAAAGGAUGCACGGGGCAAAAAUAGUUGGCUUGCUUUUUGAGGAGACCCAUGAUGAUAUCAUCGGAAACCGACUGAAAGUUUACAGCUUCAUCAUCAGAAAACCAAGAGGACAUCCAUGACACAGAUCCAUCAUCUUCCAAGAUGCACAAAAGAUAAUAACAUGAAGGAAGAAAGCUCACAGCAAGUUUAGCUACAAAUCCAUUUAACACCCAGAUGAAUGGCCUGAUGGUUGGUGAACGAGAGAGCAGAGAAUGAAAGGUUACCUGCGCUCCCUUGAAUUGUAGAAAGACGGCGUCGGGAUGGAGGAACAAUGAGCCUCAGCGCAAGCUGAACGAAGCUGGGAAAAGUUUCAUCUUUUUGCUGCGACUGCCUUCCAGAUUCUACACCACCUCUCUUCUCGUUGAGUUGCCCGUUUCUUCCUCACUCGGCAGUUUCUCUCUCGGCUCUUUCGUUGUUGCCCGUCGCUCUUUUCCUUUUUCUGGUUUUUUUUUUCUGCUUAGCCGCAACUUUCCCUUUCUAUCCCAAGCCCUCGGCUCUCUUGGUCUCUCUCAAACUCCCUCUUCUUUUAGUUGUUUUCUGAAACCCUCAGUUUUUCCCCCUUUCUCCUCCAGUCCCUCCGUAGCCUCCAGCGUUUUUUCUCUUUUUCUACCCACAGCCGCCAACCAACCCCCUUUCCUUGCCGUCUGUUUUCCUUUUAUAUGGGAGCCCCAGGUCCCUCAAACCCUCCAAGUUCAUCUUGAUGGCUCCAAAUGAUUCCAACACCCCGCCUCCCUCCUAGCCAUUGAUCAUGGCUUUUAAUAGAUAAAAUGCAAGAAAACCGCAGGAGCUCUCUUGUUUUUUCCAUUUUUCAUUUUCACCAUUCAUUUUUCUCUUCUCUUUUCUUUUUUUCUUCUAACAAAUAAAGCAGUAAAAGUCGAAUAAAAAUAAGAUUCAAACAAAUGAAAUGCCCUAAAAUUUUAACUUUGAUUGAUGGUUUUUUUUUCUUCUUUUUUCUCUCUCUUUUCCUUUUUCAAUUAAUAAACAGUAAAAAGAAAUAAAACAUAUUUUUUAUGAAUAAUUUUCUCUUUUUGACAAAUUUUAUGUUAAAAGUCUUAACAAUAAAAAAUAAACAGCCAAAAGGGCAAAAACGAAUGCAAAAAUUAAAAUUAAAAUUAAAAUCAAAUAAUAGAUAAUAAUAAAAGUCUAAAAUGCUAUACAAAUGCUAAAAAAAAGUCGAAAACCAAAAUCAUGAAAUUAACAGGUAAGAAUAGAUAAGAAUUAUUACUAAAAACAAAAAUAAAAAUUAUUUAAAAAUUAUUUAAAAAUUUGGUGUCUACAAUAGGUUUUAUGAGCUCGUAAUGCGACUUGAAGACGACAGUUAAAGAAAUAAGAUUUUCAAAGACAAUACACUUAAGAUCGCAUUCUUUCCAAAAAAAAUUGCCCCAAUUUUGGAUUCAAAGAUCUUGGACUUUAUUUGACUUUUAUCAUCACUCACUGGGGGAUUCAGUAUUGAAUCUCUUUGCAUUUUUUCAUUUUCUCUACUCUUCUUCUUUUCUUUUCAUAUUUUGCUUUUUCUUUUCUUCUCUUUUUCUUUUUUUUGUCCUUUCUCAAUAUCAAAAUACCAAAAAUGAUGGAAUUGAGAAUCCCCUAACUUUUUAGAUUAUAAAUACCCCUUCUCUCUUUUUUCAAAUUUGAAGCCCAAAUAUUAAUGGUAGAAUCAAAUUUUUCCAACUUGCGAUUCCUUUUUUUUUUAAUUUUAGUAUUUCUUCUUUUUCAUUUUGAAAAAUUCUCCAAUCUCCUUCCUCAGUGUGAGGUGCGAUCAUAAGUGCUUUUGAAAAAAUCAUUGAUUUUAGCUCAAAUGAGGAUGCAAGGGGUAAACAGUGUUUAGAUUGUAGAAACGAUGGCCAAAGUAUCAUUCUUACACCUCAUGACAACCAAAGUAAAAAAUAGCUCAUUGAGAAUUCAUUCCCUUUUGAUAUUUAAAGAUUUUUCCAAUGUAGGGUAAUGAUCAUUAAGACUCUUAUUUGAAACGAAAUUAUUCCUUUAAAGGCUCAAAUGAGAGAGCAAAUAAUAAAAUCUAUAUAGAUAGAGAAACGAACGUUUGAACUAUCAUUCCAAUUUCUCAAAACAAAUAAGAAGUAAUGUGCAUUUCUGCUUUCACUCAGAUGUGGAUUGAACCUAGUUAGACACAGUAGGCGUUUUUCAAGCAAAGAUUGCCCCAAUUUGCAGUUUGUCAAUCAAUGUGACUGAUUUUUUGGGGGUUAAUGGAAGUGAGCCAAAGAUGAAGAAUGAAAGGGAAAAAGGUAUCUAAUUGGUCUUUCGAGACAAAUCCUCAUAUUUGAGUGACCUCUUUUGAUUUUGAAUGCUUUUAUUGAAUAAUUUGGAUCGCAAAUAUAGUGUAUGCAAAGAUUUUAUGGAAUUAAACAUACACUUGUGAAUUUUCAGGCAAGAGGUUGAAAAAUCUCAACUUAGUCUUAUUUCUUAAAAUUUAUCAUGAAAUCCCUCAACGAGUAAAUAAAGAAUGAAAUGUACAUGAUUAUUUACAAAACAAUAAUUGUUUAAAUGAAAACUUUAUAUUGUUGCAAAUGUUUGAAACAAAUUUCUUGUUCAACUAUAAUACAAAUGAGAAAAGAGAAAAUUUCUAAAGAGCUCCACAUAUACACAUUUUUUUAUCUCCUUUUCUUUGGAACAAAAUGUGUUAACAAAUCAAAUAAACAGGAUUUUUUUGUUUGACAAACAAUUAUGGAAUCUCUCAGAUACUUUAGAUUAGCGCCUCUAGAUGGAUUCUUCAAAUUGUUAUUGUAGGGUCUGCCCAAGAAUCAAGUAAUACUUGUAAUUUUUAAAAUUUAUUAGACCAAAAAUUGUUAUCAGAUAUAGAAAAAUAUUUUCAUCUUAUUGAAACAUCUUUUAUAAAUGCAGGGGAGGGGAAAAUUAAAAGAAAAAUACCCAGAGUUAGUAAGUAAAACUUUAAAAUCGGCAUGCAUGUCCUAUGGGGAAGCCCUUUUAUACCAAGGGUUGGCCUAGAAUGAGAAUGCAAUCCUCUAGGGUAAGCACCAUACAAUACCUGAUGAAUCCGAUCAACUUAUUGAUAUUCGAGUGAAAGCAAUUUGAAAAUUUUGGCAAAUUGGAGUGACAAGAGACAUUUUCCUAACAAAAUGAGGACGAAGUUCGAAUGGAUUGAUUACUUUGAUUAACACAUAAAGUGAUGUGUGAAAGAGCCUACUCUUAAAAGGAUUGCAAUGUCUCGACUAGUUUAUUCAGGAAAUCUUAGAUCGAAACUCUAAAAGAGAAUAAACGGGUCAAAUCACUACAAGAAAAUUGGUUUCUAGUGACAAGCCAUUUUCGUCACAAAAAAAAAAGAAAAAGUCGUCACUAAUAAGUUUUAUUGACAACUUUCUAGUCAUCACAGAGUCAUCACUGAAGGCCCGUCGGUAAAAGUAUACAGUGACAACCUUAAAAAUCGUCAGUGAAUGGUACUGUUCUGCGACAACUGGUGUCGUCAGUAAUUGUUGUAAUUUUAGUGAUGACAUAGUAUCUUGUCAAUGAUGUACAAAGUAAUGUCGUCACUAAAACUAACCCAUAGUGUCAACAGAUAUAAACUAAUUACUGACAACUUUUGUUGUCACUAAACACUUUUCAAUUCCAUAACAAUAGGUGGUUGUCAAUGAAGAAAUCUAAUUCAGUGACAACACUUUACCACAAUGAAAUUUGAUGAUUCUCCUGCUAAAUUAUAUCUUAAAAAUAAAAAAAAAUGACAAUGCUUUACAAUUAACAAAUGAAGGCAUCCAUUACAUUAUAAAAUGCCAAAAUAUCAUUUUAAGCAUUCGAAUAUCAUAAUCAAGUUCAAUAACACCAUACAAAUGGUUUGAUAAGUGGUAUUUGGCCAAAUAACACGUCAAGGCAGGUACUUCCAUUGAUCAGCUCUCUAGAUGCCUCUAUGUGAAGUACAAGAAGAGCAGAAUUGAUGUGCAGUGUCAGGUACCAUUGUACGUGGCAACUAAAAUGGCAUCAAUUAGAAGAUCCUCCUUCUUUGUUCCAUCUAGUGAUGGCUAUGCCCGGGCUGCUUUGUGCUGGAUCGGCUAUGAGCCCCAUUGCACACCGCACUGGCGACAUACUCUUCUGUGGGCUUUGACAUAUUCCUUGCCCGAGUGGAUUUUAGAUGCUUGGCAUCUGCAGUUUUGCCUCAGGAUUCGGAAGAGAGGACAGCUCAAGGACUCGAGGAAGAAGGAAUAGAAAAUAUUUCCUUUCUAUCCUAUAUUUUAAAUUGACCAUUGCCUCUCUCGUUCUGGGAUCUGCAGUAAGAUAUGAGGCUAGACGCUAAGAUCAAAUUGUAGAUGGUAAAAUGGCUCAUGUUCCAGUGUUUCCUUGUUUCCAUAGAAUGGUUUUGAGCUUGCUCUUUAGAACCCAGUCAUCAGUUGUUUGGGUUAUUUUUCCCACUUAUUAAAGAUCCUUCAGAAUUCGGAACUGAAAAAAAAAGUAUCAUCUAGACAAUAACUAAAUAAGAGCAAAGUAAGAGAUAAAGCACAUAGAACUUUAGAACUCAAGAAACACUUCUUUUAUUUUUACUAUGAUAUUAAAAACUCAAGAAACAAUUGCAGAAAAACCAUUGCAGAAGUGCAGGACAGCCAUGCGCACUACUGAACAACAUGGAUAAGUAAGGAACCUCAACAAACUCCAUACACCAAUUUUUUCCAAAACUACUGGACACUUAUGAAUGACAGUUUAUAUGAUUUUUUAAGGGGAAAAUUGUUGCCCAGUAGUUUGCUAAGGAUGCAGAACAAAACCAACGCAUAGGCUGAUAACCUAUUUCCCAUUUCCUCUGCCACAUCACCAAUGAGGUAUUUAAAGAAGCGAAGGAAAAUCCCAACAAUUAAAACAGCUACAAGUCCUAACCAGCAGACUGGCAUCUCAGUACAUGCUAAUGACAACGCAAUGCGACAGUACAUUUCAUUAUCAAAGAACAGAUGUUAAUCAGCUCAACAAACCCAUUGGACAGACUUCAAUGACGCUUAAAAGAAAAAAUCAACAGGGAAACGGUGAAUGAGAGGGCAUACUAUUUCCAGUUGGGAGGGAGCUUCUUGGUCUUUUUGUAGUAACGAGCGAGGCGGUGAAUCCUGCUCUCCACCAGAAUCAAUCUGAACUUGGAAUCCUUGUCCUUCCUGUUCCUCUCCAAAUGCUUCCUGAUUGCGAUGGCCUUCUUGAUCAGAUGGUAUAGAUCCUCUGGAAUCUCAGGUGCAAACCCUGCCCUCCGAACCAGAAAAAAUCACUAAUAUUGUUAUAAAAAAUUUAAACAAAAUAAUGCGAAUGCAAUAAGAAAAAUGAUAUUGAAUUGUUUUUUUUAAAUAUACUGUGAGCCUUGAGGAUCCCAAAUUCCCACUCCACCCAGCACCACUUAACCCACUAUUUCUCUCACUAGCAGCCACUGAUAGCAACAUCAUACACCCACUCCCUCCACCACCAUCCAAUUAUUGGGGAAAAAAUUUAGGGCAAAUUAAUUGGGGAAAAAAUUAGGGAAACAAGGUUUGCAAAUUAGUGCAAACCUUGCCCUCCGAACCAGAAAAACUCCUUCCUGAGCCUCUAGACAUUGCCGGAGUCGUCGACCUUGUAGAACUAGAGGACGGCAGCCUUGGCCUUCUUCUUCUUGGGCUUGGUGUGGGUUUUCUUCUUGCGCUUCUUGGAGCCACCACGGAGGCAGAGGAAGAGGUGGAUGGUGGACUCCUUCUGGCUCCUUCCAGAUGUUGUAGUCCGCUAGGGUACCACCGUCCUCCAACUGCUUGCCGACGAUGAUGAGGAGCUGCUGGUCCGGCUGCCGCCUCCGCUGCUGCUCGGCAUUCGGGAAACGAAUAAAGGGGGUUGAGAAUAAUGGGGUUGCUUGAGGGAUUGAGAGUGUGAGGAGUACAGAUGGCGCCUGGAUGUGGGGACUGGCCGACUGGGGAGUAAGAGUGGUUGCUUUUCUUAGUGUAUGGUACCCGCGCCACUUUUUUCAUUUUUAAUUUGAACAAAUUUCGGGUACUGGUCAAUCAAGACAAUUCAAGUCAAUUUUAGGUUCAAUUUUUAUUUAAAUUUACUAAUGUAUUUCUAAUCACUACUUCUUAAUAUAUUUAUUAAAAAAUUAUAAUGGAUGAAAAAUUUUUGCUAAAUUCAAAGAACUGGUAAAUGUUCUCUUUCUCAAGUUAUAAUAGUUUAUAUAGUUGUUCUAACUAGAAACUUUCAUUAAUUUUUUCCAGUUAAAAACGUAUUAUUAUUUGAGCAACUAUGAAUAGUUUAAUAAAUCAUCAAAUUUAAAAAAAUUAAAUUAAUAUUGAGGCUCACAAUUAAAUAAAUGGAUUGGAGAUUUUUCAAGUUAGUGAUGAUACUAUGUUGUCACUAACUAUGCUAUAGUUUUACUGAUAAAAAUUGGUCGUCAAUAAAUAUAAAUAGUGACAAUAAUAAAAAGUUGUCAAAGAAAGAGGUAGAAUUACUGACAACUUUUAUCAAGUUGUCACUAUCGUAAAACUCGCGCCUUCCAAGUCCCAUGGCGCGAAGUAGUUUUGUGACGACAAUUAAGGGUUGUUUGGAGUCCCAUGGCGCGAAGUAGUCCUUGGCCUUUUUUUUCUUGUAGUGAAUGGAUUGAUGAUUUAUUCAAAAAUUGACUGGAUCGCCCUAAAAAUGGAUAAAUUGGUCAAAUAGAUUGAAUGAAAUUGAUGAUUUAUUCAAAAUUGACCGGAUUGUCCUAAAAAUGAGUAAACUGGUCAAAUGAAUUGAAUGAAAUUGAUGAUUUAUUCAAAAUUGACUAGAUUAUUUUUAAAAAAUGAAUAAACUAGUAAAAUGGAUUGGAUGGAAUUGAUGAUUUAUUCAAAAAAUUGACUGAAUUAUCUAAAAAUGAAUUGAUAAAAUAGAUUGUAUGGAGUGGAUGGUUUAUCCAAAAAAAAUCGACUCAAUCACCCUAGAUGCUAAUAAACUUGUAAAAAUGGGAUUGAUGGAAUUGAUGGUUUAUUUGAAAAUUGACUAGAUUGCCCUAAAAGGGAGUAAACUAGUAAAAUGGAUUAUUUAAAAAUUGACUAAAUUGUCAACCCAUUUGUGGUUUUUAAAUUGUACGAAUUUCAUUACAAUGCAUCAGUCUAUGAGUUUUCUAAAAUCAAGAUUCGGCGUCGAUAUAUUUAACAUCUCAAUAAUGAGGAAUUAUUUGUGAAUUUCUUCAACUUAAUGUCUUUUAUGCAAGGAAUUUUUACUAAUUCUGAAAAAAUGACCAAAAGAUGAUUGUUAGAUGCUUAUAUUCUACUAUGCAAAAGUUGCUCUAUUACCAUGGAAAAGAUCGGAUCCUACCUUAACUCGUACACCACCCCUUUGAACGGUACAAGAAAUAUAGACGUGCAAAUCUCAUUGGAUUACAUAUCCAAGACACAAUGUGGCUUAUUCCUAACGUGGGAUUCCCUAAAUGGCAUCCCUCUAAAGUUUAUGUAUGAUACCAAUUUCAAAGCGAUUAAAUAUGCAAUUUGAAAUGAAAACAUGACCUAAAGGGAUCCUUUUGUAUGUCAGGGUGGGUCUAAAAUGAUGUGCAAUUAUUAACCUACGAAUGCAAUACAUCAGAAUUUUAAACGUGCAAUAACCUAUCUAAAAGGGUAGGUUCUAAAAGAGUAUCAUGCCAGAUCUCUCAUUUUCUAGCGUUUGUGAAUGCAAAAGACGAGAAAACAAGGAAAUGUUAGUUCAACACAUAACACGUUGUGGCAAUUAAAUGAUACAAAAACUAAAAAGAAAAAUAAGGAAAGAGGGAUGGAAUCCCUCCCCCCGUGCCUAGUGUUCCUAGUUGGGUAAGGUUAACUCUAUCCUAAGUUAUUUCUAAUAUGGAUGCAUGAGGUUUUGGCUUACUAAUGUAUCUAGACUCGAUAAGAUUUCAGGCUCCCAAACCUUCAGACCAAGAGGCGAAAGGUCAUCAAUCCUAAGGCCUUCGAUCAGUGGUUUGAGUGAUCCCUUAGACAUCGCUAUGGGCGCAGAGCACACCAUCCGCCUACCUAAGGAAAUCGAUCCUAAUCCUACAAGGAAAUGUGGGAUGGCGCUCACGAGAAAGAAUAAAAAUAGGGUAAAAGUAAUGCAUGCACGUAUGAGGUGCUUCCUUUUAAAGGGAGGGAUUAAAUACCAUUACAUGUAGAUUAAGGUUCUAGGGUGGCUAUCCUCCCCAAGAUGCAAACGCGAUAAACAUAAGUAAAUGAAAGAAAAUAAAACACAUUAUUCAUCACAUACACGGAUAUCGAGACGAUUGCGCGUGUUAGAUGUAAAAAACCCUAAAAAGGAAAAAAUGCAACCUAAAACCUCCAAAUGUGAUAUAUAAGAAGGUUAAAAAAAGAAAAGAAUUAACUAAAUCAAAUGCCCGGACUCUUUAAAGUCCCCAGUGGAGUCGCCAAACUGUCGCGCCCCAUUUUAAAUGAAAAAAUAAGAGUUACGGGUUUAUAAAAAUAAAUUUUGAUUUAUUUUGAAUGAAAAUGAGUUUUUGAUUUGUAGAGAAUAAAUAAAGAAAAAGGGUCUAAAAUGGGAUUUAAAAAAUGCGACGAUUUUAGCCCAAAAUAUAGUUUAAAAAGGGUUUUUAAUAAAAAAAUAGGAGUCGCCACUUGGUAUUGAGUUAAGGUGUACCAAGUCACCUAAAAUGAAUUUUAAAUAAAAAAAGUAGAGAAAAUCCUUUUUAAACGACUCCAAGUCUUCGAAAAUCAAGAGAAAAGUGUUCUGGAAUCACGUUUGAAGAAAGGAAAGAUAAGAAUAAAAUCCAAAUCACCCUUUCAACCUAACCAGAGAUAGUUGCGUGAUUUAGUCGGAAAAUUUUCUUAGUUUAACCUAUAAAACUUAUCACAUUUGGAUGUUAGUAUAUAAAUGCAAACCUAGACCUAAUGGCUAUCGGAAGGAUCAAAAUAUCUCUUCAAAACUUGAUUGGUGCAAAUCACAUUAAUUGUGAUACCCCAAAAGUGAAUAUUUAAAGAGGUCACGAAUAUGCAAAGAGUGAGACUUGAAGAAAAAAAAGAAAAUAAUAAUAUACAAAUAUACAUGACCUAAAGGAAUGCAUUAUAAUGGGUACGGGGGUACUAAGAUUCGUGACUUAAUUUUCCCUUUUAUAGAGGAGAUACAAGCGCGCUAAGGCUAAGGAGCCAUACUCGUCUAUAUCCCAUAUUCAAAGGGUAUUUCAUAUCUAAUCAAGCAAAUGAUCUAACUAAGUUCUAAUUUUCCUAAAUGAGAUGCAAAUCUAAAUGUUAUGUUUUAUACAUAGGGAUAAGGGGUAUUCAUAUAGGGGAAAUAUCAUGUAAAAAUGGUAAGGGUCCAAAAAAGUAGAAAAAUAUGCAUGAAAUGUAGUGAUUUGUCACACAAAUAUGAUUUAGCAUGUAGACGGUUCCUAAGGGUCUAGCAUUGGACUAACCCAUGUCUAUAAGUUCUGACUAGCGUUGGACUAGCGAGAAAACGGAAAAAAAGGCCACAACUAGCGUUGGACUAGUGUGGCGACGUCAUGCAUUUAUUAUAAUCAAAUAAGUCAUAUAAACAUAAUAAAAUCAAGUAAACACAUAAAGCACAUAGAACACAUAGCACAUAAACAUGAUAUCUAAAUGCAAUAACCCUAAGAAAGCGAGUAAACAUGUAAACACACAAGCAUGCAAACACAUAAGCAAAUAAAAGCGAAUAAAGACCUAACUAUUACAUUUGAAGACCCUAACUACAAUCUAAAGGGGAAAAGAAUGAAAUAAAAUAAAAUAAUAACCUAACUAUUACAACUCGGCAUUUAAUUGUCUCUCAAAUAAUCAAAAAUUAAAUUAAAAUAAAUAUACAAAAUUAAAAACCAAUAAAGUGAAUAAGUAAAUAAAUAAAUUAAACAAAAUAAAAAAAUUCAAAAAAAUGCAAUUAUACACAUAAAAUCACAUAGGAGCACAUAGGAUUUUUAAAUAAUAAAAGAAAGUACCUCCCCUUGAAGUAGUAGCUAAUUGGAUUUGGAUUUACCCUAUUUAAAGCUCCAAAAAUCAACAAAGUAGUCAAUGUACCAAUUUAAUUAACAAAUGAAAGCAAUAAUAUGUAAAGAAAUGGAAAUAAAUCAUGAAAUUGAACAAUUAAAGCAUUUAAAUGAAAGUAAACAACUCCUAUUCAAGAAAUUAAAACAAGCAAGGACCUAAUUAAAAAAUUAUAAAAGUUUUGGGGGUCAAAUUAAAGGAAAAUGAAAUUAAGGGGUCUAAGAUAAAACCUAACAAACACAAUGCUAAAAUCCACAAAAAUAAACCAAAUAUCUAUAAAAUAUUACCCAAGUCUUUAAAUCUUUUGAUAAAAACCAAAUCAAAACUAUAAAAUCUAUCAAAAAUAUUAAACCUCAAAUUUCAUCCUAAAACUCAUAAAUAACCUGUCCAAAAAUCAUAUUAAAGCAUGUCAACGAAAAUUAACAUUUAAAAGGGACAGAUUGACUGAUUUUUCCAAUUUUUCAGGCCAUAGUAGAAUUAAGCAAAAAUCUGGGGUCAAAAUGCAAUUUUUUUGAAACUUUCAUGCAAACCAUUCGAAGAAGCUUUCUUCUUCCUGCUGGUUUCCUUCCUCAGUGAUUUCAUGAGCUCACGGUACAAGUUACCCUUUGCUAAACAUAACUAGAGUCUCAACCAAACAUCAAGCUUUGAUUUUAAGCAACAAAAAUCACAGAAACUCAACAUCCACACACAAAAGCUGCUACAACAAUUUUAUUCAACCUAAAUAUGCUCAUGCGAAUAACUCAGACAAAAACCCACUGAUUCAUUAAACAAACCCAAGUGCAAUGGCUUCAACCCAUCUUUAAUCACAUCACCCAAACAAUAUUGCCCAUUCCCAGAAGAUUCGACAAUGCUACUGGCCAGGGAAACGCAGCAAAGAAAAAAAGGAAGAAACUUGUGGUAACUGAAGUUGGAUCUAUCGCAAGUCACUGUUUUUCUAGCCAAACCAUCUAAUCACUGAACAUCAAAUUACCCUAAAGCCUUUUAAACGCAUUUUGAGUCAGCCAAACAAAUUUCUUCAAAUCAUCAGGAACCACAGAGAGGAAAUAACAGGCGCACGCACAAGGAGUAAAUAAGAAACUGAUGCGAUGAAUUCAGAUCUUCACAAAAAUAUGUUAAAAUGACAGGAAGAUAAACUAGAGUUACCUGAGAACGCUCACGUGAUCAAUUGAACGUCAGAUAUGCCUGGAAAUGCGCGCUGAUUCCAAGAAUGAAGCCAAGACCUUGGUUGCAGAAAAUUUCAGCAAUGGCGAUCUAGCUACUUUGAGCCGCGAUUUGAGAGGGUUGGAGACUUUUUUUCCAGAUGAUUUCUUAACAAGAAUUGUUCAUGGGUAUCCAGAGAUGGUACAAAAAGAAAGAUCUAGCUCUUAAGGUUAGAGGUUAAGUCGGAAUUUGAUCGGGAAGUGAGCUGGUUCGCCAACCUGGUCGUGGGUUUUGUAGAAAAAAUUUUCUAAACUUUUCUCAAUUUCCCCCCCCUUCCAUUUUCUUUUCUAUUUUUUCCUUGUUCCGUUUCCUGCUCUCUCUCUUUUGUCCUCAGAUUAUCUCCUUUCUUGUUUCUCCUUUCUUUUUCCUUUUCUUCUCCUUUCUCCCUUUCUUUCUUUUCUUCCCCGAAGCUCUCUCUUUUCCCUUUCUCUCUGGUUUUUUUCCUUUUUGAUCUCUCUUGUUUCCCUCUAUCCCUACACAGUCUCUCUUUCCCUUUCUUGCUCUCCCCCCAGAUCCUCUCUUCCUCUCCCUUGUUUCUCCUUUUUUUUUGUUCAAUCUCCCCGUAGUCUCCUUUCCUCUCGGUUCCUUCUUUUUCUUUUCUUUCUUUCCCUCCUUGCCCCCGGCUUUCUUCCCCCAGAUUUUCCUCUUUGUUUUCUGUUUUCUCAUCCCUCCCAAAGCUUCUCUCUCUUUCUCUUCUAGUUUCUAGAUUUUUCCCACACUCUCCACCUGUCUUGCCACCUAGCCCCUUGCAUGUGUUGUGCAAAAAACAAAGACACAUGACUAAUGCUCACCUAAUACACUUAGCUACCAUGCAUGCCUUCCACCUAUUUUGUUUUUUCCUUUCUAUUAUUUUUUUUUGGUUUUCAAAACAAAUUUAGGGCAAACAAGAUGUUAAUUCCUAAUUGAAACUGCCUUGGAAAUUUUCAUUUUAUUUGGAAGAAAUUGAACUUGAAAAGAUUAAAAACAAAUUUUUGUGAGACUUUUCUUUUUUCAAAAAUUAUUUAAAAAGAAAAUGAACCCUAGUUCCAUAAGAAUAGCAAACUAUCAUUUUGUGAACUUUAAUCAACUAAAAAAAAUAAUUAAAAUUAAAUUAAAUUAAAAUUAAAAUGGAAUUGAAAUUUUGGUGUCUACACAACUCUUCCAACUACUACGAUCGCAUCGGCCCCAAAAUUUCUCGCUUUCUCUCUCCUCUAUGAAGGCUCUCUCCAAUUUCUUCUUCCUUUCCUCCCUUUCGUCUUCCCUUCUCCUCUUUUCCUGGUAGCUUAUGAUAAUUACCAUAAAUAAUGAAAAUUUUAUACUUCUACAACUAUUCAUCUAGUUGUCUAAGAAGGAACAUCUUCAUCUAACUAUCUGAGAAGGAACAGGAGAUAAUGAAGUGGAGUUUUUAUGCAUCAAAGUUUCUAUCUCUUAAAAUCUCUAAAGGUAUUCUCUCUAUUUUCUAUCUCUCUCUCUUUUUUCUUUUUCCAUUUAUAUGAUCCGUAAAAUUGUUAUGGUGGUUUUAUGAUUGUGUAGAUGUAAAGAUUGGAAUUUUCCUUAGAUUAUUUUUUACAAUAGGUUCAUUAUUUGUGAAUAAUUUAUAUUUGGGGAUUUCACCACUUUUUUAUGAGAAAAUUAUUUGCAAACUUAACUAUGGUGUCUGUUCUACAUUUUAGAAAGGUUUAUUAUUUUGGCCUGAACAUGAUGUGCAGUAAAGAGUACGAACAUCAUGUACAUUCCACCGCCUUUUUUUAAUUCGAGGUUUACAUUUUUCAUCUUUUAUAUCUUUUGAUAUUAUCCAUAUUUUUGUAUUUCUUUUUCAGAAACUUUCUUUUGUUAUUUUUUGACUUUAGGCUAAACUGUUCAAGAUCCAAGAUUUGCAAGGAAGUGUUGAAGGUAUAGAUUCUUUUGUCCUUCUUUAUUUUUAUGAUUAUCCUUAUUUCUUUCAGAGUUCCUUAAAUUUUCUUGUUGAUUUAUUUUUUUAUGAAUUUGAAUCUUUUUUCGCUUAUUUGAUAGGUUUAUAUAGUCUUACGAAAGUUUGGUGUAUGAACUUAUUUUUGUAGAAUAUUCAAAUCAUUGGUUAUAUUGUUUUUUGUGAAGUAUGUCUUGUUUUUAUUUUUCAGAUGCUUUACUCCAUCAGGUUGCAUUUCUUUUUGUUUAAAACACUUACAAAAUUGUUUGUUUCUUCACUUUGGUAGUUUUUACCACGAUGUUUUAGCAAUUCAUAUUUUCAUAAACCUCUUGCCUGAAAUGAUGCUCUUUUUUGUAGGUCAGUCUGACUCUGUAAAAAUAGGGUGUUGCCAACUUUUAGUUAUAGUAUUAGAGGUAUCUCUUGAAUCUAUGCUACUACAUUAUUUUUUCCGAAUUUUUUCUCUAAGGCAACAAUCUUAUUUAAGGCUAUUUUUUUGUUUUAAUUUUGAAAGGUAUCUUUUCCUUGGUAAUCAUGUUAAUCUCAAUUUAUUUUCUUUUGACUGUAAUAGAAAUCAUGAAGGACUCUAAUGAAGAUUUAAGCAGCUAAUGCUUGUAUAUUUCCUUUUGCAAAGUCUGUAAACUUAUUCUGAACCUUGCUUAUAAGUUUAUAUUUUUUCUGUUUGGGAUAUUUGUGUCCAAAUUUAUCGGUAAAAUUUAAUACAUUUUUCCACUUUUAUGUGACUCAUUACUUAUUUAUUUGGUUCUCCUCUCCUAAAACAUAAAAAAUGAGUUUUUAACUUUGAAAAUAAGUUUUAUUUCCUCUUUAUUGUGCUGGCUGACAAAAUCGAGUUCCAUCUUACUUGGUAUCAGGAAGAAAGGUUCAAUACUGAAGCAUUCAACUUAAAUCAAAAGUAGACCUUGUCCUUCCUGCUGUCUCUUUAGUUUGUCCACAAACAAUUUGGUUUUAUUUUAUCUUUUUUAGCAAUAGAACUCUUUAUUCAUUAAGAAGAAACUGAAAAGGGUGAUACAAUGAGUGUGGGAUGACAGCGGGAGCUACCCCGACCAAACUACUACUACCGCACUUGGCGGAACCAGACAUAAGGAACUUGAAGCCUGUCUAAAUGAAGGGCUGAACGGGCCCUAUGUGGCAGAGACGCCUCAGAAGAGAAAACAACAUCUGACGGAAGAUUCAACGAGGCCAUUGCGUCGGCCACAGAGUUGGCUUCGUGAAAGAUAUGGGCCACCGCCGCUCCCAAGGCCGUUACCACUGCUUUAAUCUGCCAAAUAAAGUUACACAAGGGCCAACGGGAAGAAACAUCAGACGAAACCAAUCUAACAAAGACACUAGAAUCCACAUCCGCCUCACAAUUUUGAAGGUUCCGUUGUUGACAAAGCCAGAGCCUCUACCAUGAGAACAUCCUGAUUCCCAAAUUUCUUGUGGAAAGCAAAAAUCAGGUCUCCCCUGGCUGAUUGAAGAAUCCCUCCACCAGAGGCACCUGUGAAUGAGACACUCGCAUCUGUGUUCAAUUUGUAGAAGCCUCGAGGAGGCCUAACCCAGGUGACCACCUGAGGUUGAGGCCGCCUCCCUUUCCCCAGGAUACGCUUUGCCCAAACGCAAUUCGUAUCACCCUUGAAACAUUGCGGCUGCAAGAGCUGUCCCACACACAUUUGAUUAGUGAAGUUGCAGACCUGGGAAAUGACCUGAGCCGCCGACAGAGGCAAACCCUCGAAUCGCGCCUGAUUUCUCACCCUCCAAAUAAACCACAGGACCAAGAGAGGGAUAAUGACACGUGUGUGGUUCUGCCGCACCAAGCAAUGUGAGAAAAAUCAUGACGCCAACUUACCCGCUACCCCAUUUGCCGUGCCUAGGAUUCCAAACCAAUUAUCAAAAAACUACCACACUGUAGCUGCCACCGGUACCGUUACAAAAAGAUGGGAGCUUGUCUCCACCUCAGUCCCACAGCAACAACACCGGGAAGCUAGCACAACCCCCCUCCGCUGGAGGUGCUGAUCUAGAGGCAGCCAUCGGUGCAAAAGCCGCCACGUGAAGAAGGAGAUUUUGAGCGGGACAGCCGAGCUCUAGACCAAUGCGUGGACAGUAAACAAGUUCCUUUUACUCCGUACUAGCUCCCAUGCCGACGUCACCGAGAAAUCCCCCGAAGAAGACGUGCUCCACACCAUCUGAUCAUUGAGACCAGGGAAGAUCCGGAGCAGUAUGAUUUGCGCCACAAUGUGGCCAGGGAGAAGCUGCCGAAGACGGUGCUCAUCCCAUCCGAUAUCCCUAUAGAGCUCCCCUACCAGCAAGUGGGGCGGGCCGAGGCCGGAACCAAAGUAGCCAGGGGGACUUCCGUGCACCACCUAUCAUGUCAAAAAUUGACAAGGCCCUCCCCCAGGGACCACCGAAUAUUCCUCUAAGUCAGGUCUCAAACUUUUAUCAAGCGUCGCCAAACGGCCGAUGGGCGGUCAACUGUCACCAGAUGAGGAUGGAUGCCUUUGAUAUAUUUACUAUGCAUAAAUUGUGCCCAAAUUGUCCUGUUCUCCCUCAAACACCACUAUAAUUUGCAUGAGAAGGCGUCGACCAUAGCUUCAAAAGAUCGAAAACCCAAUCCAUUCUCCCCCAUAGGGUAACAGACCUUCUCCCAAGCUGCCUAAUGAAUCCUCUCGGACUCAAUGGAGUUAUCCCAGAGAAAGCCAUUACAGAUUUUACCCAACGACGCAACUACAGCUCCCAGCGGUGGAAGGGCCUAUAGCCAGCAUAUGGGAAGUGAGCACAACACAUGACGAAUCAAGACUAUCUUGCCGCCCAUUGAGAGCAGUUUCGCGCUCCAAUGAAACAAACGCCGCCGCAUCUUUGCCAGCAGUCCAUCAAACAAAGCACAAGUAACCCUGCCCCUGAACAAAGGCACUCCUAAAUAAGUAAAGGGUAGUUUCUGUUCCCGAAAAUCAAGAGUUGAUUGCACCAGACUGCAGUGUUCGGCUGUCAUUUUUUACGACGGAGAGAAAGAACUCUUGGCCACAUUAACCUUUUGCCCCGAGCAGGAUUGAUAAAGUUGUAGAAAGUCUCGGAUCGAUGUCAAGGCGUCAGCUGAGCAACUGGAGAAGAUGAUCGUGUCAUCCGCAAACGCGAGGUACGGGACUCUCAAACCAACGGAUACAUAAUAUCGACUACUCGAAGUUUCACAAAGUUGCUGUAGACCCCUCCCCAGAAACUCGGCGACAAACAGAAACAAAGCCGGGGAAAGGGGAUCGCCUUGCCUCACCCCUUGAGUAGACUUGAAGAAGCCUGAAGGCUCCCCAUUGAUCAAAAUCGAGAACCAUGAAUUGGAGAACGUACGGAACAGCAAAUCAACGACCUGUUCAUCAAACCCAAACUGGCGAAGCAUGAAGAGCAAAAUUGACCAAUCAACCCUGUCAUACGCCUUCUCCAAAUCCAAUUUGAGAAUCAAAUUUGAAUCUACCAGCCUUCUAUCUAAAUCAUGAAUGAGUUCCUGUGCCAGCAAGAUGUUAUCAAAAAUCCCUCGCCUUGGAACAAAACCUGUUUGCCACGACAAAAUCAGAUCCGGGAGGAGCCGAUUCAACCGGUUAGCCAAGAUCUUAGAGAUAAUUUUUGAGCUGACAUUGCACAGGCUAAUAGGUCGGAAGUCCCGCCAAUGAGAGGCACCCUCCACUUUGGGAAUGAGUACCAGCAAAGAGCUAGUCCAGCCUCUCGGUUGAUGCAUGCCUUUGAAGAAGUCCUAGAAAGGGGUGAGGCAAAACAAUUUGGUUUUGUGAACUAAGUUUUAUUGACAUUUUCUUUUUUAUUUUUGUGGCUUUUGUUUUUAUUAAUUCAAGUUGUUGCUAAUCUCAGCAACUCUUGAGGGCUAUGGUAUUAAGUCAUGCAUUGCUCUUUCUUGUGUUUUUUCAAUUUUCGUCGCUCUUAGUAUUUAUGCAUUAACAACUCUAAGAUCAAAGUUACUCAAUAAAUUUAAAAAAACUCUAAAAUCAAAGUACCAAAAUGACAAAAAUGAAUUGUUCUUUCUUUCACAAGUUGGAGUUCUUAAAUCUUAAUGUAGAAGGAUAAUCUUUUUGUUCUUGAAUCUUAAUAUAGAAUAAUAACCCUUUUGUUUGUUCUUCUAUAAUUUUCACUUUUCUUUUUUUUUUUUCUUUUAUUUGUUCAUUUCAUGUGUUUUGGAUGGAUUGAUUAAAAAAUUUUCAAUCAAAUCUAAUUUUUGUUUUGCUUAGGUGAUUUUACUUUAUGCCUGAUGUGAAUUUUUUUAUGUAAAAGAGUUAAUUGUGACAGUAGAGCAAAGGUGAUCUACAAUUUAGAUAAAACUAAUCAAGUGGUUUCAUUUGUCUAUGACUGUAACUGGAUUUUUUUCUUGAAUGCAAUCAUCAAUGUAAAAAUAACAAAAACUAAGUUUCAUUAGUUGAAGGUAUUCAAUGGCCUUGGCAAUCUUCUUUCUCGGUAACCGUUUCUUUCUCGGUAAUCUUCUUUCUUGAUAUCCAAUGUAACUAGAAGACAUAAAAUGAAAAUCUUCUUUCUUGGUUUCUCCUCUUAUUUUCCUUUUUUUCUUCAUCUCCUUUUCUCUCCUUCCUCUCUCGAGUAAUAAUUGUUAAUUUCUUCUAUUUUUUUGUUAUUUUUUCCUGAUUUUUUUUUCGCUUGGCUAAAAGCAACAAAUCAUUUUCUCCUCUCCCCUAUGUCUUUGUUUGUUAUACUCUCAGAUUUUUCUCUAUUAAGAAAGCUUCUUUUUUUAUUUGGCUUUGUAUUCACUAAAUUUCCAUGAUACUUAUCUUCUGAUAUGUUUUAUUUUUCCAUUUUUUUAAAGGAUUUAGCUUACACAUUCAAUAAAUAUCUUCAUCAUUUUAGUGUGGGCUUGGAGUAAUGGUUGCCUUUUGCCUAUUUUCUUUUCUUUUGUUAGGUUGAAAAAGAUGAUGAAGAUUGAAGACGAAAUGAUGGUGAUUUUGAUGGGGUUUGGACAUUCUUGUAUGGUUCCAGAUGCUUUACUAGAAACAUUAGCCUCAAGGGUAAUUAUCGUACCCAACAUGUGUGUGUGUGUGUUUUUGUUGUAGUCAGUUGAUUUUAUUUGUUUUAGGGAUUCCUUUUUCCUUUUUUCUUCUAAACAUCCUUCUUGUUUUAAUAACUAUAUGAUAGAAGAAGAAUGAUUGACAACUGAUGGUAGGUUUUUCUUUUUAAUCAUUUUUUGAGUUUUCUUCCAUGCAAAUGUUAUUGAAUUCCUGGCUCACAAAAGGCAUCACUUUGGUUCCCUAGAUUUUUUUUAAGAAAGAGAAUAACUCAUUGUUCAUUUUUUAUUUGUCUAAUCUUUGUUUGUUAGCUCUCAAAAGUUUCUUUCUUUUUGAAUCUCUGGACAAACUUUUUUCUCUUGGCAUGAUAAUAGGAAUUAAUUGACAUUGUCUAAACUUGUAAUGUUCUACUUUAGAUUUGUCAGCAUGUGGUUUCAUAUUAGGUUUUUUACACUCAUUGGUGGUUCUUUUUCCAUUAAUACUAAGUAAGUAGAAAUAGUUGGUUGGAGUUGAUUUUUCACUCUCUAUGAUUUUGUUAGAUUCGAAAAAGAUAUUGGCUUCUAACUCCUGACACUUGAGGUGCUCAAGAAUGAGACUUUUAAGAAAUUGGAGUUAUCUUUAACUUAGAUAUGGAUAUUGAAUGAGUUUUACGUUUUCUUUGUCUUCAUGUAUGUGAGAUCUUAAGACAUGCUUCUAGUUCUCUGUUGCUUCCCUGUUAAGCAAACUUCGUUGUCAUGGUAGUCAGAUUAUUCAGUGAACUAGAAGUUCUUUAAUAUAUGUUACUGUAGCUUUUAACUCGUUAAACUUUCUUGCAAACUGAGUAUCUUGUUUGUUUUGAUUAAUAAAUUCAGAACAAUGGUAAUUUCAACUUGACCAUAAGGAGAUUCAUAUCCCCUCCCCUUUUAUGUUUUUUUUUUAAGUUUGUUUCUUCAUGAAUUUUGAGGAGAAUAUAAGGUUUUUAAAUAAUAAUUUCAACUUCGUUGGUGUUAUUGUCCUAGUGUUAUUGACAAGUGCUUUUCCUUAUCCUUUGAGUUUUUUUUUUAGGCUGUAGAUAGCUUUUUCCUGCUUUUAUAUCAUUUUUAUUUUAACUAUUUGGUUUCCCUCUUUGUAGUAUUUUUCAGAAACUUACACAAACCCUUUUGAAAAUUUGAAAGUAUUAUUUUUUCUUCCAUUAAAUAUUUGAUUAGAACUAAUGAUUACAGAGGAUAUUUGGGCUUUUAAGUUUCAAUACAGGAGUUGGAAAUCUGAUAAGAACAUGAAGAUUUAGAUCCCCUCCAAGUUCAAGAAAAUUCAUUUUUAUAAGUUUUCACAUUCUAAUAAUGGUUGAUGGUGCAAUCGAGCUCAAGAAUCGUUAAAGAUCCGAAACUAUGUCAUGCUUAUUUCUUGUUAAGUUUUUAGCAGUAAUUGUUAGUUAAUUAGAGUUAGUUUUGAGUUAUUUUGAGUCAUUAAUAAAGGGAAUAAAGGCUAAGGUCAUGUUGACCAUAGUUAAGCCAAUUUGAGUUAGUUAGUUUCCUAUUCUAGUUAAAUUAGAGUUUUAGGAACGCAAUUAAUUGUUUCCAAGUUAGUUUAGGUCUUUGAGUCUUGUAAAAUGCUAUAAAUAAGGCUCAAGUGUCAACAUUUUUUAUAGUCAAGUCAGAUGAUGAAUAAAAUUUGAGAGUUUUCUCUUACUUGUUACUUGGGAACAUUCCUUGAUACAAAGUGAGUCGUGUCUCCUUUGUUCAAGUUUUUGCUUAUCAAUUCAAGACCACGUUGAAUUAUGGCGCCAUUCUACCAUCGCAUCUUGGUUCACUAUUUUGUUAAGUUGUGGGUCGCGAUUAAGUUCAACAUUCGCAACUUCGCGGGUUAGAGGGGUCGAGAUUGUUCCAUUUUUGUAUCCAUAACCUGGUCAAGAUAGAUCCUUCGGCUGCCUGAUCAAUUUCGUUCUUCAAGACAGGUUCUUGUUGGGUCGAGUUCGCAUCAAAUAAUGACAGAGACAGGUUCUUGUUGGCUCAAAUUCGCAUCAAAUAAUGACAGAAUUUGAUCAAGCAGCGGAAGAAUCUAUAUUGAUCAGGUUAUGGAUACAAUGAUGGAACAAUGUCGAUCCCGCUAACUCGUAAAUUUGCGAAUCUUGAAUCUAAUCGCGACCUACAACUGAACAAGAUAGCCAACCAAGAUGUAAUGGUAGAAUAGCGCCACAAUUCAAUGUGGUCUUGAAUUAAUAAGCCAAAACUUGAACAAAGGAGACACGACUCACUUUGUAUCAAGGAACGUUCCCAAGGAACAAGAAAGAGAAAACUCUCAAAUUUUAUUCAUCAUCUGACUUGACUAUAAAAAAUGUUGACACUUGAGUCUUAUUUAUAGCCUUUUAUAAGACUCAAAGACCUAAACCAACUUGUAAAAAAUUAAUUACUUUUCUAAAACUCUAAUUUAACUAGAAUAGGAAACUAACUAACUCAAAUUGGUUUAACUAUGAUCAAUAUGACCUUAGCCUUUAUUCCCCUUAUUAAUGACUCAAAAUAACUCAAAACUAACUCUAAUUAACUAACAAUUAUUGCUGAAAACUUAAUAAGAAAUAAGCAUGACACGGGUUUGGAUCUUUAAUGAUUCUUGAGCUCGAUUGCACCAUCAACCAUCAUUAGAAUGUGAAAACUUGUAAAACUAAUUUUUUUGGAUUUGAAGGGAAUCCAAAUCUUCAUGUUCUUAUCAAAAUCGAUACUAGAGUACCUUAUUGUGGUGAAAACCUUCUGGAAAAAGGCGCUACUUGAGAGUGAGGUGCUAGAGGACACUACUAAGCAAACAAUAUGUGUAGAGCUGUUAUAUGUAUAGCUAAUAGAGUACUUCGGUUGGAUUUUAAAGUAAUGGAGAUUGUGGAGCUCAUUUCCUCCAUAAUAGUAGUUUCAUAGACAUUCAGAGAGCCAAGUUUACGAAUUAUAUUAUUUAGAUUAUUAUUGUCUCUUUUAUUAAAUUCUACUACAUAAUCGGCCUAAACUGGGCGCACUCUGUAAUUAACCAUCGCACAUCGUGUGGUGAUCACCUCCUAGUACUUGCAUAAUAGGCGAGUGGACUUAGUAUCUCCAUUAAUAUGGAUGGUUUUCAUCCAUGUUCCACUUUAGUUUAAAGCAUAAUGGACUUCUUUGGGAGUUUUUGAAAUAUAUAGGAGGCAUCUUGAAUUUCAUGCAAACCACCUGGGAGUUUCAUGUAUUUUACCCUAGUAUUAAUACUAUCAAUAAGUCAUACUACUAAUGUUGAUAAAUACUAAACAAUUACUAAAAAAAAAUGCUACUAAAUAAAAAAGAUAUGCAAACAGGUAUCAUAUUAGUACUAUUAUUAAGUUAUAAUACUAGUAUUUUCAAAUACAAAAAAAAGUACUUACUUUGUGAUAUAGUAGUAGUGCCGUCCAAUACAUUAGCAGACUAUUAUCAAGUCAUAGUACUAAUAUUGUCAAAUACUAAAAGAAGUAUAAUGAAAAAAAAAAGUUGUACUGUCUAGUAUUAAUACAUUAAUACGUCUUAGUAUAGUAUAGUAUUAGUAAUGCAAAAACUAUUUCUUAUCUAAAUGAUUAUUUCGAAAUGAUCAAGAGGUACUUGUGAAAGAUAAUUUUGAUCUGUAAAUUAGUGAAAAUUGUUAAUAUAACUUCUUAAUGUAUAACUAAUGUGUUAGUACUAUAUAAUGAAAAGGAUCCGUGCCAAUGUAAUCAGUUUUUUGCCCUUCGUGGGAUAAAAAAAAGUAUCCUACUAUCAAGAUGUUAUGAUUGUACUAUGUAACUAAUAUUAUGUACUAUCUCUUUAAUAAUGCAGUAUCUCAAAUUCUGUCAUUAAAAGAUCACAAUGGUGGAGAAAUUUAUAAGAUUAUACAAAAAAUCACAUUACUUAAUAAUUUUUUAUAACACAAUGAAAUAAUAUACAAAGAGAAGCUAAAGCAAUUUGUAAAAAAAUUUAGAAGAAUAUUAUUUUAGUAUUAAUAUGGCAAUUAUAAAAAAAAUUCAUAUUAAAAUUGCAUCAAAUUUUAUAAACUAAAGACUAAAGGAUUUGGCUGUUGAAAAAAAUCAUAAUACUGAUAAUGAAAAUAAAUCACAAUAAUAAAAUCAAAAUCAAAGUAGUUAAACAAAAUUUAUGAAAUGUAUAAGAGGUAUGAAAUAAUUUAGAUUUUAUAGUGACAACUGUACUAAGAAAACAUGUAUGAUCAAAUAUAAACUAUUCAAAAUUUUCUCAUGUAGUGAUUGACAAUUGUAUAAAACUUUCAAUAUAUUUUUUAAUUUUGUAAAGUUUGAGGCACAUACAAAAUAUUAAAAGUUUAAAGUGUUAAAGAGAAGAAAGCAAAAAACCAAAUUUAAAAUUUUAAUUUUGGCAAAAAAGAAAUUGUGAUUCAAUGCCUAUCUCAAGAGAAAAAGGAAGAAAAGAUAGAAGUUUAUUGAACUUCAAAUUCUUGGGUUCAAAUCCUCUUAGUUUAAAAAAAAAGUUCAAACUUUCGUGGGAUAGAGGACAUAUUGGAUAGGUUUUCAAUGUUUUGAAGUUCAAAUUCUUGGGUUUAAAUCCUCUCACUUAAGAAAAAGUUCAAACUCUUGUGGGAUAGAGGAGAUUUGGGAUAGGCUUUCAUUGUUUAAGGUGCUAUGAUUGGAGUUUUUUGCUAAAAUAACACUCUUUCUAAAAAAUAUUCCCAAUAUGAUUCACUUUCAAAUUUUAUUCCCAAAUCGAUGUUAUUGUUGCCACCUAAUUACCCUGAUUGCCAUGUAGUAUAACAAUAAAGGAAAGCUUUAAUCUAGUCUAUACUUCCCAACAAAAACUAAAAAUUUAAACUUUUUUAUUAUAGAGGCACAAGAAGAUUGCAUAACUUUAAUAAUUUCCUUAUAAUUAUUUAAAAUAAAUUCUACCAUUAUUGACCUUGCUAUUAUUGCUCUCUGUAAUUUUUUUAAAUGCAUCAAACUUAUUGCAUAUAUUUUUCAAAAAUAAAUUUGCAAAAUACAAAAGUUGCAAUGAAAAUUGUAAGCAAUAACAAGAAAAAGUUACAAAAACUUCAAAGCUAUCAUAUUUGUUUUAUGUUAUGCUUCCGACUCCUUGAAAAGAACUUUUACAAAAAGUAAUCAAACUAUUGCAAUUGAGAUAAUGCUAAAGUUUCUUGAAAGUAACACAAGCCAUUAAUUGAUGUUGAAUAAAUGUGCAAAAAUACUUCAAAUAUACGAGAUUAUUUGAUCAUGUGAUAGAGAGGCGCUACAAAUGAACAUGCUUAUAUAUGUGGCGGAAACCAAACAUAUUGAGUAUGAAUCUAUGUUGUUACGUAGUUUUCCUAUUAACAUUUUAUCAAACACACGGUGUGAGAAAUCAUUUGUUAAAACAAUUAGUAUUCAAAAUUUUUGAAGGCCAUAUGAAUGUUCCAAAAAUUGCACAAUAGAAAAGAUAAGAGAAUAAUCUUCGUUUACCUUGAGAUUAUCAAAUUGAGGAGAAUAUUUUCAUCCACAAAUAUAAUAUCAGGAAUGACAAUGAAGUUUUAGAUGUUGUUAAUAUAAAUAUUGGCUUCUGGCAAUUACAUUUGACAAGAAAAAAUAAUGAAAGAAUGAAAAAUAACGAACCGAAAAAAAAGGUGGGAAGGUUCAAAGAGAGAAUCGGGGAAAAUAUUAGUUGGGAAAGAGAGAUGGAAUGUGCCUCUAUUUCUAUCCUGCCACAUAUGCAACCUAUGUGACAAAAAAAAAUUAUAAAGGUAAUAAAUUUUAAAACUAGAUUACUUUGGGUAUAUGUUUCGAAAGAAGAGUUAUUUUGGCAAUAAACUCGCUAUGAUUGUAUGUAGUAGUAUGUAUCUUCAAUUAUUUGUGCUUAGAUUUUAUCCAAGAGUCAAUAUUUUUUUUAUAUCCAAUAGUGGAUAUUAAAUAUAGGGUAAGGUAUUGGUAUCCAAAAAGUAUUAUAGCAUCUCUCAAUAUUUAUAAAGUUCAUCUCUCAAUAUUUAAAUAUAGGGUGCGUUUAAUAAAACUGAAGUUUGAAGUCUAAAUCCAUUAAAUUAUUAAAUUGUUAAGUAUUAAAUCUAAUAUAUUUGAGUUAAUAUCACACAUUCAGUGAUAAGUGAAUAGCUUAUCACUUAAUUUUAGGAGCAAGUUUUGCCUAAAAAUUCAGUGCCACUUAAUUAAUCCAAAUAUUCAAUUUGGCUAUCAAACGGUCUGAAUAUAUUAAGAUAUGAAUCCAUUAAAUUUAAGUGCUAAAUUGGAUUAUCAAACAAGGCCUUAAUUAGAGUUGAAAGAUGAAACAAACUAUUCGAAACUUAAAUUAAGUUGGUGUCAUUAAGAGUUUGUUCAAAUUUGGAUAGCCAACUAAUCAUUAUAUAUUUGGUAAACUUUCAAACUCGUCUUGGAAGUGGUUUGAUUAGCAUAAAAUUUGAGAUUAAUAUGCCAAAAAAAAAAUCAAACUACUCAAUUUCAACUCAAUAAAAACUUGUUCGAGAUUGGUUUGGUAAAUAAAUGAACUAAAUUUGAAUAUAAUUUCAAAUUAAUUAAAAUAAUCAAAUAAAGUUGAAUUUUAAAGUGUUCAGUUUGAUUUAACUCAUUUACACCCCUAAUCUUAAUCAAAUCCAUCCUAUAUCAAAAGACCAAAUUGUUUGGAUUGCUAUUUUUAAAAGUUUUAAUAGAAAAAUAUAUUAUAACGAUUUGAUAUAUGUGAGAUAAAAUGAUGAUUGAAAAAUGUGAAAUGCAAAAAUUUUUAUGCAGAAAACUACGACCGGAUAUCAAAGUAUUUUCUGCAUUAAUUUCCCAAUAGCCACAACUUGGGGCAAAAAAAAAAAAAAAAAAAAGAAAUUCAUGUGUUGCACGAGCUCAUUGCUAGCAAAACUUAUUAAUCCAAGUUCUUUGAUAUCCAUCUUUCGGAGGGAAGAAAACGGUUUUGUGACAUCCAAUAAAUGUGUCGAACGGCUUGGACGAUGAAUUAAUCAAACGGCUUAGAUCUUUUCUUACAUGAUCGAUGGUCCAUAAUCAGUCUCACACGAAUUCCCAUCACAAACAUUUCUGCACCAUCAGAGUUCCACGUACGCACUACGUAUACGUAUACGUUAUAAAACAAAACAGCUAUGCAUAUAUACAGAUACAUCCGCACGUUUCUUCCUUCUUCUGCAGUCUCUGCCUCUUCUCUCGCUUCCUUGUUCUUUCAACUCAGAAGAAUCAAUCAUAAUAAAAUAAAAAAAAAAUCCGAAUUUAUAUCUCUGUAAUUUGCUGCCCAAGAAAUCACCUCUGGAUUCCAAAACCUUGAUCGCUCCUUAGUCCUUAUUCUUUGGUAAUCCGUACUGGAUUUCCCUUUUCUUUUAAUUUUUUUUUUACUAUUGAUGGUAAUUUUUUGCGAUUUCGGUCAUGUUUUUUAUUUUUAAAGUUGCUUCGAUUUGUUCGUUUUUCAAUUUUCGUGAUUCGGAGUAAAAAUUAGAAAUUCAUGAGAUCUCAUUUCACAUUUUUUCUUUCUGUUUUGGUCAAUCAGGAUUAUGUUCAAGGGGGGCCAAUAGCUGAGCAGGGUGUUUGGAUUUUUAUGUGGAUGGAGCUCUUAUGUAUAUACCAAUAAAUGUACCUUCUUUUUUUUUUUAUAGUUUUUUCCUUCGUUUGAGAAAUUUUAUUGUAACAGAGAACAGUUGAAGACUGAGGAAUUCAUUGGAUGAAUGUUAAUGUACUUUGAUUUUGUGGUUAUUUUAUGUAUUUUACCAUCUUCCAACUAUGGCAGUAAUUUCUCUUUUUCCUUUGGGCAAUUGUUUUUUUUUGGCCAUUGAGCCGAGAUAUAAUACUUAGUGCAUAGUGCACAACAUUGAUGCUGCAACCUUUGCUUUUCCCGCAGCACUUGUGGUGGGUGGGGAAUAGCUUAUGGUGUCGAACAAGUUUAACAGUUAUCUUGAACACGGUCCUGUUCUUGUUCUAUUAGUUGCUUUCGGCACACUUUAGUUGGUAAGAUUCCAACAUUUUUGUGUCAAGAUGGUGCAGUUUUCCGUUUUGCCCAAUACCCUGUCUAAAAAUCAAUAAAUACAUGCAUGUAAUGAAUGUAUGCAUAUUUAUAUCUUCUACUGAGUAUGCAUUUUUAUACGAACACAUGCGGCAUUUUACCUGUUUGUUGGGAUUUUAUGUACAACUAUUGUGUAAGUUGUGCCUCCUAGUUUAUUGAUAUGCGCAAACAAUGCUGGUUCUUUUUGUAAACAAUGUGACAGGAUGUUCUGGGGAAUUUUGUAGAGUUGGAUUCGAUUGGAUUGGAUAAGUGCAACUACUUGGUUAGCUGAAAUCUCUUGAAGGCAUUUGGUUAUUUUUAUGAUGGAGAGCUUGGCCCAGUUAGAGGUGUUGUGUGAAAGGCUUUACAACUCUCAGGAUUCAGCAGAACGAGCACAUGCAGAGAACACCCUGAAAUGCUUUUCUGUGAAUGCUGACUACAUACCCCAAUGCCAGUUUAUUUUGGACAAUGCAUUGACUCCUUAUGCACUGAUGCUGGCUAGUUCAAGCUUGUUGAAACAAGUCACUGAGCAUAGUCUCUCAUUGCAGCUCCGCCUUGAUAUCCGUAAUACCUUGUUUUAAGCAUGUUGUCUCUUUCAGGGCCUGUAUUUUAUUUUAUUUUAUUCUUUUGUAAACUGUAUAUGGGCCUGGUCUAUCAAUUCUUAUGUUUCCAUGUUAAACAUGGAUGGGUGACUUCUGACACGAACAGAUGCUACUACCCGAUUUUUUAUGCUUUUUUUUUUGGGUUACUUCAAAUUUGACAUAAAUAUUAUUGCUCUUGUGGAUUUUUGCUCUUCUGAUGUAUGAAAUUGAUAACUAUUUAAUCUCUUUGAAGGAAACUACCUUGUAAACUAUCUGGCAAACAGAGGGCCCGAGUUGCAGUCCUUUGUGGUUGGAUCUCUAAUACAGCUUUUAUGUCGUAUUACCAAAUUCGGGUGGUUUGAUGAUGACAAAUUUAGAGAUGUGGUCAAGGAAUCUAUUAGCUUUUUGAGUCAGGUAACAUUCUUCUAUUGGUUUUCUUUUAGAGAUUGAAGGUCCUUGUAUUUGACUGAUCUCAGUUGCUUCCUUUUAAAGCUAAAGUAUUUUUUGUACUAUCACUGGGUAUAACUUUCCACUGAAUUGGCUGCUUCAGUAGUAUUUGUUAAAGAAUCUUUUUCAUACGAUCACCUUUGGUGAAGUGAAAGAUGCUUUUUGAAAGUAGAGACUUCCAUUCAUCUGAGGGUUCAUUGGCAUAGGGGAGUUAAAAUACUUUGCAGUCCAACAGGUUUCACAAGGAUUACAAAGAAAAACAUGUUGAAUUAGGUUGAAAUGGUAUUGAAAGUUGUUUGCUGGGGCAUGGCUACUAGAGAAGGUCCUCGAUAUGAUUAUUGGUGCAGAUCCGGGUGGCAAGAAGUACCUCAAAUUUAUUUUUGAUGAAAUUUGCCACCCUGGUGGCUGAAAUGCCAGAUCAAGGAUGUAAUAUAUGGAUGUCCACUGUGCUGAAUCAAGGACUCUGGAUGUGAAUAUUUCAGAAGUGAUUAGUUUCUAAAGUUUUUAUUUGAGAGCUCUGCUGCUUUUAUUGAAAUUCUAUUUAUAGGCAUAUAGGCCUAUGAUUACAUAACUGUAAAUAUAGAAGUUAAUAUACUCUCAGUAUACCAGCAUAUGAAUUUACUAAAAUGUGAAUCGUAAGUGUUUUGUCAUUUCAAUUACAAAAAUUUAUCUGGGUUAAGAAUGAGAAAAUGUGAAGCAAUAAAAGGUCCUAAGGGUCAAUAUAGGAUAUGGUUGGUGAAUGCUAUCACAAUUCAGAGAUGUAAUUUUGAAAAGCUUAAGUAAUCUUUCUAGAGGUAUCUGAUAACCAACUAAAUAACUAACUUUAGUAAUUAGAAGAGCAAUUGUAAAUAAAUAGAUAAUUUCUGGUUUGUUGAAGUUUCUAUCAUCUUCUUCACUUGUAGGCCUUUGCUGAAACUUGUGUGCUUAACCAUCAUUUUGGUUACAGUUGCUAGUGUCAUUUUGGCAUAGAAGGACAUGUAAUUUACCAUUUAUUAGCUUGUUUUCUAUUUGAACUCAUGUAAUAGCACAUAUUACAGCUGCCAGACCAAGUUAGAUUCUAUUUGUUUUCUGCAAUGAUAAUACUGGAUAUGUAUGGUGCAAGCUACACUAUCUUAUGCUUGAUGCUUUGUUUAAAAGAUAAAUGUUACCAUAUCUGAGAGGAUGUUGGUAUGCAAUUUUAGAUGAUCAAAUUGCCUGCCUUGUAAUCCGCAACUUAUAUGAGCCCUAGAUAGUCUUAGGUAUCAUUUCAGCUUAAUUCGUUUGAAGUUUAGUAAGUGGGUUAAUUUUCAUAGCAUAUUUUAGAAUUAUCUUCAUAUCUUGUUUCACAUACAGAUGCGUCUACUUGUUGGUCUUUUAGAUUAUUGAACUCUAGAUAUCUAUCUUGGCUGUUGCAAUUGAAAACCUAUUUCUAAAAUUCAGUGCUGAGAUGGUUGAUGUUUCAUCAGGCAACACCAGAACAUUAUGCUAUUGGAUUAAAGAUAUUGAACCAGCUUGUCUGUGAGAUGAAUCAGGUUAGUGUCAUUUCUUUUUUUUUUUUUGCCUUUUUCUUUUUAGAUUCAUCCUGGGCAUGGACUAUUUAUACCAGUUCGGUUUUUCUAAGUCACUUUCUGAUGCUAAUGCUGUAAAUAUGUGUUUUUUUAUAUGUAUUACUAAAUAUUAAAAAAUAGUUGCUUUCUUGUGUCUUUAGUGUGAUCAGAGAUAUUGCUGUGCAAAAAAAAAAAAAAAAACCAUUAAUUGUCUAAAUGCUUGAACCUUGAAGGUGCACUAUUUGUUUGGUAGUUUUAUCUGUAUCUCUAACUAAGUAUGUGUUUUCUUCAUGGCAUGUUGAUUUACAUUUUGUGUCUUGGAUCCCCCUCAUUUGCUGUGUUCUGCGCUAGAACUUAAUUUUUGUUAUGCAAGUUUUGUUAUUCAGGAAGUUUGUAUAUGUUUUUGUUAGCAUAGUUUUGAGCUUUAUGGCUAACAUAAGAAUCAUACACGAUAUAUAAAUAGUGUGCUCUAUGAAAGAGAUACAUACUUUGCUUUUGCAUUUUGUGCUUAACCAGAUGGCCCCUGUACUCUAGUGUGCUUUGGGCCGUUUGGUUACUAUGAAUAUCAUUGCAUAUAUUUCCACUUAGAGUUAAUUGUUAUAAGAUCUGAGGCAUCUGCUCGUGUUCUUUUGUGGUUUGAGGUUUAUUUAUGCUGGUUGGUUUCUUAAGCAUAGCUGCCAAGUUUAUCUGUUAAAGCUUUUCUUACAAGGAGGAUGGAUGUAUUUGGCCAAUGAAAACACAGGGUACAGAUUUAUUUGUUGCACAGUUGCUGUACUGUGGCAGCGUUGUGGGAUUCAGGCAUUUGUUUUGGACAUUUCUUUCCUCUGUUUCUAAGCCGUUUCUUUAUUGUGACCACUAAUUUUUUAGGAGCCCUUUAUUUCCUCAUCCUGGCUGUAGAGUUGGAAAUACUGAGCACUUUGAAGCACAAAGGCCUUUAGGGUCUUUUGCACUUAACUGAAGUGAAGCAUGAGGUUAUAUAUGGUUUUAUUUAUUUUUUAAUAUUAAAUAAUUAUGCUAUAAUUUGUGCAAUAAGUUGGAAUAUUUACUUCUGUAAACUAACCUUUUAUUUGGUCAACAUUUUACAUUUACUGUUGAAGUCCAGUGAUAGAAUCAUUUGGUUGCAACUUGUCAGCAAUAUUGACAUGCAUAACUGCUCAUGAAGUGGUUUGAUAAUCAGAAAGGGAAUGGAUAAAUUUGUAAAGAGCAGGGAACGAGUAGGGGAAAGCAGAGUUGUUGAGAAAAAGAAAGUAAAGAGGUGGAGGGAAGACAAGGCCAUGGAGAAAACAAGUAGAAUGAGAAAUGAGGGCUGAGAGUGGAGCUAUAAACUGUACUAGCUGUUAUGAUGAUACUUGGUAUGGUUAUUCAGGGUGUUAGUAUCACACUACCAGCAAAAAUGUGGCCCCCAUAUAGAACAAAUAUAUUUUUUAGUAGCUUUAUAAGCGUGAUCGAAAGCCCACGUUACAUCAAAUUGCUUUGUUUCUGCACAUUGUGUUGUUUUGCUUUCCUUAGCUAUGUAGACAAAAGUUGAAACAAAUGAACUUCUGUGCUUUGUAUUAUCCACUUCCUGUGUUUUAUGUGCUAUCAAUUACCUUAUUUUCCUCUUUUCUUGGUAAUGGCUUUCAUGGAGGUCUUGGGAACUUGAAGUAAACUGCGCCCCCCCCACAAAAAAGAACCAAAAAAACCAAAACAAAAGGAAAAAAAUGAUGAUAUUUCCGUACUCUUUAUAUUUACAGCAUUUAGCGUGUGCUUCUUGUAAGAUGCUGCAAAAAUUGUAGGCAUUGUAUAUACCAGUGAAGCGCUAUUUUUUCCCCCCACCCCCCAAAGACGAUAUCAUUGAUAUUCUUUUUUUGCAUGAAUAUGUAAAAUAAGGUAAACCGGAGUUGUGGUUCUUUUUUUUGUGUUAAAUAUUACCCAGCUCUAGUAAAAGACUAAAUGCUGCGAAAAUUCUAGGCAUUGUUUGUACCAGUGACGCCCUCAUUUUUUUCCUCCUUAAUGAUGAUGUUUCUAAACCAUUUAUAUUUACAAUAUUUAGUUUCUGCUUCUGGUAAGAUGCUGCAAAAAUUCUAGGCAUUGUGUAUACCAGUGAAGUGCUCUCUCUCUCUCUCUCUCUCUCUCUCUCUCUAAAGACAAUGUUAAUGUUAUUUUUCUUUUUGAAUAUGUAAAAUAAGGUAAGCCUGAGUUGUGGUUCCUUUUUUUUAAUUUUAUUUUGUGUUUUCCUGCUUUAUAUUAGUUUGAUCUUUCUGUCAUACCUGAGUAACUAAAACCAACCAGUUAAAUAUUACCCAGCUCUAGUUCAAGCCUAGAUAUUGCAACCAGUUUUGUUCUACUGCCUGAUGGCGUGUGUUGUUUUUACAUUGAACCCUUAUUCAGGCUGUUUUGUGCCAAUCAUGGAUUCAGCUAAUAACAAUAUUAAUAAUAAACAAUUUUAAAGAAGUAUUAUACAAGUUAAAUAUGGGGAGCUGUUUAGUGGAGCUGGUAAUUUCAUUCUGUGAUAUGGUGCCAUAUUAAUGUUCACUAUUAGUUUAGACGUUAAUUGCAAGCAGACAUUUUGGGGUCUGGCACUUACAGAUAUCUCUUCAUGAAAUGGCAAGGCCAACUCCUCUACUGACUUUUUAAAGGUCAACAUUUUGUUUGAUUUUUCAACUUCUUAGAGUGAUAAAAACCGGUUUCACUAACCUGUCCUUGAGUUUUUUUGAUAAUUCUAGGCUCUUUCCAUCCUAGUUUCAAAUAAUUUGUGGUUGAACUGUAAUAAGCUAUCCUCAUCAUAGAAAAAUUUUGAGAUUAUUGUAAUUUCAAAUAAUUAAAGCAGUGACUUUUGGGAAAUGGAAAACCUUAUGAAGUACUGGUAACUGCAUGCAAUACAUUGCCUAUUUAGCCUCAUAGUUCAUAUAUCCAUUGUAAUAAAUGGACAAUACAUCUGCAUGGAUUAGUUCUAUACUUGAGUAAACUUAGCAUUGAUGACAUGCCAAAGUAUGUAUAGAAGGUUGUUUAUUUUGUUAAUGAUUAGAGACUAAUUAAAAACAAUAAGCAAACAAUUCUGUUCCUGAUUGGGGCUAUCACGUAAUUAUAUCUACCAAAAUAGGCAGAACUACAAAUCAAUUUCUUUGGUAAAAAUUGGAUUCUCUAACUUGUAGUUAUUGACCCAACGAGCUGCUAAACUUCAAAAUCAUAUAAAAAUUUGAGAAUGUACAAUACAUUCUCUCUUUCUGGAAUAUAAUCAUAAGAGGAAAAAAAAGUAACUUUCCCAAACUUGUAAGAAAAUUGGAAUGUUCUACUGAGAUCUUGAGGAAGACAGGGCACUGUGGAUGUUCCCUGUCAGCAUAUUUUGGGUGCCCUAAUUGCCCACCUGUACCCGCCAACAGUGUGUGUCUGUUCUGCUUACCAUUGGGCCAAUUUUUUGAAAGCCAUUGACUGCACUGGAGAAACUAGUGGUUUUUCCUUUUAGAUACCCUCGUGUGGCUAAGAUUUAACUAUAACUUGGGACAACUCAUGACCAUCAUGCUUCAGUUUUCCAUCUGGGAAAGUUCAAACCCCUUGGUUGCUGCUUUUGCUUAUCCCAUAGCACUAGAUACGAGUAGUUUGAUAACAAGACAUGGACGACAAAGAUGGUAUCAUUUACUUUUUCAGCCAGACAAAAUAUGGUCAAAUUGGGGAGUAAUAAAAAACAUGUAUACCUAAUAUAAAUUGGUUUUAACUUAGAUUUCCAGUAAGUGGCCAUUUCUCAUCGGGUUUUUGUUAUGAGCUCAGCCAAGAUUCAUUAUGUAGGAUAUUGAUCUGUCAUUAGUUUCUAUUUUUAUUCACUUGAUUGUGUUUUCUGUGUUUGUUAUUUAAGGUGAUUAGAUCAUAAAUCGUGGCAUGUCUGCAUGUGCCUGUGCUUCUUACUUUUCUCUUUGUCAAGCAUUUUAUCCAUGAUAGUGAUUGGUGUCUAUUGUAAAAACUACCAGCCAAAUCCAGGAUUGCCCUCAACACAUCAUCGAAGAGUAGCCUGCUCCUUUAGGGAUCUGUCUCUGUUCCAAAUUUUUCACAUAUCAAUAACGUCAUUGCAUCAGCUAAAGAGUGAUGGUAAUUAGCUGGAUUUUGCUCUGAAAUUCUCAUUUGUAUGUAUUGGACGCAAAUUCUUAACAUGUGCCUGUGUUGAUUGUUAUUGAUUUCCUACUUUUUAUGUUCUGCAUGUAGUCAUCAGCCGCUUGCAAGAGCUGGCACUUUCGCUUUCACUGAAAUGCCUGUCUUUUGAUUUUGUUGGGACAUCGGUUGAUGAAAGUGCUGAUGAGUUUGGUACUGUUCAGGUAUGAAUCAUUGCAUUUAGUCUUUAAUAAUCCAGAUUGAUGGUAAACCUUGGCCCUAUCUAGUUUACUUGUAGUAAACUUAGGAUAUUGAAUCUUUGAUACGUGAAACAACUUGCAGUUGUGCUGUUCUUAUAAAAAUUUAUGAUGGUUUUGCCUUUUUCUCAAGGCUUAAUAUGGCUGUCGUGAAUGAGUUUCAUUUAUCGCUAAUUGAACUCCUGACUCUGCAGAUUCCACUAUCUUGGAAGCCAGUGUUAGAGGACUUUUCAACUGUGCAGAUAUUUUUUGAUUAUUAUACAAUUGCAAAGCCACCUAUCUCGAAAGAGGUCUGUUUUAUAUGUGUACGCAUGUAUAUUUGACUUUAGAUCAUAAGCAGAUUGUUUCAAUGUUCAUCAAGUAUCUGAUUUUUAUUGUCAUUUGCUUUUGAGUCCAAAGUGUAUUAGAUUUGAAAUUUUCAUUUGAAUUACUAUUGAAUUCUGUUGCAACACCAAAUUUCGUGAUUCGGACCAUAGUAAGAGUUUUUUCUUUUUUCUUUUUUUUUCCUUUCCUCCUUUGGCUUGUAUUCUCUGCUUCUCAUAUUCUCCCUUUGUGACACAUUUUUAAACGUAAUAAAUUAGCAGCUUUAAUAGAAAUUCAGAACAAGUCAAUGUGAAUGAAAAGUACAGACUGUGCGGAUUAUGGUUGUGCCAUUACUGCUAGGACAAAAAUUUAGAAAAUUCCAUCUGGUUUUUCUGAUGUGUAGGUCCAUCAUAUUGUUGUUGAGGAUAAAUUUGUAGGUGGAUAGGGUUCUUCACUUUCUAAAUUUUCCUUUUUUUCAUUUUGAGAAGUAUUAGAGUGUUAAAUUCCCUUCUGUUGCAUUAAGUAACAUAUCUGAACAAUUUAAGUCUUCCUUCUGGGCAUUGCACUUGCAGUAACAUGCUUUGCAGGCUCUCUCUCUCUCUCUCUCUGUGCGCGUGCGUGUGAAACUUGUAUCAUUUUAAUAGAACUGUAGUUAAGAAAGGAUAUUAUAACGUACUACUAAUUUUGAUACGCUCUUUAUGUCUGUUAUUAAAUCUGAUUAUUGCAGUUGCUUAUGGUACCCUUUUCUAGCUUCUAGGAAAGUAACAUGUUUUGCAGUUCGUGUGUGUGUGUCAAAAUUCUUUCAUUUUAUGUGUCAAACUUGUGUCAUUUUUUAUAGAACAGUAAUCAAGAAAGGAUGUUACAAUGUACUACUAAUUUCAUAACACACUACAUAUGUGUGCUUAAUGAAUUGAUUAUUGCAGUUUGCUCAAGAUAUCCAUUUUUAGCUGUUAGGGGCUAGUAUGUUAUUAUGUAGUUGGUAAAUUGUCCUGGUUAUUCCUGUGCCAGCUUCUUCUUAUGUUGGGUGAUCAGUUGAACCUUUUGAAUUAUACAUUAUUAGUUUUUUAUGCCUCGUAUAGAACACCGCUUGUCACAUGUAUUCUCUAUGUCUAGUACCUUAUCUUAACUUCUAUUUGGUUUCAUUAUUUUAUUUUUAGGCUCUGGAGUGCUUAGUGCGAUUGGCAUCUGUCAGGCGCUCUUUGUUUACAACUGAUGUGACUCGUUCCAAGUACUUGGCACAUCUGAUGACAGGAACAAAAGAAAUUCUACGAUCAGGGACAGGUGUAGGAGCUAAUUGGACUUUCAUACUGCAUGACUAGUUUGCUGUUUUGCUUUCACGCAUCUAUGAAUCUGGAUGCUUUGUGAUACUUUCACUAUAUUGCUUGAGUAAUUGUUUGUUCACUUGUGUUGUAUUUUCUGGUACAGUUUCUUAAUGCACUUGAAAAUUUUGAAUAAAUCAUUCAUAGUUGCUCUCACAAUCCAUCCAUUCAUAAACUUCCGCUCUGUAUCAUUGAUGUCGUACUUAUCGCUAGUAUCAUCCCAUAACCCAUCCUACUGAUUCUUGAUCCACAACAAUAGAUGAAAUUUGAUGAACCUACCUUCGGUGAAUUAAACUUUAUUUGUUCAUUUAUGUUAUCUCUCUCCAGUUUUGUAACUGGUGCAAGAAUUAUACUUGUGCCUAUGCUAUCUUUGACAUGCUUGUGUGAGCUCAAUCAUGUUGAAACAUUUGGUGAUAAUACUAGUAAUUCUGGCCUGUUAAACUAAGUACCGAAGGCUGAUUUGUGUUAACAUGUGCUGGAAAAGAUGUUUCAAGCAACUGCAUGAAUUAUCUGGGAUCAGGAGAGUUUUCUUGAGUUAUUUCAGUUAGUCGAGCCAUUUCACUAAGCUGGUAUAACUAUUGGCUUGGAUACUAAAGGUAUCAAUUAUCCCCUUUCCCCUGUUCUAUAAGAAAAAGUCAUCCCAAAGAGAGAGUUAUUUAUUCUGUUUGCUCUGCCACUAAGUUUUGGAGGAAGAUAUUCUUCUGCGCAUUGUCAGUUUGCAGAUUUCUGCUAUUGUGACACUCAAUUAGCCCAUCUCUUUUUGACAAACCUUUCAUCUUAAGUUAUUAGCUCUAUAGCUAUUGCUACUUUGUUUUUCUUUGGUGUUAACAGCAUGGGACUUUCGGAGCUGCACUUGAGAAAUUCCUUUUGAUUUGAUCAUUGGUGGAGGGUGGACAUCUUACUCUACAUUUAAUGAUGAAAAAGUUGUAUUGUACAAAUGUCCUUGCUACGCUUUAUAGUAGCUCAAAUAUAGUUGUAGGUCAAAUUUUAUCCUUGGGAAGGAUUGAAAUAUAUCUUAAUCUAGUAUGGAAAAGCUUCUUGUUGCCUUCAGAUGGCAGGUCAGCUAUGAGUCAUGCCCCUGUCAUGGUGCUAGCAAGUCUUGUAUUUGACUAUUAAAACUAAAUUGCCCGCUGUUGCCUAUGAAAUCUUACUUCAGCAUUUUGUCCUUAUUAUGCCUCUUAUUCCUUUUAUACAUCUGCUAAUUGUAUAAUUUGAUUGACUGGUAUUCAGGUCUGGGUGAUCAUGAUAACUACCAUGAGUUUUGCCGCCUACUUGGACGUUUCAGAAUUAAUUAUCAGGUACUUUUUCCUUGUCUUUCUGAUGUCUAAUGGAAUUUCAGUUCCUUUACCAUUUCAGCUGAGAUAAGAUCCCCAUGAUACCCCUUUUAAUUGUGAGUGUGUGUUCCUUUUUUCUGGUAUGCAAUAUAAUUGUAUUUUGUCCUUCUUCUUGGCUGAGUUGGGAUUUCCUGGCUUAACUAGAUCCUAUUAAAUCAAUAACUAGAGGUUCAAGUUUUCUUUCCUCUCCAUCUUCAAUUUGUUAUUUAUAGAAUUAUUUCCAUCUUCUUUUUCUUUGCCAUGGUCUUAACUUUUGGAAAUGCACCACAAGUUCCCUCCCUUUAGUGAGGGAAUUGCAGAAGUGGUCAUUUGGGUUCCUUAGGUAAAAAAUCUCUGGGUAGUCUUAUUUGUUGCAUCACGUUUGUUGAAAAUUCUUUAGAGUUAUCACCCUUCACUGUGUGAUUACUUGCUGCAUUAGCAUGAACUUUGCAUUAUGUGAACUAUCUUAAACAGUGCUAGGAGUGCUGCAAACUCUCUUAUCAAAUACGAUCUCGGUUUAACCUUUUCUGCACUCCUCAAGCUAAAGCAAUGUUCCCGAUUUUCCUGUUUCAGUGCCUAAAGUAACAUGAAUAAGUCAUUUGCUCAAGUCCAAGUAGUUAUGUUAACAUACUGGUACAAUCAUUUGUGUUAUUCUUUCUGCAGUGGUUGGCAUUUGUCAAACGAGUUCUACUUGUAUUGAAGGGGAGAGCAAAAAGAACAUCCUGUCUUUUUCUCCUUGAUGUGUUCUAAGUGGGAAUCUUUAUUAAGUUCAUACACAUGCUUUAGACUUCAGUACUUAUCCUGCACCAUGAAUAGACUCUUUUGUGAAAAAUCUAUUUCCAUUUUUCUACCAAAUCUACAUUCAGAUAAUAUCCAAUCGCGUUGGCUUAUAAUUGCCCUUUCAUAAUAAUGAGAAACUUCCAAUCUUUGAACCCUUCUCAUAAAUCUGGUUGUUUCUCUUAAAUUGAUUUGCUAAGCUGUGCGUAGAUUUGUUUUAGGCUGCUCAAGACUCUGCUGCCCCUUGUAUGCGUUUCUUCUUUUUAUCAGUCUUUGGUGAUGUCUCUUUCUGGUAGAACUGGUAGAACUUCAAGGUGCAGCUACUGGUUUUUUUUGGCCCAUGACUUCCUGCCAGGUUGUUUCCUUUGCAAGUCCCAGGCUUGUGCUUGGGCAACCUCUUAUGGGUUAAAUCUAACAGACGAUCAUUCCUCAACUCCAAAGUAUCUUUUGCUCCCAAGUAAAUGGUCAAGACAAUUUCUUGGGAUCCAAAGUUUGCUCUGAUACUGAAUGGUGAUGCAUUUGAUUAUAGAAAAUUAAUUCAAGGAAUUGAGCAUUGGAUGAGAGCAGUAAGCUGAAAGCCAGAAUGACAACAGCAAGAGAUAUGGAUUCUGGCAAUGUCUGUUCUUUGUCAGAGAAAGAAAAUUCCGAGUUCUCAAAGUUGACUCCCCCAAAAGCUUAGGAUUUAAAAUUUCUCCAUAAUCUAGUGAAGACCAAAGAUGAACUCAUGGAUGUGUUUAAUUAACUUCUAAAAUGUCCAACAAACAUUUAGACAUUGGCUUGGGAUUAAAUCAAAGCUUAGAGGCCCAGACUCAUUCUUUCAAUAGGUAGUCUACUGGUCCUUGUUUCAAUACUGGGUACACCAAGUCUCGUUUUUGUUGUUCUCUAAUAGCAACAUUUUUUUUAAGGACUAAAUUUGAACCUGGAUACUUGUACCUUGCCUGAAACUUUGGUGCUGACAUAACUUGCAUGUACUUUUUGGUCGAGUCGUGUAUGAAUUUGAGUAUAAUUUCUUUGAUUUGGUAAGCGUAAUUAUGCUUUAUCGCAGUUGUCAGAACUUGUCAAUAUGGAAGGAUACAGUGAAUGGAUACGUUUGGUAGCAGAGUUUACGUCAAAAUCUUUGCAGUCCUGGCAGGUAAAUACACUGUUGCAUUCUGCUUUUGGAUAAUAUCUACUUAUAGCUUUCCUUGAUUGAAAUGUGAUGUGAUUUUAGUAAUAACAGGACUCGCCUUAAACUGCUUCUGUGAUAUUAAUUGAUAUUCUAUCUUAAAAUAGUGUUUUUUUUUUUUACUUUCUUUCAUGUUCCUUGGACCUGGCUGUGGAUACACCACGUAUAUAAUUCUUGUCAUCUUUUCCCCAUUCUUGAUUUGUUUCUUUCUUCUUUUUGAUUUUCCCCAUUCUCCUUCCCCUUCCUUCCUGCUUAUAUACCCAUCUUCCUUCCAGUUGUCAACUUGGAGUAAAGUAACACUAGCUCAUAGGACUCCUGUAAGCACUAGGAGCAGCUAGAAGUAGCCAGGUUUCUUGUCAUCAUGAGUUUCUACUUUAAAAAUCUUAUUGAAUCUGUUUUCUUGCAGUGGGCGAGCACCAGUGUUUAUUACCUUCUAGGGCUGUGGUCCAGAUUGGUAAGUUCUGUACCAUAUCUGAAGGCGGAUGCACCGAGCUUACUUGAUGAGUUUGUGCCAAAAAUUACUGAAGGUUAUAUCACAUCAAGGCUGGAUGCAACUCAGGUAGAAUGUCGUCAUGGCUCUUUUUGGCUUGGACAAGUUGGGAAAGUUAAUGCAAGGGAAGUAAAGUGAUGGGUUGCUUCAUUUUGUCAUUCUAGGCUGGAUUACCAGAUGAUCUUUCAGAACACCCUCUGGACAAUGUUGAGCUUCUUCAAGAUCAGCUUGAUUCCUUUCCAAAUCUUUGUAGAUUUCAGGUAAAGUCUAUGUAUUUUUUUUCCUUGUUAAAGAAUCUCAUUGCAUAGCUCUAAUACUAUUAGCUUUUCGUCUUCUAACAGUCACUGAUUUAUUUGUGUUCAUGAUCUCAGUAUGAAAGCAGUAGCUUGUUUCUUAUUAAUAUCAUGGAACCAAUUCUACAAACAUAUACGGUAUGCUGAAGACUCCAUUAGUGCUUUCUAUUGCUUGUGUUCCUUGUAUUCGAUAAAAUGUACUUAUUUAUCCCCUCUCUUCUGUGGAUUUUCUUCCUUUAUAUAGGAAAGAGCACAACUUCAACCUACUGAUGGUGGUGAACUGUCAGUCAUUGAAGCCAAACUUUCUUGGAUAGUGCAUAUAAUUGCUGCUCUCUUAAGAGUGAAGCAGUGUUCUGGUUGCAGGUAAAGAAACGUUCUAUGUGAUGCUUGUUGGUGGACAAACUUUUUUUUUUGUUUUUGGGUUCAUUUUAGUCUUGUCUAUGUAUGUUUAAACUUAAAUCACUGAGUAUUAUGCAGCUCGGAUUCACAAGAAGUAAUUGAUGCAGAACUUUCAGCACGUGUAUUGCGUUUAGUUAAUGUCUCUGAUACUGGGUUGCACAGUCAGGUAUGCACUGGGGACAAAGCCUCACUGCUUCGAAUGAUAUUAUGCGACUUGAUACUAAUGCUUUCUACUAAAUUUCACAAAUUGCAUAAGUUGUUUGUUUGUUGUGGCAACUUUUGAAGUAGCCACUAUGUUUUAAGUUCCACUUCUGAUUUUGCUGCUUCUUUUCCUUGGAUUCUGAGACUAACUAAAAAUACUGAAAAUUUGACAGACUUCGAGUGAUUUCGAAAUAAAAUCUAUGGAUUAGGGCACAGGUUUUUGUCCUUUUUCCUCUAAUUUCCUUAAAGAAAUAAUGCACUGGAAUAUUUCUUUCAUAUACUAUUAUUUAUUUAUUUAUUUAUUUUUUGCUCUCUGUGAUUUUUCACAAAUGAUUGCCAAUAAUUCCAUGGAAUUCUAAGGCACAUUUUUUCUGCCUUUUCCUCUAUUUUUCUUAAGAAAUAUUACACUGUGAUACUUUGGCUUUUACCUUUAGUUAUUAUAUGUUUUUUGCUCUUUCUGAUAUUUCCAAAUUUUUUUUCCCAUUGAUAGUAGCAUAUAUUAUUAUGUUUUUGUAUACCUGCUAAAAAGAAUCACCCAUUUACACAGUGGACAACCAUAAGGUUUUAGGUGACUUUGUGAAAUUGCAGAUUUAUAUACACAGAUAAUGUUGACAUGGUCAAAAAGGAAAACUCUUUGCAUCUCUAGAGAUCCAUAGAAAACUUUCUCAUGCGUUUUUUCAGCUUUUAAGACAUUCAAGCUUAUAGUAUUAGUAAUUUCCAAACCAAGAAUGGUCUGAAGGAUGAUCAUAACUUGACGUCUUACAACAGAAAUAUAGGCAUGGAGUUGCAGUUAGAAGAAUCAUAAUGAUGUUCUCAUGUUUCACUGUCUGGCAUAUGAGAUGAUGUGUGCUUCUAGCUUGUAAAAACCAUAGAAGCAUGCGAUAUGAUCUUUGUGGUCCUUUUUGGCAUCUUUGAUUGCUUAUCCAACUGAGCAGUGAGCUGACCUCUGGAGUGUGUUUCUUAUACGGACAAUGUAUUGAAAGCUAAAAUUUCUUCUAAAACCUCUCAUAUCUAACAAAGUAUUUACUUCAUUUUUUGUGUAAUAGUCAAUAUCCUUGCUUAUGCUAGAUUUUUGCUUGAGUAGUUAUCUGUAGUAUGUAUAACAUUUGAUGUUGUAAAACACUCUUGAUAGAUAUAACUAUUAAAGAUCUGAGUGAUACAUUGUGGGCUUCUUGAUCUACCUUUGUUCCUUUUGCAAUUUGUUGCUUUCACUGAAUAUCUGUGAUUCUCCCCUGCAAGUGUUGUAAACUAAAAGUUUCUUUGCUAUUAUUAUUUUUUAAAUCUCACAUGCAGUUUCUUUUCAAAUGCUAGGAAAUAUAGCAAUUUUAUUGUCUUGUUGCAUUGCAGAGAUAUGGCGAACCAAGCAAACAAAGGCUUGAUCGUGCAGUUCUUACCUUUUUCCAAUUUUUCAGAAAGUCCUAUGUGGGUGAUCAAGCUAUGCAUUCAUCAAAGGUAAUACAACUUAUUCUCAUUUCAAAAUAUUGAUGGACUUAUUGAUAAUCCAUGUUCUUGCUUUAUAUUGCAGCAGUUAUAUGCCAGACUCUCUGAACUUCUUGGACUUCAUGAUCACCUUUUGCUGUUGGAUUUUUUUAUUCGAAAAAUUGCAACGAACCUCAAGUGUUAUACAGAGGUAAUGGUUUUUAUCUUUUACUACUUUAAGCUGCUUGUUCAAGUUGAUCUCAUUUCUCUUUGCAUGUAGAGUGAUGAAGUUGUUGAUCACACUUUAAGUUUGUUCUUGGAGCUGGCUUCUGGGUAAGUAUGAAUAGUUAGUACUUUGUAGAUUUUAUGUAUUUCUAACUCCUACAAUUAGUCUAGUGAUAUGUCUUAUCAUGAAAUAAUUGUUUUUUUUCCCCCUGCAGCUAUAUGACUGGAAAGCUGCUGCUGAAAUUGGAGACUGUUAAAUUUAUUAUUGCCAAUCACACUGUAAUGCAAUCUAUAUCAUCUGAACUAAUUGAAUUUCAGACUGUCUCAAUGCCUUGGGACUAUUUAUGUUUUUAUGCAUGAAGUUGCAAAUCUAUUGUGUGCUUAUACGGAUAUUCUCUCCUACCCCUUGUUUCAGAAGGAGCACUUUCCGUUUCUUGAAGACUAUAGAAGCUCACGGAGCAGAACAACUUUCUAUUAUACGAUUGGCUGGUUAAUAUUUUUGGAGGAUAGUCCUCUGCUAUUUAAGUCCUCCAUGGAUUCACUACUGCAAGUAUGUAUACUAAGUGUUGUCAUGUGUUUGCCUAUCCUCCAUAUACUUUUUUCAUGUAGAUUAAGUUGCAAUUUAUGCAUGAUAUGCAAAUACAUAGAUCAUGCAUAGUGUACAAUUAUAUGCAAUGCAAGAUUAAAUUGAGGGUUUUCCUUUUAAAUCAUUUUUGCAAGUCAUUGACAUCUUCUGCUUGAUAUGUUUGGACACUGUUUAGGUUUUCGUCACUUUGGGUGCCACACCUGAUGCUAUGUUCCGAACAGAUGGCGUGAAAUAUAAGUUAAUUGGGUUGAUGAGGGAUCUUAGAGGCAUUGCAAUGGCGACAAAUAGGUCCGUACAUUUUACUUCUGAGGUAGUCUAAUCAAAGUAUCAAGUAGUUCUUGCCAAUUUGUUCAUUUUACCUUUUGGUGGCUUUUCAGUCGAAGAACUUAUGGGCUUUUGUUUGAUUGGAUAUAUCCUGCUCACAUGCCUAUUCUUUUAAAGGGCAUCUCACACUGGGCUGAUACGCCGGAGGUACUAUUUCAUGGUUGAAUUUUUCUUAAGAAACUAUGUCCUUGCUUUUGGUUUUCGUUGUCUGAAUUUAUUGCUCAAGCAUUUCAUUUUGAUUCUUUUAGGUAGGUGUUUGAACUUAAGUUGAGCUUGUUAAUGAUGUGCUUGUUCUGUUUGCUCAUUUUAUCUCCAUAUUGAAACAUAUGCCAGACCUUUUGCGUUUCUAUGUAGUCUUAUAAACUUUUCUCUUUAUUUCUUAACUUUUGGCUUGUCCAAUUGACUUAUCCCAAUGAACUAUAUUUGUACUCAUUAAUGUUUGAUCCAAUUUGAUGUUUUGUCUGAGCUCUGAACAUUAUUCUAUACACGCACAAACUUUGAUUGCACAAUUCUGCAGGUUACAACUCCAUUGUUAAAGUUCAUGGCUGAGUUUGUAUUAAACAAAGCUCAACGCUUGACUUUUGAUUCUUCUUCUCCAAAUGGAAUAUUACUUUUUAGAGAAGUUAGCAAGCUUCUUGUUGCAUAUGGCUCAAGAGUUUUAUCUCUUCCAAAUCCUGCGGAUAUUUAUGCCUUCAAAUACAAGGGGAUAUGGAUUUCACUAACUAUCCUUGCAAGAGGUAAACAAUUUCUUGUACAUCAGAAUAUUCUGGAACUACACUAGUUUUUCUGCAUUUUUAUUCGUCCUUUGAAACUCUUUUAUGUCUAGUAAGAUCUUGUUUUUGCAGAAUGACAUGUUCGGUUGGUAAGAAAAUUAAUUCUGAGGACCCUCUAAAAUAGCUACUACAUGCAUGUAGGAAAACUAUUAUUGUUGGUGAGAUAAAGAAUUGUAAGAAUCCUUGGAUACUUUUUAAGAGUUUAGUUAAGCUUAAGCAAGGAGUUCUACAAGCCAUUUAGGAGAGUCAUUGAGCUCCUAUAUGUUUUGAGAGAGAUUUGGAAUGGUUAUUUCUAGUCUUUACCUCAUUUUACCUAUCUUUAAGACCUUACAGUCUUUCCAAAAGGUCACGACUUCGUUAAAAAAAUCCUUUAUCUCGCUUCUUGUUUGUUCUCAAUAGAAGGUGCUCUCUUCUGGUUUGUGGAAUAUGUUUGCUUACCUCUUCGGUAAAAUUUUCACUGACCAGUUUGAUUUGUGGUUCUGCUAUGUGGAAAUCACAUACAAUUACUAAAGCUCAGCUUUAACUUUACUAUUAAUUGUUUACUGCUCGAAAGGAUGUUCAUCUUCCUGUUUAUAAAAAAUUGUGUUCAGACUAAUGUUAUUCUGAGCAAUAGAGGGAUGCCUUUGUUGGGCAUAUCUGCUGCCUGAAGCUCUGCUAUUGUGGGGUUCUGGCUUUGCAACUUUGCCCUUUCAAGGAGGGCUGGUUGGGCAGCUAUUUUUCUGUAUUAAAACUUGAGGGGGUAUGCCUUUAUCUUUAUGGAAAUGUAAAAGGAGGCUAGUGUUGUUUGUCCUUGUUACUUUUUCUUUUUUGUAGAACUAGUAUGUUUUUUUAGUAGUAGUAGUUCUGUAGGAUAGGCUAUACAUGUUUAGGCCAUCGCAUUUCACUGAGUCUAGGAUAUGUAGUAAAGUAAAUAUUUGUUAAAAUCAACAGAUUCCAUUGGAAUUACUCUAUUUUAUCCAUUUUUUUGCACCAACUUUUUGCUGUUGCUUUUACCACAUGGCAGCUCUUGCUGGAAAUUAUGUGAACUUUGGAGUUUUUGAACUCUAUGGAGACAGAGCACUUGCUGAUGCACUCGAUAUUGCUCUUAAGAUGACACUGGCAAUUCCCUUGGCUGAUAUUUUGGCUUACAGGAAGGUAUGUAUGGCUAUUCAUUAGAGAAUGAGGAAGAGUAAUUGAAAGGAUAUGAGUAAAUUCGUAUCAGAUCUUUUUUGGAGAUGCUUUCCAUCCGUACUACAGUCUACAAGAGUAGUAGUGAUUAAAUGGAAUUUUGUCGGCUUGUUAAGGAUAGUGUUAUUUUGGUGAACUUAUAGAUUAGAUCCACUUGUCAUAUUAGUAGUUAACUCUCUGAAGUACCGGGGUUGCAAAUCAUAAGAUCUAAUUGUCAUUUUAGUAGUUAAGUUAAAAAGAGGGUAAUUUUCUGUUGCUCUUAAUAUUAAAUGACCCAAAUUUGGGAUGCCCCACAAUCUUAGAAAUCUUUGUAAAGAGAAUGAUUGUGUUUUUAUCUGCUUAAACAAUCCUGUGUCUCUAGUUUAAUUGUCUGAUCAAGUUAAUCAUAAAAAUGUGGUCAGUAAUCCUGGAAAAUAGCGGACCAUUGCCAUCAUGAAGUCACCUUUUCCAAAAAGUUGGAUUUGGAGAAGCACCUAUUACUAGGGACAGUUUUAAGUAAUGAAGAAUACUCAUAGGGAGGAGUAUGACUAGUUUCUGAAUGUCUGUAAAAUAUGUCUUUAGUCUUUCCAUCCUGUAAGACAUAUCAGAUCAGCUUUGGAUUUAUGAAUAAUGUAACGUUUUGAGAUUCUAUUGUUUUGCUUACUGUGAGCAACUAUACCUUAAGGAUUGAUUUUUAAGAUGUGAUUCCUAGAUCUUCUUCCUCCUCCUCCUUACUCUUACCUCUAAGUUUCGCUUUCAAUCACAACCAUAAUCCUGGAUCCAACUUAUUGGCCUUUCUGAUGUUGUGCUUCUCUGAGCAUUAAUGGUCGAGUUCCUGAUUAUGCUUCUGAUGUAAUUCUUCUUUGUCUUUAUUUACUUCAAAUGGCAAAGUAGUCCUUCAAAAUAAUUCGAACACAUAAUGUACUUGUGUGUCUGUUCCGUACUGUUUAGGAAGAAAAAGAGUGUUCAGGAGAAGGCCAGAUUUAUAAAGGUUUGGAGGGAACACGCAAAAUCCAAAAUGUACCUUUCAACAGUAAAGGCAUAUUUUUUCAAAAAUGCUUAUCAGAUUAUUGCUUUUUUCAGAAGGUAGAUAAAUGCCCAGUGAUGAGGCAAUGCAAGAAAUGUGUCUUUCCUGGGAAUUGGACGGAUGGGCAUUGCCUGUGUCUAUCGAAUUGUUGGCUUCCUUUAGCACAAUUUCUCAUUUCCCGUGCUGGAUUUCCUUUCUCAGCUAUGUGAUUUUGAUUCCAUCCUCAACUGAACCAUAAACUAGAUCUCAACCAAACAAAAACUGGAUCUUUAGAGUUUCCGAAGAAGGAAAAGUCAAUCUUCUGUUUUGUGCUUCACCACCUGAAAAGUUGGUUAGGAACCAAAGAUCUUUUAGUGUUCUUCUUUCGUGGGCAAUGCAUCUCCGCUUCUGAUAGAUACCUCUUGGUUAAAGGAUAGGAAAUUUGUUGCAAGCUUCAGACGCGCAUACAGAGCUUUUGCAUCUAGUUUCUCUUGGAUCACCUCUGUGCUCAUGAAUAAGAUACAUUAAGCUUUCUAAGAUAAGCAGAAACCAUCAUGCAACUGUAAAGGAUUUUGAAGUGUAGAAAAACCCUUGAAGAUAGCAUCAAGGAUUUGUUUUGAGAGAUAAGACUGUUAGUAAGUGGUAGAUGUUUAUCUGACUUAAAAUCCAUUAGGGAGCAGUAGUUUUGAUAACAUCACCAAGAAAAGUAGUAGAUUUUCCUAGGCAAACUCACAAGUAUCAUCCAACUCUUUGUUCAAAAUGUAACUGAAUUGGUAAACAAUUUGAUUCAUAAACAAAUACCAAGAUAUAACUUAAUUGGUAAAGAAUUUCAUUCAUAAACAAUUGCUGAAUGCUUGCUGUCUGCUCACGACCUGUAUAUUAGUGAUUUUCUAGGAACGUCUCCUCGAUACCUUCUUUUUUUCAUCUGUGGUGGUACUAGCAGUUUCUAAUCUCGCUUUGUCUCUUUGCAGCUGACAAAGGCAUACUAUGCAUUUUUGGAAGUUCUGUUCAAUAGCCACAUAGUUUUCUUGUUGAAUCUUGAUACAAACACUUUCAUGCAUAUAGUUGGCUCGCUUGAAUCUGGUCUGAAAGGUCUAGAUGGUGGUAUAUCCUCACAGGUAUUAUACUAUAAACCCAUCAUGGAGCAAUACACGUCUCUUACACAGUGAAUUUUUUUUUUUUCCAUCUGUUGAUUUCCUGCAAAGAAUUUUGGUGAGGUUUCACAAUGGGUGUAUCUGCAUCCAUUUAGAGCAUCAUACUUACGUAGUCAGUAAAACAGGUGUUGUAUGUUAACAAGCCCAUGGUACAGUCAAAGUGUCAAAAAACUUGUAUUCACAAAAUUCAUCUGCUAAAUGUUUAGUUUGACUGCUGAUUUUGAAAGCAGUGAUAUUAAAGAAAGGCAACUGGUCGUUAAUACAACUAGUGUUACCGAUUUUUAAUGGUGAAAUGCUGAUGCAUGUUUAAAUGGAUCCUUUAACGUUGAUGAAUUUUGUGGCACACUGGUAGGUGAUUGCUUUUAUUUCUUAUCAAAUCUGUUCUGUUCUUGAUGCCAGUGUGCAUCAGCAAUUGACAAUCUAGCUUCUUACUAUUUCAACAACAUUACCAUGGGUGAAGCACCCACUUCACCAGCUGCAGUUAGUCUGGCAAGGCAUGUUUCAGAAUGUCCCACUAUGUUCCCAGAGGUAGGCCAAGUAUAUUAUUCUUGUGUACUAAAGUGAGCUUUAUAAAGUAAUGUCCUGAUCCUCAAAUUACAGAGGCUGAUAAUUCUACCAUUCUGCAUUGACUGUCUGUGCCAGUAUGAUUGCUUCAUCUUAGUUUGCAGAUCUGAAAGGCAUUUAAAAAAAUUAAACUGACAAAUGCCUGCAUUUUCUACCAUGAGCACACACUUGUAGUGCAAAGUAUUAGCAAAUAUCUCCGUUUACCAAUGAGCACACAGAGAGUUUGAGAUAUCUGGAUUAUAUAUAUUGCCAACAACAGUCAAGGAAAGCUUUCUACUUUGUUAAAUUAACAUUGAAAGAGAGGGAUUAUUUGUAUAUAAGUAGUUGCUUUACCUUUCUUCCAUGCUUUCUGCUGUCUUGUACUGAUAUUAGCUUUUGUUCAGAUACUCAAGACCCUCUUUGAGAUAGUUUUGUUCGAGGAUCUUGGCAAUCAAUGGAGUCUUAGCAGACCAAUGAUAAGCUUGAUACUUGUAAAUGAGCAGGUGAUGUUCAGAGCUGUUCUUUGGCUCUUUUUUGUAGACCACUUCUUGCUGCUGCUUACAACUCGACACAAUAUAUUGGGCCUAAGACUUUCCUUUUGUCUUAUUCUAAUGGUGUUUUUUUGGGCCAUUUGUUGUAAAAAUUUCAUUGUAUGAAUUAGCUGUUCGUUUUCUCUUUGUUUGCAGAAAGUAAUUGACACUGAUUGCAACAAUUUUUUUUGCAGAUACUAACAGAUCUGAAAGCUCAUAUUUUGUCUUCACAGGCAAGUCUUAGCCUAGCUUUGACUAUUUUUACUGAUUUUUUCUUUUUGUUGUCAAUCAUAAUGCAAUACGUUGGUUUAGCAUGGUUUUAGAUGCUAGUUUCUGGCUGCUAUAAUUAUAAUGCAGUAGAACAUAUAUUCUGAGUUGAAGUCCUUAAUUGCAGCUUAAACAUUCUAGAAAAAGCUAGAACUCUUUACCAAAUUGUAAAUUGGUUAAAACUUCUUAACGGUAGGUCAAGUGAAUUGGAGCAUUUGCCUCUCGUUUCUUCCAGCAGUUUCCUUGGUGGCCAUUUCGGCACCUGUAUUCAAAUUUAAUUUUGGGAUUUGAAUAUUUCAACCAAGCUAAUUAUCGGGGUUGAUGGUUCUCCUGUUAUGAUUAUUAUGUUGAACUUGGAAAAUCAGCUAUUGAGAUUGUGGUAUUAUUGUUUGCGAAAGUGGGUUUAGAAUACUUGACUAAAAGCAUAUUUCAGUUCUGCUCUCGUGUUAGCAUGCAAGACAAUGCUUAAAAUCCUUUGCAUCUGGCAACUUUUGAAUGUCCAGUUAUAGUCGUGGAAGAUGAUAACCCCCAUUCUGGGUUCCUCUUCCUUGGACACCUGACUAGUAAGCAGAAUAGUGCUUCGGCUGACCAACACAUGAUUAUUAAGAAUAUGUACCCAACUCGAAGGGGCUGUGGAACUUUUGAGCUUCCACGCUGCUGAUAAAAAAAGAAUCAUCAACAACUUUGAUAGAUAUGCUUCAUGUAUAGGAAACUAAACAUACAUCAGUCGAUGAUUGGGAAGGAUACAGGUUUACAAGUGUCUUCAUAAUGAAACAAAGCACAAGUACAGCUAUCUUGUACAGUUAAGAAUGCUAAAUAUUGUUGUAAUGGUCAAAUUACAGUAUUACUUAAAACUAAAAUGAAAAUAUUUACUGAAUUUUGAAUGACAAGGAUGGCAAACAGAUUUUAACAACUUGACUACCCUGGUAGUUAGUAUAUGUAAUAAUUCUCAACUGCGAAAGCACUAGCCAUAGUUUUGUAUAGAGUGCUUUUAAUUGUAUGCAGAGUUUACUUGAUUUCAGCUCACUGUUGUUAAUUAUCUAUCUAUUCAGUAAACUGUCUUGCCUAAAGAGCAAUUACUAAAAUUUGCAUGCUCUGCAAAUGUGCCUGUUUUGGUUGCUCCAUUAUUUCCAUGUGCAAAAUGACAAUUUUUCUGGUUUUAUUGCAGCCAAUAGAUCAGCAUCAGCGCCUUUCCCUGUGCUUUGACAAAUUAAUGGUUGAUGUUAAUCGAAGCUUGGAUUCAAAAAACCGAGACAAGUUUACCCAGAAUUUGACAAUAUUUAGGAAUGAUUUUCGUGUCAAAUAGCUAUAUGCUUGUGGGAUUACCUCCAAUUUUAAUCCACUUGCACUCGUAAUGAUAUCUGUCACCUUGAGGAUUCAUCUCCGUGUUACAGAUGGCUCCUAAUAUGAAAAUUUUCAUCCUUGGCAAACACCAAUCAUUCAGGAGUAUUUUGAGUGCAUUUGGGAUUCUCUGUGGACAUGAGAAGUAGCAUGCUAAAUGAACUUGUACUAAUUGUGAUGUACAUAAUUUUUUGAAUGAGUGCAUAGUUGAUGCCUAACAUCCAUCAAUAGAACUUUUCAGGUUGUGGCAGAUUGACUAAAUGCACCUAUUUUGAAUGUAUUUUUGAGCUGUUCUGUAGGAGAAUGCUUAGUUAUAUUAUUUGUUAGGUGAACUUGUUUUGAGUUGUAAAUUCUAUGUUGAUCAUUGAUCAUUUACUAACUUUUGGUUGUAAUGGUGCUCUUUACAGCUAAAAUCUGAAUUCCUUGUUAUUUGAUUUCAUUUAAGCCGUGUUACAUAUUGUUGCUACUAUUGUUGUUAUUGUUGUUGUCAUUUAAUACAAAUGUAGGAGGGAAACUCUAUCCUAGUAUCACGGAAUGGCUAUUUCAUAACACAUUAGCCCAUCUGGCACUAGCGCUCUCAAGGACUUAGGCAAGAGAAAUGAUUUAGUUCAGCCUUUAUCCAAACAUCUCAGAGUAGCACUCUCAAGGACUUGGCCUAUAUAUAGGCAAACCCAAGAGAGCAAGAGAAUUCUACAAUCUAAGGUUACAAUGCUUGACCUCUAGAAGUUCUAGUUCUACACUAGUCUAGGCCUCUUAUGUACAAGACUAGGCUAUUCUACAGCAUCCAAUAGUAAACCACUAGCCUUUGGGCUGGUGGUCACUUAAGGCCUGUUACCAUCAAUUGUCACAUUAUGUGGCUCUCUUAAAAAUCCAGACGGGUGUGUAGUGCAUUCGUCUAGUCCGAUAGCGGUUCGGUCCCUGUUGGUCCCUCCCAUUGGUUCAGUUAUGCCUCCUUUAGAAUAUGUUAGAGAAGGAGUAAGAAUAAGUGUAGAGUAAACUAUUGCUGACUGUCGAAAAAAAAAAUACUACAUCCAAUAGUAGCCUAUAGUAAUUUGGAAUAUUCUACAAAAUAUAUGUGAGGUUUUCUAUAAUUCUUUCGUAAGAGCUAGUCAUGGGUAUUAAUUGCACUUUUUCCUAGGGGUGUUAUCAAAUUUUGUUUCAAGUCAUGGUGAGAGAUACGACUAGGUGAAGAGAUUAAGAGAAAAUUUUUAUCAGAUUUAUGUACUAAUGUUUUAUUAGCUAUCUAUUAUUUUAUAUUUUCUUUUAAAGUUCUUUGUCUACAAUCUUAAUUGAUUUUAUAUGGGUUUGAUCUAAUAAAAAGUAGGGAUUUUUCCUACUUGAGUAAGGAUUUUCUCAAUUCCUAAUAAUAAGUUUAUCUUUUUCCUAUAUUAAAAUUAUUUCUUAAUUUCUUUAGGCAUGUUCAUAUUUAAAAGAGCAAAUUGCACUAAAAGUCACUAAACUGUACACUUGUGCUGGUCUAGGCUAUUAAACUAUUUCCUUAGUCGAAAAUGUUGCUGAACUAACCAAAAUGCAUGCUUUGUGUCAUUCUGUAUAAUUUGGUCGUCAAAACAAGCGAAAUGGACAUCAUGUGACUUGUAGGCUUGGUUUUUGAGGGGCAAAAUCGUUGAUUUAGUUUUUUGGUUGAUGUUUGUCUUCUGCCCUUGAAUGUUAUAGAUAACAAUCAGGCUCUAUUUUCUUUUCCACCCUAAGGCCCUUGUGAAUUUUUGCCCAAAUCUAAAGUAGAUUUUUCCUUGCCAUCUCCACACCACUAGCCAGCCAAUGGCUGGGGUUCGUAAUCAUUGUUUUUUGAAUUGAUGUGGUCUUUUUGCCUUCCAAGAAAAGGAAGAGGAUUUUUUCAAGUUCUCUCUUUGUUUAAGUGGAAUCAAGUAGGGUUUUAUAUGUUCACACAUGAAAUAGAAUCAAGUGGGGUCUUAUAUGUUCACAUGAAACCCUAAACUCUUUUAUUAGUUUUGAAACAACUACUAUGCCUACUUCCACUUAACAUGUGAAAUGGAAGCAAGUGGGGCCUUAUGUUAUAUGUUCAUAUAGAACUCUUCUAUUAGUUCUUGAGCAACUAAGAUGCCAACCAAGUGGUUGCUUGGAGCUGACUAAAAUUUUUGAGUGUUUUCUUAAUGUAGAAUUUCUCUUAUGGGAGAAUUGCAAUUAUAUUCUCUCAUAUUUGCAACUUAUGCUUUUCACAGUUCAAAAUUAAGCAUUUUGGUCCUUAACGAUGUUUGAAAUACAAAUUUGGUACUAAAUUCUAUUUUGUGUCAAUUUAUUUUGUACUUUGGAAGAAGAGAAAGUUAGACUAAGAGUUAAGGUAUAAAAGAAACAUAGAUGUAUAAUAUUAUAUGCAUAAAGAAAGUCAAUUGCAAGUAGCUUUAUUUUUUGAAGCAAGCAAUUUCACUUUUGGUCCACAAUCUAUGUGGUUAGAAAUGAAAUAUGGGAACAAAGUUAAUACUGACUAAGUUGCAGGUAGAGGUAUCAAAAUGGGUGACUUGGGCGGGUUUGGGUUGGGUAAAAAAUGGGUAAUAGGUUGUCACGCCCCGAGCUCGCACGUGCCCGUCACAUGACACCCGCCGUACUCCCAAGUCCCACUUAGGAAUACAAGACUACAUUAACUAAUUUAACUUUGACAGUACUAAACAAUUUAACUAAAUAAAGUGCGGUACGAAUUACAUAUAAAAGGACGUCUACGAAUAAUCAAGACGUUCGUACAUUUAUUCUCCAAUUGAAACAGCGGAAACAAAGGUAAAUAAAACCAACAACUGGACGUAGCCAGCCUACCAACUUCUAUUCAUCUAAAACUAAUAAAAGUCAUCCUUAGGAUCUUCUACGUAAACCAAUUCAUACUCUUCAGAAUCUGCAAAAAUAGUAAGAAGUGGGUUGAGCGACACAUCGUUCAGUAGGUAAUAUUUACCCCUCUGUUGGACCAUGCACUCUUGACUUUAUAGAUACAUACAUAAAUAUGGGUACAACCCAUAUCGUUUGCAUAUCAUUCACAUCCAUAAUUUUGAAAGUAACAUCAUUUAUAAAACAAUCAAUAGUGAAGAAUGACAAGGAAUUUAAAAGCACUUUCUUGACAACCAUACUUGGAAAAUCGUAACGUCAUAAAUCACUUUGCAACAAUUCAUAUGCAUCUCCAUAUCCAAUCAUGUAUCAUCCCAUAAAACGUCACAUAUCCCGUUCAUAGAUCAUUUCAAAAUAGUUCAUAAAUCACUUCAUAUCGUUCAUAAACCUUCUUUCAGUUCAGCUCAUAACAAGUACAUGUAAUGAUCGGCUACUGAGUACUCAACCUAGAGAUUUUACCCCUUCUAGGUGGGCGACCAACAAGUUUUAUGACUACCGAUUGGUCUCAUUUCAAUCUUGGGUCAAUUGGCUGGGCUUUAUACCAGGCUACCAUGGCGGUUAGACAGGACUAUAGCCCCUACCGUCUAUUCCAUAACUGCUCUGAGCUUUACUUGUCAAAAUUCAUUUUAUAUAUCGUAUACAUAAACCUUUGCUUUCAUAACAGAUUCAGCUCAUUUUGUAUAUAAGAAACAUAUCAAACAUUUCAAAUAAGUCACAUGGUCUAUUUUGUAUAGUAAAGUAUAGCUUUCAUAAUUAUCCAAGUAAAACAUUUUAACCAAACACCUUUCGAGUCAACAUAGCAAAAUGUGAUUGAAAACCAGAAUUUCAUUUUGCAUAUUUGAAAUUUCAGAAGGGUAAGUACCACCUACCUCUGUUUGGCUGCUCGAGUGGAGCUACCUUAGGUCCUUGUAUUGCACCUAUCAAAUGCAUAGGUUCCCUAAUUAGUUGUUACUUCCUAUAAAUACAUAAAUAUACAACCUCUACGUAAGUACAAGAUUCAUAUCUAGACCAUUUUAUGGACCCUAAUAGCAUUCCCCUCAAAUCGGACGAUUUCUACUUUUGGAAAGUUUUCUAAUUUGGAAAGUUUCUUAAUUUGGAAAGUGUACAUUUUGCAAGGCUUCCUAAUUUAGAAAGUUUCUUAAUUGAGAAGGUUCUCCUUUUUGUAAAGUUUCCUAAUUUAAAAGAAGAUAAUUAUUUAUUAUUAUUAUUAUUAACGGUAUCGUCCACCUUAUUAUUUACUAUCAUUAUUGUUAUCCUUAUUGUACUACCUCUAGCCUUAUUAUUACUAUUAUUAUCGUCCUUGUCGUCGCUACUUUAUUUUAUUACCACUUAUAUCGAUUUACUAAUUAGUUAUUAUUACCUUUCACUUUAUUCCUACCUUUGUGCGUGUGUAGGUGUUAUUAUUAUUUAUGUAUAUAUGCACAUAUAUAUAUUGAUUUAUUAUUAUAAUUAUUGUCUUAAUUUAUUACACUUGUAUUUAUAUUUAUAUUUUCGUUUACAUCCUUUAUUUGUUCAUCCAUAUUAUUAUUACUAUUAUUAUUAUUAUUUUUUUAUUUCUGGGGGGGCCCAUGUUGGCCUUUUGGCCAACCAUGGCUGACCAUGGUCGCCAGACCCUCUGGCGACUUAUACCUUCAAUUGGCUGGCCGAAAGGCCAACCAUGAUUUUGCUCCAUUGUCGCCAGCAAGUGCUGGCGACAUCCUCUAAAUGUUUUAUUUUUGCUUCUAUCUUUCGGCCAACCUUUGCAAAAUUCUUUCUUGGCCGCCAGAGAUGGCGGCCCCCCACCCCUUUCUUUUUUUUUUUUUUUUUUUUUUGCGCUUGGCGUUGCAGAAGCAACGCCUAGCCAUGACAGAGCAGCGGCAGCAGCCGCUGCCCUUCUUUUUCCUCAUCAUUUUUUGUCAACAGAUUCCAAACACCCUCUAAUCUCAAAAGUAAAAUCAGUCCCCUUUAUUUCUAUUAACUCAUAUACGAAUCUUAUCAAACAUAUAUCUACACCUAUAUAGCAACAAUACCUGUCCAUAAAAUUUCUAGAACAAUUUAAUACAUCUACUACAACUUGAAAGAGAGGUUUUCUUGCGUGAACUCGAGACUUACAGGUUUAGGUGCCUAGUCGUCGGAUCGAUUGCCGGUGUUGCCUGCUCCUCCUUCUCUCCUCUCUGACGGCUCUUCCUCUAGGGAGGCAAACGAAAGAAAAGUAAGGCUAGGGUUAUUUUCCUGUCUAGGGUUUUAAUAAAAUCCUAAACCUAGCACUAUUUAUAUUAGUACCCCUUACCCUAUCCUGAAGUUACCUUAUUUUAUUUUUCCCCUUUUUACUUAGUAACUUUAUUCUUUUAAUUAGUUGAGAAAAAUAAAAUAAGCUAAAAACUAAAUAAAAAUAAGGAAAUAAAAUUGGUGCCGCAUUCGUGGGUUUCACAUUCUACCCCCUUACAAAAAGUUUCGUCCUCGAAACUUGCGUACCUUGAUCAAAGAGAUAUGAGUACCUAUUCCGCAUGUCCUCUUCUAAUUCCCACGUUGCCUCUCGUGGUGCAUGGUUCGUCCAUUGCACCUUAACGUAGGGUAUGGUCCUCCUCCUUAGGACUUGAUCCUUUCGAUCCACGAUUCUUAAGGGAACUUCCUCCACUGAUAGGUUCUCCUUCACCUCGAUGGGUUGGUCCUCCAAAAUAUGACUCGGGUCUGAUACAUACUUCCUCAGUUGGGAGACAUGGAACACAUUAUGUAUCCUUGACAAAGCAGGUGGGAGAGCCAGUCGAUACGCCAGAGGUCCAACUCUAUCCAGUACCUUGUAAGGUCCGACAUAUCUCGGACUUAACUUGCCACUUCGUCCAAAUCUCAUCACUCCCUUGGUAGAAGAUACUUUCAAAUAUAUAUAUUUUUUUCUUGAUUGCAAUUCUAAAGGUUUUCUCUUUAAAUCCGUACAACUCUUGUUUCGGUCUUGCAACUCUUGUUUCGGUCUUGCACUACUUUUAGUCUUUUUCGAAUAACCUUAAUUCUCUCCAAGGGUCUUUCCACCAAAUCCGGGCCAGUGAUCAGUUUCUUACCCACUUCAUCCCAAUAUAAGAGAGAUCCACACUUUCGCCCAUACAACGCUUCAACUGGUGCCAUACCUAUCCCGCUAUGAUAUUUAUUAUUGUACAAAAACUCAAUUAGUUUCACCAACCUAUCCCAACUAUCCGAGAAGUCUAGAACACAAGCUCUUAUCAUGUCCUCCAAUGUCUGUACGAUUCUUUCUGACUGUCCAUCCAUUUGGGGGUGGAAGGCGGUAUUUAGUCUUAGGUAUCAGUCCCCAUAAUCUCUUGGUAGGUCGAUUAAAAUCUAAACGUGAAUUUAGGGUCCUAAUCCGACACUACUUUCACAAUUCAUUUUUAAGUUAGGUAUCACAUUCUCUCCCCCUUUUAAAGGUUUCGUCCUCGGAACCUACAGGAUAUAAAUAUCAAAAUAAGCUGACAAAAUUUCCAAUGUUCUUGCAAUACAUCUUGGGAAUUAUUUCUACAAUGUCUAAAUUGAAUUUCCUUAUUUAAUUCUAUCAAACUUCUGCUGCGCACUCUUAUAUUUCCGCAAUACCUUCAAUCUUCAUAUUUAUAUGACUCAGAUGAACAUAAUUUCUCUCACAAAUCCGGCGUUCUAAAUAUCGGCUUAGAAUACUCUAUAGAGAUCAACCUAUAAGAAGGAUGUCAUAAACACUAACAGUACCAUUUCUUCCUUUUGGUCACACAUUCUAUCCCAACUUACUUAUCUACUAUCACAAAAGUAAUCAUUAUCUCAAUAUAUGGGUUCCUGCCCACUGUGUUUGUAAUUGGUAACGAAAAUCUCUUAUUUCUCUCAAAUCUCAAAUCUAAAAUAGCAUCGACCUAUUUUCCAGAUCCUAUAACCUGAGUUAUUAUACCGCUAAAUGCCAUGGGAAUCUUAUUUCCUUUGGUCAUUCAUUUUUUUCCCUAACUCAAUUCAAUUUUCGAAAAACAUUAAUACCUUAAAAAUCAUUUCACAAACUUCUUGAUCAUACAAAAAUAUAGAAAAUUUUAUACAAAAAUUGUCACCAAAUUCUCAUAUUGGAAUAUAACAACUUUGUCGUAACUUUGGUAAAAUAUUUAUCUAUGCGUAGAAUUUCAAACUCACACAAGUUUAGAAAACUGAAAGUGUUUUGAAAUACACAAGUCAACUAACUAUUCCUUUUUCAGCAUUAGAAUUUAGAGUACAAAGAAAAUUUAUCAAGAAUCAUUAUUAAAUUUAUCAAGAAAAUUUAUCAAGAAUCAUUAUUAAAUUUUUCUAUACGAUAAGAAUUUUUUUUUUUGGAAUACAUUUAUCUAAAGCUCUUUUUGAGAUUGGAUGAGUAUAUAAAAAAACAUUUUGCACAGGAUUAUGGAAUAUAAUCAUUUAGUGUAUUUAUUCUUUUUUUUUUCUUAUAAAUAUAUACAUAUAUAUUUAGAAACUAUACUUACCAAGCAACUGUAAGGUAAAGGUACAUAUUUAAAAAUUCUGAUUAAAAACUAUUUGUGCAAAUAAAAUUUUGGUUUCACUGUUUAUUCAUUUUUAGGUAAAAAGUAUGUAAAAUUAUAUAUUGUAAGAAAUUUAUAAAAUAUUUAUUGCUUGAUCAUGAUGUAAUAAUACCUGAACUAAUAAUAUCAGCUAGUUUAAUAAAUGUCUUGAGCAUUAGAUCUAAUUAUCGUAUACCUCAAAAUAAGUCAACAAAAUUCCAAGAUCCAACAUGUAUUGCAUACGUACUUUCCCUUGAUACUCUCAGUUUCCUGCAGACAAUACUUCAGAUAUACAUAAUAUUUCCUACACGUCCGACAUCUUAAAUUUAGAAUGUACCACCAAAAUCAUAUCCAAUAAAAAGGACAUCAUGAACACCUAUAGUACCAUUUCCAACUUAAAUCACACAUGCAACUUUUUCAAGCCUAUUUAUUCAAUCACAAUUGAUCAUUUCCUAGUGUGUAUUCCCUAUAAAGAGUAAAUCGUACCCCAGGCUUUGUUAUCACUAAAUAUUACGAAAAUCUCUUAUUUCGCAGCCUUGUAUCCAACUUCAUUCCAAUUCCUAACAACACUAAUAUUACAAACAUUAUUUAACAUACUUCUAGAUCACAUAACCCAAAACUUGAUAACAUUAAAAAUCACGAGAAUUUCUUAUUUCCUUAAAUCCUUUUUCUUUCAUCUCCUUUCAAUUCCCAAAAUCCCUGAUAUCUCAAACACUAUUUCACAUACUUUCAGAUCAUAUAAUCUGAUCUCUGGUACUGCUAAAAGGUCACAGCAAUCUCUUAUUUCUUUUGAUCGGUUUUUUCCAUCUCCUUUCAAUUUCCAACGUCAUUAAUAUCCAAACAUAAUUUCUUACACUCCCAAACCAUGUAACCUAAGCUCUGAUACCACUAAAAAUGUCACGCCCCGAGCCCGCACGUGCCCGUCACAUGACACCCGCCGUACUCCCAAGUCCCACUUAGGAAUACAAGGCUACAUUAACUAAUUUAACUUUGACAGUACUAAACAAUUUAACUAAAUAAAGUGCGGUACGAAUUACAUAUAAAAGGACGUCUACGAAUAAUCAAGACGUUCGUACAUUUAUUCUCCAAUUGAAACAGCGGAAACAAAGGUAAAUAAAACCAACAACUGGACGUAGCCAGCUUGCCAACUUCUAUUCAUCUAAAACUAAUAAAAGUCAUCCUCAGGGUCUUCUACGUAAACCAAUUCAUACUCUUCAGAAUCUGCAAAAAUGGUAAGAAGUGGGUUGAGCGACACAUCGUUCAGUAGGUAAUAUUUACCCCUCUGUUGGACCAUGCACUCUUGACUUUAUAGAUACAUAUAUAAAUAUGGGUACAACCCAAAUCGUUUGCAUAUCAUUCACAUCCAUAAUUUUGAAAGUAACAUCAUUUAUAAAACAAUCAAUAGUGAAGAAUGACAAGGAAUUUAAAAGCACUUUCUUGACAACCAUACUUGGAAAAUCGUAACGUCAUAAAUCACUUUGCAACAAUUCAUAUGCAUCUCCAUAUCCAAUCAUGUAUCAUCCCAUAAAACGUCACAUAUCCCGUUCAUAGAUCAUUUCAAAAUAGUUCAUAAAUCACUUCAUAUCGUUCAUAAACCUUCUUUCAGUUCAGCUCAUAACAAGUACAUGUAAUGACCGGCUACUGAGUACUCAGCCUAGAGAUUUUACCCCUUCUAGGUGGGCGACCAAUAAGUUUCAUGACUACCGAUUGGUCUCAUUUCAAUCUUGGGUCAAUCGGCUGGGCUUUAUACCAGGCUACCAUGACUUUCUCAAUUGGUCAAUCGGCUGGGCUUUAUACCAGGCUACCAUGACUUUAUCCAUUGGUCAAUCGGCUGGGCUUUAUACCAGGCUACCAUGACUUUAUCAAUCGGUCAAUCGGCUGGGCUCUAUACCAGGCUACUAUGAUCUCACCAAUCGGUUGGGCUUUAUACCAGGCUACCAUGGCGGUUAGACAGGACUAUAGCCCCUACCGUCUAUUCCAUGACUGCUCUGAGAUUUACUUGUCAAAAUUCAUUUCAUAUAUCGUAUACAUAAACCUUUGCUUUCAUAAAAGAUUCAGCUCAUUUUGUAUAUAAGAAACAUAUCAAACAUUUCAAAUAAGUCACAUUGUCCAUUUUGUAUAGUAAAGUAUAGCUUUCAUAAUUAUCCAAGUAAAACAUUUUAACCAAACACCUUUCGAGUCAACACAGCAAAAUGUGAUUGAAAACUAGAAUUUCAUUUUGCAUAUUUGAAAUCUCAGAAGGGUAAGUACCACCUACCUCUGUUUGGCUGCUCGAGUGGAGCUACCUUAGGUCCUUGUAUUGCACCUAUCAAAUGUAUAGGUUCCCUAAUUAGUUGCUACUUCCUAUAAAUACAUAAAUAUACAACCUCUACGUAAGUACAAGAUUCAUAUCUAGACCAUUUUAUGGACCCUAAUAGCAUUCCCCUCAAAUCAGACAAUUUCUACUUUUGGAAAGUUUUCUAAUUUGGAAAGUUUCUUAAUUUGGAAAGUGUACAUUUUGCAAGGCUUCCUAAUUUAGAAAGUUUCUUAAUUGAGAAGGUUCUCAUUUUUGUAAAGUUUCCUAAUUUAAAAGAAGAUAAUUAUUUGUUAUAAUUAUUAUUAUUAUUAUUAUUAACGGUAUCGUCCACCUUAUUAUUUACUAUCAUUAUUGUUAUCCUUAUUGUACUACCUCUAGCCUUAUUAUUACUAUUAUUAUCGUCCUUGUCGUCACUACUUUAUUUUAUUACCACUUAUAUCGAUUUACUAAUUAGUUAUUAUUACCUUUCACUUUAUUCCUACCUUUGUGCGUGUGUAGGUGUUAUUAUUAUUUAUGUAUAUAUACACAUAUAUAUAUUGAUUUAUUAUUAUAAUUAUUGUCUUAAUUUAUUACACUUGUAUUUAUAUUUAUAUUUUCGUUUACAUCCUUUAUUUGUUCAUCCAUAUUAUUAUUACUAUUAUUAUUAUUAUUUUUUUAUUUCUGGGGGGGCCCAUGGUCGCCAGACCCUCUGGCGACUUAUACCUUCAAUUGGCUGGCCGAAAGGCCAACCAUGAUUUUGCUCCAUUGUCGCCAGCACUCCUCUAAUUUUUUUUUUUUUGCUUCUGUCUUGGCCAACCUUUGCAAAAUUCUUUCUCGGCCGCCAGAGAUGGCGGCCCCCCACUCCUUUCUUCUUUUUUGUUUUUUUUGUGCGCUUGGGGUUGCAGAAGCAACGCCUAGCCAUGACAGAGCAGCGGCAGCAGCCGCUGCCCUUCUUUUUCCUCAUCAUUUUUUGUCAACAGAUUCCAAACACCCUCUAAUCUCAAAAUUAAAAUCAGUCCCCUCUAUUUCUAUUAACUCAUAUACGAAUCUUAUCAAACAUAUAUCUACACCUAUAUAGCAACAAUACCUGUCCAUAAGAUUUCUAGAACAAUUUAAUACAUCUACUACAACUUGAAAGAGAGGUUUUCUUGCGUGAACUCGAGACUUACAGGUUUAGGUGCCUAGUCGUCGAAUCGAUUGCCGGUGUUGCCUGCUCCUCCUUCUCUCCUCUCUGACUGCUCUUGCUCUAGGGAUGCAGACGAAAGAAAAGUAAGGCUAGGGUUAUUAUCCUGUCUAGGGUUUUAAUAAAAUCCUAAACCUAGCACUAUUUAUAUUAGUACCCCUUACCCUAUCCUGAAGUUACCUUAUUUUAUUUUUCCCCUUUUUACUUAGUAACUUUAUUCUUUUAAUUAGUUGAGAAAAAUAAAAUAAGCUAAAAACUAAAUAAAAAUAAGGAAAUAAAAUUGGUGCCGCAUUCGUGGAUUUCACAUAGGUAUAAAUGAGUCAACCCAUUUAAUUAGAUGAAUAUAAAUGGGUAAGUUAAAAAAUGAAUUGAAUAACUCAAUUACCCAUUUAUAACCCAUUUAUUUUAAUUUUUUGUAAACUCAUUUAAAUUCAUUUUUGUAAAUUAAGUUGUCAAUUUAUACCGCUCUUUGUACCCAUCAUUAAUUUUAAAUAUUUACAUAUAAUGUUCAAUAAGUCUAAUUACCAAUUUUUUUUCCAUUUAUACUCUAUGUCGCAAAAUUACAUAUUAUUUAAUAAUUGAAUAUAUUGAUCUUGAUCCUUAUCUUUUGAUGUUUACAAAACAAUGGAUAAUACUAAUAUCUCUUCAAGAAAUAUUUUCAGUUAUGAAGCAAAUUAGAUUCAAAGAUCAAGUGCAAAUGAAAGGGACAAAGGCUGCUGAAAGCUGUCGGACGCUUGGUUCGGACGUCCGAUAAUCAUUGCGCAACUUCGGACGCAUGAAAAACUCCACCACCGGACGUUCGAAGGAAAUAAAACAUUCUCCCUGACUCACUGACUUCGAUCGGACGCAAGUAUCGGACGCCCGAUAGGAUCGUUCAAAUUUGACGAAAGCUGUCGGACGCUCACAAAGACAAUACCGGACGUCCGAUAGAAUUGAGAUAUUCCUUCUAACUCAUUGUCUGCUUUCGGACGCAAGCACUGGACGUCCGAUAGAAUUGAAGAAGAUUUUUCAAACUCACCGCCUGCUGUCGGACGCAAGAAACCAGACUACCGGAAGUCCUAUACUCCAACGGCUAUUUGGCUCUUCAGCUACUUUCUAUUCGUUGGAAGCAUUAAUGAAGCACUUUCUUGGUCUCCUAUAAAUAGAGUAUGGUCAGAAACUUCAAAUAACUUUUGCACAUUGAAGAUACAAAAAAUCUAGAGUAGUUUUAGUGAGAAAACACUCUCCAAAAAAGAUUUGUAGUCUUGGUGGUGUGAAGUUCAUUGUAAACUUUUCAUUUGUGAGUGAAUACUUCAAUAGAGUAGCUCUGUGAGGGUUAUCCUGAGGGAUAGUAACUUUCUUGCUUGACUGAGUGGAGUUUGGGGUAAGAAGGAAGUGAACCUUCCUUUGUACACAAGAUUGGUUGUAUUUCAUCAACUUGAAUAAGCUUGUUCUAUAAAUUGAUCUACAAGCUCAAGAGGAGUUUGGUAGUCAAUUGGUUUGCAAUUCUUCCCUUCUUAUUUACUUAUUGUUAUAUUGUAAUCUUUUAAUUGCUUAUCUCUUCUACUCCUACGCAAUCGUGCUUUCUUACUAAUUGUUACAUUGUGUGGUCACUUAGAAAAGAGUGUAAAUUUCAUUUUGAGCAAAAAGUGCCCAUAAUUUGAUUAGCUUUUUAAUCAACCUAAUUCACCCCCUCUUAGGUUGUUUUCGAUCCUAACAAUUGGUAUCAGAGCUUGGUCUCCUUGAGAUUAAGUUCAAUCGGUUUAGGAGUAAAAAUGACAACCAAUAAUGUCAUAUUUUUUGAAGGACAUUCUGUUAUUAGACCACCUAUGUUUAAUGGGUCGAAUUAUAUGAGUUGGAAAGGAAGAAUGAUUAUUUUCUUGCAAUCGAUUGAUAUUGAAUUGUGGUUUAUUAUUAAUGAUGGUCCAUAUGAUACCUCUAUAGUAGAUGAUAUUACUCAUAGACCAAAAUCAAAAACUAGAAAUGAAUUGACUGUAGUUGAUAGAGUUCAUCUCACCUUAAAUGCAAAAGUCAUGAAUGUAUUAUAUAGUACUUUAGACUCAAAUGAAUCUAUUAGAGUCAAGGGUUGCAAGUCAGCUAAAGAAAUUUGGGACAAACUGAAAGAAAUUCAUGAAGGUAGUGAGAAUGUUAGAGAACAAAAGAAAUCUAUCUUAGUUACUAAAUAUGAGUCGUUUAAGAUGGAGCCUUAUGAAAAUAUUGAUCAAAUGUAUUGUAGAUUCAAUGAUCUCAUUAAGGAUUUAGAAGUGUUGGAAAAAGAAUAUUCUCUAGGUGAGAAAAAUAGAAAAAUUCUGAAUGCUUUGUCCAAAAAUUGGAAAAGUAAAGUGACUGCUAUUGAAGAGGUUGAAGAUUUGAAUACUAUGCCUAUUGAAUCACUUAUUAAUUCUCUGACCUCUUAUGAGCUGAAACUUAAGACUAAGGUACAAGGGCAAGAAGAUGCAAAGGUAAGAAGGAGCAUUGCUCUAAAAGCAUCUCAAGAUGAAGAUGAUUCGGCCUCCUUGGAUGGAGAAGAUGUGGAAGUUGAUGACAGUGAUCUUACUCUCAUCACAAGAAGUUUCAAGAGGAUCCUCAACAAAAGGAGAUUUAGAAGAUGAGGACCUAGUAAUUCAGAUUCUAAUCAAUUCAACAAUGCAAGAAACAAAGGAAGAUAUGAGGCCAACAAAAAGUAAGGUGACAAAUGCUAUGAAUGUGGCCAAUUUGAACACUACAUGAGUGAGUGUUCAAUGUAGAAGAGGAACGGUCAAAGAAAACCAAGAUUCAAAAACUUCCAAUUCACAUGGAAUGGAUGCAACUCCGAUGGUGAAAUUGAAGAGGAAAAUGAAUCUACUCAAUUGGCUUUCAUGGCCAUUGGAGAUGAUGAGGUAACAACUUGUAACUCUCAAUUUGAUAGUGAUGAUAAAACUGAUGAUGAUCUUGAAUCUUUCAUUAAAAAGUUGCAUGAUAGUUUGAAAAAAUCUUAUGCUAGAAACAAGGAAUUAAAACACAAAAUUAGUUUUCUUUUUCAUGAUAAUACACGCCUUAUUCAAGAAAACGAGAUGUUGAAAACUGAAAAUGAUUUCUUGAAAAAGAAUGAGAUUGAUUUACAAAAUAAGUUUGAUAGAAAAACAAGGUUUUGUGAAAUGUUAAAAAAGGAGCAAGGUGAUUUGAAAAGAAGAAUGAAUAAUUUAAAUGAGUUGCUCCAACAUAAAAAAACAAAACUAUUUUCAAGGAAAUGAAACAAAAACUCAUUUUGGAACUCAUGAGAAGAAAUUAAAUUCUGGUGCAAAUAAUUUUGUAAGAUUUAUUAAACCUAGUUUUGCAAAUAACUCUUUGGUUAUGUGUAAUUUUUGUUGUCAAAAAGGUCACAUGAAAAGUGAUUGCUAUGUGAGGAAAAAUAUGAGAAGAGGCAUGAAAUGCAUAUGGAUAGUUAGACAUGAUACUAACUCUCAAGGACCCAAAAAUUAAAGGGUACCAAAUAUUAGUUCUUGAACUCUUGAGUUGGUGAACCUGGUGAAUAUCAUUAAGGAAUCAAAAUAGUUCGUAGACAGUUGAUACUCAAGACACAUGACCGGUGAUCCAUCACAUUCAUCAAAUUCAAGCCAAAAUCAAGUGACAAAGUGACAUUUGGAGAUGAUAUAAAAGCAAAAAAUUAGAGUACGAGAUGUUGGUAAGAAUGAUCAGAUUUUUGUUCAUAACGUUCUUUUGUAAUUUUUUUUAAUGUUUCUGAUAUUUUGAACUGAGUUUCCUUUGAUGUUUUUAAUAAUUAAUGGAUUUCGGUUGAUAUGAAUGUGGGUAUGAAUGUUGGUUUCAUUGAUGCUCAUUGUUAUUUUUUGUCUCUUUUGAUGUGAUUUUUCUGUUAUUGACUGAUGAUGGUUGUAGCUACUGUUCUUUUUAUGGCAAUUACUCUAUACUUUUAUGAUGACAAAAUGGGGGAGAAAUUAUAAAAUAGAUGUGGUUUGGGAUGCUAUUAGUAAAGGGGAGUUCAUUUGAUGCUAGUUUGGGAUGCUAUGAGUAAGGGGGAGUUUCUCCUCAUUUUCCUUCCUUCCAUCCAUUGUUUUGUUAUCAUCAAAAAGGGGGAGAAUAUUGAUCUUGAUCCUUAUCUUUUGAUGUUUACAAAAUAAUGGAUAAUACUAAUAUCUCUUCAAGAAAUAUUUUCAGUUAUGAAGCAAAUCAGAUUCAAAGAUCAAGUGCAAAUGAAAGGGACAAAGGCUGCUGAAAGCUAUCGGACGCUUGGUUCAGACGUUCGAUAAUCAUUGCGCAACUUCAGACGCAUGAAAAAUUCCACCACCGGACGUCCGAAGAAAAUAAGACAUUCCCCCUGACUCACUGACCUCGAUCGGACGCAAGUAUCGGACGUCCGAUAGGAUCGUUCAAAUUUGACGAAAGUUGUCGGACGCUCACAAAGACAAUACCGGACGUCCGAUAGAAUUGAGAUAUUACUUUUAACUCAUUGUCUACUUUCGGACGCAAGCACUGGACAUCCGAUAGAAUUGAAGAAGAUUUUUCAAACUCACCGCCUGCUGUCGGACGCAAGAAACCAGACUACCAGACGUCCGAUACUCCAACGGCUAUUUGGCUCUUCAGCUACUUUCUAUCCGUUGGAAGCAUUAAUGAAACACUUUCUUGGUCUCCUAUAAAUAGAGCAUGGUCAGAAACUUCAAAUAACUUUUGCACAUUGAAGAUACAAAAGAUCUAGAGUAGUUUUAGUGAGAAAAUACUCUCCAAAAAAGAUUUGUAGUCUUGGUGGUGUGAAGUUCAUUGUAAGUUUUUCAUUUGUGAGUGAAUACUUCAAUAGUGUAGCUCUGUGAGGGUUGUCCUGAGGGAUAGUAAAACUUCCUUACUUGACCGAGUGGAGCUUGGGGUAAGGAGGAAGUGAAUCUUCCUUUGUACACAAGAUUGGUUGUACUUCAUCAACUUGAAGAAGCUUGUUCUAUAAAUUGAUCUACAAGCUCAAGAGGAGUUUGGUAGUCAAUUGGUUUGCAAUUCUUCCCUUCUUAUUUACUUAUUGUUAUAUUGUGAUCUUUUAAUUGCUUAUCUCUUCUAGUCCCAAGCAAUCGUGCUUUCUUACUAAUUGCUAUAUUGUGUGGUCACUUAGAAAAGAGUAUAAAUUUCAUUUUGAGCAAAAAGUGCUCAUAACUUGAUUAGCUUUUUAAUCAAUCUAAUUCAUCCCCUCUUAGGUUGUCUUCGAUCCUAACAGAAUAAUAAGAAUAAAAAAAAUAUGAACUAAGUACUAUAAAAGUUAAUAUAAAAACUUAAUCCAAAAAUUUUGAACCCUAACAUUUUUUCCAUAUAUAAAUUUAAAAUUUCAUUUUAGAAAGAUAAGAAAAGAGGCUAAACUUAUCAUAAAUUGGUAAUGCUAAAAAAUGAGCAAGCUAACAAACUAAGAGAAAAUAAAAUAAUAAAAUAAAACCAACAAAUAAUAAUAAUAAUGAAACAAAAGUAGUUAACAUCAUGGAAAAAUGAAAAAUUUGAAAAAAAAAUGGGUGGGGGAAGAGAAGAGACUUUGGGGAAGUGAUACACACCCGGAUCCGAGGAUGCCAGAAUUCGAACCACAAGCCCAAGACCAAGGUAACGAGUUUGUGGUAAGCGGAGUCCUAGACUAUCAAGGGCAGCGCGAGAUAGUUUCGAAUGAUAGAAGACACCACAAUCAAGCGUGUUCCUUGAUUGAUAAAGUCGACGAACACUUUAGAUCCUCUAAAGGUGCUCAAGGGUGCUUACAAGAAGCUAGAGAAACUCUCUUAAUUUCUGAAAUUGUCCCAAAAAAAAGUCCCUUCUCUAUGGAAUUGAGCAGCCUUUUAUUGGCUUACAAAACAACUUAACCUAAAACUACGCGAAAGAGGUAAGUUUCCUAAUUGAAUUGAAAGACUUAACCAAAACAUAACUAAUUCCUUAACAUACUAGAUAUGCCUUAGUAGGCUUACAAGACCCAAUUGGAAGCAAUAAAAAUAGGAAAUAAUUGGAAAUAACAGAAACUGCUAAAACAACUAAAUCAGUCCGACGCGUUGCACACGAAAUCCUUGAACUUUGAAUGCUUGGCUUUGACUCUCUUCAUUGGACCCCAAUGACCCGUCAAUGGACCACGUAAUAGCUUUUGGGCAGCUCCUAAGAUUCGUAUCAUUCCCCUCCUCUUAAAAAGAUUUGUCCUCAAAUCGUGGGAACGCAAGAAUUGGCGGCGCGGGCUAACAGCACUUCGGUUAUUAGCUCAAAUGGAAGGAGGCAUAGAACAUUGCAGGACCAAGACUUUUGCCCUUUGCUCAACCUGCACAAAAGAGUGGACACUAAAAAAAGCAAAUGUUAGAGGUGAUGGGCGCGAAGCAACGCCCUCAGGUGUAAAGUGCAUCAAGAGAUUUUGCUUUCUCUCAUGGCUAGCAACUCGAUUUUCCUUUUUCCUUGCAUCUUCAUGCUCACUCUCUGUCCUCAACUUCUCUAGAUCUCCACAAACUUGGCUGGGGGAUAAAAGGGCUAAAGUAAUCUUCCUACCAUCAUGGGUAAAAGACUACUUAUUAGUUCGACCUUCAAAGGAUACAUCCUUAUCGUAUUGCCAUGGUCGUCCCAAAAUAAUGUGAGUGGCUUGCAUGGGAACGACGUCACAGAUCACCUCAUCCUCAUACUUCCCUAUGCAAAUAGGCACCGACACUUGUCUAUACACUCACACAUCCCCAUCAGCUGUCAACCAUUGCAGUCGAUAAGGUCGUGGAUGUUUCUUGGUUGGGAGAGCCAAAUUUUCUACCAUGAGUAAACUUGCAACAUUGGUGCAACUUCCCCCAUCUAUAAUUAAGCUGCAAAUCAUAUCCUUAACUUUGCAAUGGGUGUAAAAGAUGUUCUCCCGUUGAGACCCCUCGUCCUCCUUAGCAAGCAUGGUUAACGCCCUACGAGCGACCAAACAUCCUACAUUCCCAGGUAGCGGUGCAAUCUCUUCCUCUGAGUCCCCAUCACCCGUCAAACGCGGCAUCCCUGCAUAAUUAGACUCGUUAUCUGUGGCCACUUCACCAUUGUCCCUUAUAACCAUAAUGUGUUGAUUAGGGCAUUGGGAUUGUAUAUGACCAUACCCCUAGCACUUGAAGCAUUUUCGAUCCCGAUUGCGCGAGUUAGAAGCACCAUUAAAUGGGGUUGGCGCUCCUUUACUUGUACCCGAUCCAACUUGGUCCCCUUUAGGCUUGAGUAGAGGAGUUGAGUUUGCAGGCUUCUCCUCUUUAGGUCCGGGAUUGGUGCUCCAACUUGAAGGAGUUACAUGGGACGAAGAUCUAGCGGCACCCCUCCUCUUGAUUCGCCUUUCAACUUUCACAGCCUUAUCCAACAUUUCACUCAUAUCCAUGUAAUGUUAGAGUUCAACUAUCUCAGCAAUAUCGGAUUUUAGGCCAUUGAGGAAUCGUGCCAUAGUGGCUUCAGCAUCCUCAUUCACAUCGGCUCUCAUAAUGAGCAUCUCCAUGUCUUUGAACUAGUCCUCCACACUCUUGUCGCCUUGAGUGAGAGUUUGUAGCCGUUGGUGUAACUCCCUAUGAUAGUAGCUUGGGACAAAUCGUCUCCUCAUGAUUCCUUAAGUUCUCCCCAAGUUUCUACUGCUCGCUCACCAUUUUUCCUCCUACUAGUUCGAAGUUGAUCCCAUCAUGCGGAUGCAUAAUCUGUGAAUUCGACGGCGGCAAGCUUCACCUUUUGCUCCUCUGAAUAGUUAUUGCACUCGAAGACAAGCUCAAUUUUGCGCUCCCAUUCGAGGUAUGUCUCAGGAUCGGACUUACCCUAGAAUGAUGGGAUGUUGAGCUUAACUCCCUUGAUGGAUUCAUUCCCGCCGUUUCUCCUUUCUCGGGCAACCCUUGGUUGUAGAUCAAACUCGCCAUCCUCACUGUUAGAUGCAUCCAACUAAACUUGCCUCGACCUUCCUCUGCUCAAACUAGCUUGAUUUUUGGAUGACUCCAAUUGUUCCAUCCGUUAGUGCAAUGUUUCAAUGGAGCUUCUAAGCAUGCGCCUGAAUUCUUCCAUCAUAUCCUCCAUUUGAAGUCUUAAAUCAAAAGGUUGGGAUUCACCUUCGUUUGACAUGUUUUAAACCUGCGGGAGAUCAAUGACAAACAAAGAACCUCACUUCACUCCCUCACAAUUUUCUCUCACACUCGUGUAUGUCACUCAAAUUGGGACGCACUAGUAAUUCUCACCAAUUUUCUCAAAGCUCUUGAUCACCCACCUUGAGGAAAUUUAGAGUGACCUUAGAUGAACAAUCAACAACCAAUAAUUCACGCAAGUGCAACUAGGCUCCCUUUUUUAUUUUUUAUUUUUUGGUGAUUUCAAGGACUCAAAAAUUCACAAAAUUUUUUUUUGACAAAAGUGCAUAACAAAUCUGGGAACUUAUGAAGUGACUAUAGAUUUGGAAACUCAAGAAAAGGAAUUCUAUCCAAUCUUAAGUCAAGGCUAAAAUUUAGAAGUCUCCAAAAUUCGGGUUUCCAAGAACGUGGUUAGGCACUAGGCCACUCAGGAAAACCCUCGAUAACUGGAAUGACCUAAUUUUUUUUUAAUUAAAAGAAAUGGAUGAACAGUAGAUGCUACAGUACCGUGUGAAUAAGUACGGCUACAGUACCAUGCUACAGUGCUCGUGAACAGUGACGACGCUACAGUGCCGUGAACAGUGAUUUCGAGUUUUUUUUCCCCACAAACCCAAACACAAAGACACGAUUAACUGACAAUUAGCAACACAAACUGUGGCAGACCGACAACACAAAAGAAUUUAAGAAGAAAACCCUAAUAAUAAACUCUAAACAAAUACGACAAGAACAAAAUAAAAGGGAUAUAACUUGAUACCUUAACCUAUGCUCUGAUGCCAACUGAUACGAACCCGGAUCCGAGGAUUCCAGAAUUCGAACCACAAGCCCAAGACCAAGGUAACGAGUUUGUGGUAAGCGGAGUUCUAGACUAUCAAGGGCAGCGCGAGAUAGUUUCGAACGAUAGAAGACACCACAAUCAAGCGUGUUCCUUGAUUGAUAAAGUCGACGAACACUUUAGAUCCUCUAAAGGUGCUCAAGGGUGCUUACAAGAAGCUAGAGAAACUCUCUUAAUUUCUGAAAUUGUCCCAAAAAAAAGUCUCUUUUCUAUGGAAUUGAGCAGCCUUUUAUAGGCUUACAAAACAACUUAACCUAAAACUACGUGAAAGAGGUAAGUUUCCUAAUUGAAUUGAAAGACUUAACCAAAACAUAACUAAUUCCUUAACAUACUAGAUAUGCCUUAGUAGGCUUACAAGACCCAAUUGGAAGCAAUAAAAAUAGGAUAUAAUUGGAAAUAACGGAAACUGCUAAAACAACUAAAUCAGUCCGACGCGUUGCACACGAAAUCCUUGAACUUUGAAUGCUUGGCUUUGGCUCUCUUCAUUGGACCCCAACGAUCCGUCAAUAGACCACGUAAUAGCUUUUGGGCAGCUCCUAAGAUUCGUAUCAGGAAGAGAAUUUUAAAUGGGUUAAUUGGGUUUGAUGGAUUACCCAAUAAUACCCAUUUAUUAAAUGGGUAUUAUUGGGUAACCCAUUUAUAUCCAUAUACAAAAAUUUAAGAUACCCAUACCCAUCUAUUCAUGGGCGGGUAUGGGUAAAUUUAGUUAAGUGGGUUGGUUUGCCACCUAUAGUUGCAGGGAUAUUUAAAUGGAUAGUGGCAGCAGGAGGAGUGAGAUGUUGGAUGAUAGGAAGGAGGGAAUGUAAAUAAGAGAUUCCGAAUUCAAGACCUUCCGCUUACCAAAAACAAAAAAAGAUAGUGGCAAAAUAGGUAUAUGUUUGAUAAAUGGUCUUAUUAAAAGACCUUCCAAAAACAAAAUAAGAGAUUCCGAGUUCAAGACCUCCUGCUUACCAAAAACAAAAAAAGCUAGUGGCAAAAUAGGUAUAUGUUUGAUAAAUGGUCUUAGUAAAUGGAAAGUGGAUCAAAUUGCUCCAAUCCAAUUAAACCAUUUAAUAAAUAGAUCUAAUGGAUGCCAUUUUAAAAUGGAUGAUGUGAAACCAUGUUCCAUCCAUUUAUCUGUUUACUCUCCCAAAUCUUAAAUUGAAGAUCCAAGUUUUGCACAAAAAAAUAUAUAUUCCGAAAAUUUUGAAAUCUCUAUUGCAAUUCAAAAUCUAUCAAGAUUUAACAAAAUGAGGAAACUAUGAGGUUUCAAAUUUAAGAAUUUUGUAAUCGUUUAAAAUUUAGUUGCAAAAAACAUUGUUGCUUGAAUAAAACAUGAAAUGAUAAGGGAGGACCUGUGAUGAAAUAUAUGCCUUUCGUUUUCAAAGAGAAAUUUUCUAAUUUAAUUACAAAGAAAAACUUUAGAAGGCUAAAUUGCUAGGCCGUUUGUAAACUAUAAUCGCCUUACUUGACAUCUAAACAAACAAAAGAAGCCAUUUUUGUAAAAAAAGUUUGGGUAACGAGUAAGAUAGCUUUGGGAGUUUGUGUGUGUUUUUUAAGAGUGAUACUAAAUUUGAGAAAGUUUUUAAAAUAUAGGGAGUAAUAGAUGUAGAGUGUAUGUAUUCACGGGAUAAAUUAAGUACCAUUUAUGUGUUUUAACCAAUGCUACAAGGACACUCAUUAGGAAAAUGCUUUUUACAAAAAAAAAAGACUAAAAAAUUUAAAAAUAAAAAUUACUUUGAUAUUGUAUGAUGCAUUCUCACUUCUUCCGUACUAAAUAACGUGCAAGUAUGCAAUCAUUUUAUUUAAGAGUGUAUAAAAGCCAAAAAGAAAAAAGAAAAGAAAAUAGUAGAGACCAAAAUAUAAUUUUGAAAAAGGUCUAGGAAGUCUAGAGAUUAAAAAUGAAGAAAAUGCAAUUAAUGCUGUUAGCAUAUGGAAAGUUAUGAAGAAGAGAACAGGCGGUCCUGCAAAAUUCCACUUUCUACUUGUCUGAUAAUAUUUGUAUCAGACCAUCUAUUUUCUCCUUUUUAAUAUAAGUGAAUAUAUUUGGAUGAAAUGGAUAAUUCAUUAAAUUAACCAACAUAAUUGGGUAUAAAUUAGGGCUAUAUACAAGUCGAGCCACUCACGAGCCAAUCACGAGUAGUUCAAGUUAGAGCUAGACUUGAGUUUGGUCAACAUUGAGCUUGAGUUAACCAACUCAAACUCAAGAUGACCAACUAAAACUCGAUCUUAAAGAUACUCAAUUCGUUAGCUCACAAGUCGGCUUGAUUUUUAUUUUAAUAGUGAAAUUCUAUAUAUGUAUAGACACACACACAUAUAUUUAUAUAUAACAUUUUGUUAUUUGUUAAAAGAAUUACUAUUUUAUUUAUUUUUAAAAAUAAAAUAAGUAUUUUUUAUUUUUCUUAAACUCGAACUCAAGCUCGACUCAGCUCAAAUUUAAGAUCGAGUUCAAAUUCAAACUUUACUUCGAGAGAUUGUCGAGUUCGAACUUAGUAAAAUUAAAUCGAGACUUGAUUCAUUUAGGCCAAAUUUCAACUCGACUCAACUCGUUUGUAACCCAAGUAUAGAUAGUAAUCCAUUUAAAACCAUUGAGUUUAUAUGGGUCAUCCAAAUCCAUUUAAGGUUGGUUUUUGUGGAUGGAUUAUGGACAUGGAUCCAUUUUGUCGCUUCUACAUGAAAUGCCCUUCAGAAUUCAGUAUUUUGUCUUUUUGACCCUUGAAGUGCCUCUGAGAAUUCAGUAUGUUGUGCUUCUAACCCAUGAAGUUGUCCUAACUUCAUGCUUUAGCUUUCAAUUAUAAGAUAUUCUUGUAUAAUUGUUCAAUAACCAAUAUUUCUAUAUAAUAGUUCAAUUACCAAAUAUUCUUGUAUAAUUGCAUCUAUUAAUUACCAAAUAUUCAAUUAUCAGAUAUUUCAUGAGGGAAAACAAAAGGUAUAGGACCUUCAAAUUAAAAAUUUAAGCAAUUAAAAACUAUGUGCCAUGAAACUCUAUUGAGUAAGUUUCUCUAGUGCACAUGAUCGUGAAUGCAUGAAGGUGACGAUCGUUAACAGUAUCAUGAUAAUUUCCUUUUUUUCAUAAGAAAACUGAAUGAAUUUUAUUAAAAUUGAUAUAAAUAUACCUGUAGAGUAGGUAGAAUAAAGUUUAGGGCACAUCAAACUAUGUACAUGAAUCAUCAAGUGACAAAAGCACUUUUUGUAAUAAGAUGGGCAGGUUAAUUAAGACAUCUAGAAACCCAGUGAACAUUCCCAUCUAUAAAACUACAGCAAUCAAUAUGGAUUAGGUGUUCUUGAAAGUGUUUUUCAAAAUCUUUACUGUAACGGUGUAUGUUAAAAAUUUUGUAGAUGGUCCGUUUGGAUUAGGUAUUUUUGGAGAUAUAUUUUAGGGUGUUUUUAAAAUUCAAAAUUUUAUUGGUGUCUUUUUAUAAAGUUGUUAAAUUUUCACCACCAUACACACCACCCACUACUGCCCCUCUCCUCCUUUACCACCAUCACUGGCCCUUCCCCUUCCCUCCUCCUUCCUUCUCCUCUUCCUUCAUUCCUUCCUCUUUCCCUCAUUUCCCUCCCCCUUUCUGGUUGUGUCUAAGGGUGGCAAUGGGGCGGGGUUGGGGCGAGGGAAAGAUCCCCCACCUCCCGCCUCGUUGUCAAAUAACUACCCCCAUCCCCCACCCCGUUUCCCCCACAGGGGGAAAAAAUCAACUUAUCAUAAAUGUUCACUUACGAUAAUACAAUUGUAAACAGCGUUAAAUAAGAUUAAAGCUGUCAAGAUGGAAAUAAAGUACAACAGGUCAAGUUACAUUCCCGUAUUCAACAAACUCAGUCAAGUUGAUUUCUCAUAUUCAACAAACUAAAAACACUCAACAAUAAGUCCAGCUUUUCUCUUCAUUAACAUAACUCAACAACUUCAGAACAUUUGCUCUUCAUCAACCUCGAGAUGUGAUAACUCACUUAAUAAAACAACUCCGACAUUUGAUGCUAAAAUAAAAGAAGAAACUUGUCACCAGGCUAUAGUGUAUAACAAACAAUUGGAAAAAGUCAAUUUAGAUAAUUCAAAUUUCUUUAAUACCUAUUCAGUAAUACAAUCAACAUCAUCUUCUUCAUCAAACAAUGUAUUACAUGAUAUCCCUUCCGAAGAAGAGCAAGUAGCUGCACCAAAAUAAAAAAAAUAACUUCAGAUUUACUAAAUAAAGAAAUUCAAAAAAAAUUUUUGUAUAAAUUUAAAAAUAGAAGUUAAAUCUUUUGUAUACCAUUUAUUUCAUUCCAGAGCCAAGUGCAAGUACACAUCAAUGCUUCCAUGGUAUUGGGGUAAAGUUUACAUCGAUGAUGACUAAUUAUUCUUCCACAAGUACUAAAUGCAGAUUCAAAUGCCACAAUUGAGAGGGGUACAACUAGGAUAUCCAUAGCCAUUUUUUGUAAAGUGGGGUAUUUAACCCCAUGUGUUUUCCACCAACCAAGUAUGUCAAAAGUCGGAACUCUUGGUAACACAUUUUCCUCAAGAUAAAAAUCCAAUUCCGACUUAGAAGCCACAAACUUAUCAAAAUCAGCAAUAGGAUCCAUUUCAACUUCAUUCUUAUCAUGACUCCCACUAACAUGCUCACUAUGUGAAGUCAUGCUCCAACUAUCAUCUCUAUUUCCGCUGAAACUAGAUCGAUAUUGAUAAUCAUGCAACAAAGAAUAACAAUUUUGACGAAUUGCUUCAAUUUUCAUGAAUGAUUCAUCACCAUAAAUGAUAGGAAAAUAAUACUCAAUCAACUUCAUUUUGUAUCUAGGAUCCAAAACUGCAGCAAUGCCAAGUAUCACAUUACAAUCUUCCCAAUAUUUUUGGUAUUUUGCCAUCAUCUUUUUUGCCAUUACUCUAAUUAAACAAUUUGGAUUUUUCAUCCAUUGAGCCAAUGAUACCUUAAUGUCACAAACUUUUGCAAAAAAUUCAUUUGAUGUAGGAUAUCGAGUACCAGAGAACAUUUCAGUUGUGAGAACCCGUAAUUUGUUAUUUUCUAGGUUUUAGGAUUUUCAUGGCUUGUUUUCUGCAUUUUCGUGAUUAGAAACAUUUCGAGAUAAUUUUAAGGAGCAGAUAUAAUUUUUAGAUGAUUUCUCUAGUAUCAAAUAGAUUUUGAGAAAUUAAGAGCGUAUACCGGACGUGGGACCCACUAGUGCGAGAAGUUCGGAAAAAUUCGGCCAACUAGGUUAAGUUUUGAAUAUUGGAAUUAAUUUACCGGGUGUUAAGAGAUAAGUAGAGGGUGCUAAGUGGAUUGGUAUAAGAGAGACAAGUUAGGUAAGUAUUUAAUAAAAGGUGACAAGUGUCACCAUUUGAGUGGGUUUACCUUUAAGACCACUAUUCAUGGUCUUACCAAUUGACUAAAUAAAUAAAAAAACAACCAAAAUUUCUCCAUUUUGCUCUUCAUUGUGGCCGGCUCUUUCUCCCAAAAAGAAAGAAAGAAACUCUUCAAGUUUUGCUUCCAUUUAGCUCAAAUCCAUCCAACCAACCAUUGAAACUUGCAAUUUCUCCAUAAAACCUCUUCAAUUAGUGUUAGUGAGUUGAUUUGUGAAGUUAUUUGGAAAACUAGGAGGACCUAUUGCUCUCUCUCUCUUGUUUCUAAGGUGAGUUGUGAAGAACUACUCUCCUCUCUUAAUUGAUGCUUAAAUCAUGCUUAGUGGUAGUAUGAGAUGCAAGUUUAUGGAUUAUUUCUUGAUUUGUGGUUGUAGUGAUGAAGUUUUAUUAUUUUUGGGGAUUUUUCUGUUUUAAUAUGAGCAUGAUUGUGUGGCUAUCUAUGAUGAUUGGAAAUGGUAUAUAAUGACUCUAAGAGGUGGGAAAAGUGGUUAAUUGCAAACAAUUGCUGAAUUGGAAGAAAUUUUGGAAAGUUAGGUUUUGGUUAGGGAACAUUCUGCCCGAAUUUAUAGGUCCUAGUUAGAGGCCGAAUUGGCCUUGGAUUAAAACAUGAACGUUUUAGGGAAUGACAUUUUAGAGGUGCCUAAAAAAUUUCAGGUCAAUCGGAGUAGCGUAGAAUGAGAAAAGUCGAAAUUACCCUUGCUGUUCUGGUUUUAUCCGAAUGUAAGAAUUGCGCCUGUAAUUGGUUUUUUUGGCUGGAAUUGCUUCAGAAUUGGUUGUUGAGGUCUUCUGAUGAAAUGUAUCCCUGUUUCUUAGCUUUCAGCUGGUUUUGGAAUUUCUGGAUUUGGACUUGGAUAGCCUGAUUUAUGAUGUUUCCGCUAGAAUACGUUCUGUGAAUCUGUUUUUGUGAUUCUGGUGUAGUAUCUUGCAUUUUUGACCUGGUUAAACUCAAAAAUGGGUUGAGUGACCUUCUGUAAUGUUGUAGCCCUGUCUUUUAGCUUCAAAACGGUGGGUCUUGCACCUUUAUCCGGUAAUCGUAGUGCCUUGGGUGCCAUUACCGUAAAAAGAGGUCAAAAACUGUUUUUUUCAGGGCCAAAGCUAAUUGCAUUUCCGCAUUUUCUGGUUUCCUCUAAUGUUUGUAUAUGCUUAUGGAACCCUAUUGGGGUUGUAUUUGGCAUUGGUUUAUGACUCGUUAUCGAGUCUCAUUGUACUUGUUUGCAUGUUUUAGGGCGUGACGUUGGUGCACAACGUUCUUUUGACGGAAGUGCGUGAAACCACAUUUGCGAGCUUGGUGAGUGUACUACUCACUUGUGUGUUAAUAUAUGGCUUUGAUACUUGAACUUGGUGCUUUGAAUGUUAAUUGCUUGAAGUGAAAGUGUACUUUAUCACUCUCACUAUGUGCCUUAUAUCCUUGUUAUCAUGUGAUUGGAAUGUUACACGAAGUGUUACUUGAAAUGAAAGUACAUGACUUGGUGUCGUUUGGACGAGUAUCCAAUGACUACAAUUGUUAUAAAUGAGCUCAACCCCAUUGGUUGUUGAUUGAAUCGAGCCGGCGAGGGCUUGGUCGUGCCAAUUAAUGUGCCUUGGGGAAGUGUUAUAUGGAAUCUUGUAGUAUGAGAGACUCUUGAUUCCGGUUUACUCGAGUAAUAUCAAAGUGCAAGUGUUUGGAUUUCGGGCCCGGUAGGGGGAUGUUAGGUGGAAGGAACGGAAGUAAAGUGGAGUCUACGGUUGGUUACUUUUAAACAUUGACGGAGAGUCAAUGCGAUCCGAUCAAGAAUGCCAACGAGGAAAAGGGCUCUUGAGAGCCGCCCGUAUCCUUUUAUCCUCAUUAUUGAUGUGUGUUUUUAUUACUCUUGAUGAAUUGGACUGAGAAGCUUGAUGCAUCUAUGAACUUGGUUGCUUGAGUAGUAAUCUCACUGGGCAAUUAGCUCACACCGUUCCUUUUGUUUUCCUUACAGGAAUAUGACUCUUUUGGAAUGAAUCUUGAUAGAUGGUUGCCGAAUGAACUUGAUGAAUAUCUCUUUUGUUUUGUAUUUGAAGUGAAACCCUAAAUGUAUCUUUAGGGCCGUUUUCACUUUUAAUUUGGCAACCCGUGUAUAUAUGAACUUUUGAAAACUUUUGUAUGCCACUUUGGGUUGUAAUUGCUAAAGUUCAAGAUGUGAAUGUUUGCUUGCUAUUUGGUUGGAAUCUGACGGGUCGGUUACUAUUCAUGACCGACUCCGGAUUUAUUUUUUUUUUAUUUUGGGUUAUUUUGCCAUUUUGACUCGUUUGCGUGCGUUAUAAGUUCCGGAACGCAAUAGAUCGCUCUAAUUGCACUGUUAGUCCUGGCGAGAGCUGGGCAGGCAGUCCGCUAACCCCUCUGGUUCGCCUUAGGGGAAGGUGGGGCUGUCACAGGUGGUAUCAGAGCCUAGGUUUGAAUUAGCCUGGGUGUAAUAGAGAUGCUUGAUUUGUGGGUUCUUUGUAUAUGGCCUUUAAGCUUAUUUAUGGUUAAUUGCUCUUUUGGUGUAGGAUGGCCGGACAGGGUGAGCCUAGUGAUAGUCCGCCGGGCGAGAGAUCUCGCGGAGCACUCCCAGUGAUACCAUACCAGAUACGGCCAGGAGGGGCCGUCGUGCGUUGGAGCCCGUCUAAUCGCCUCCGACGUUGCGAGUGUCGACAUAAGUAUGCCUAUCCUAACGCUCUCGUGUUUGCAGUGGACAAGGAGCGUAAGGAGUUGGCCGGAGAGAAUGCUCGACUGGAGUCCGAGGUGACCCAACUUAGGGCGGCCAAUGAGAGACAGGCCGAGCGCAUUGAUGGCCCGAAGGACGAUGUACUUGAGGCAGAGGAUAGGGUUGAUGACCUCUGUGCUCAGCUUAGGGAAGUCCGAGAGCGCGAGAGUAAGCGAGCUCGCAAGGUGAAGGUUCGAGCUGCAUCGAUCCUGAAUCUUUGCGCGGACGUGGUUGAGGGCGUGAGUGACGAGGACUCAUGCGCGGGUCCUGAGGCUGGGGUUGGAUCCACUCCGUCGGGUGGGUCUCAUAGCUCGUCAUCGUUCUAGAUUACGACUCCUAGAGUUGUUUUGGAUAGUUUUGGUUUUGUAUAUAGGGCAAAUAUGGAGAAGGGCCUUAGCUAAUCAUUUUGUACGGCUAGAUUAGCUACGUGUAUAUUUCUUUUGAUAAGGCCAUUUCCUUGGGGAUUGUCCAUGUUUGUACUUGACAUGACUGAACUUGACUUGACUGAUUGUAUAUAUGUGUGUUGUUUGCCUUGCUUGGAAUAUAUAUAUGUGUUUGGAAAGGUUUUGAGUUUACUUACAUGCAUUGUUUUAUAUUGGUUUAGUACCAUUACCUAGAUCAAGUAAAAAGUUAUGGAAGGAACACGUAGUGGACGGGGACGUGGGCGCGGAAAUAGACAACCCACACCGGAUAGGGGUACUGGGGAAACCUCUACUGGACCUAACCCUGACCCCAAUGUGCAAAUUGCUGCUGCUAUGCAGCAAAUGACUAACUUGCUGGCACAAGUGGUGCAGCAACAGGGCCAGAACCCAAACCCUAACCCCGGAAACCCUGGCAACCAUGUCGAGAGCGAAGACAGAGCUCUCGAACGUUUUCAAAAGUUUGCUCCACCCAAAUUCAUUGGGGGACCUGAUCCGGAUGUUGCAGAGCGAUGGCUCGAGAAGAUGGUCGAUAUUUUUGCGGCCUUGUACUACACCGAUGAACGGCAGGUGACUUUUGCCGUAUUCCAGUUAGAAGGGGCGGCCCGUUCCUGAUGGAACGUCAUACGACAAAAAUGGGAACGGGAACAAACGCCCAGGACUUGGGUGAAUUUCAUCAGGGAAUUUAACGCGAAAUUCUUCCCUCCUCUAGUUCAGGAGAGGAAGGAAGACGAGUUCAUCCGACUCCGCCAAGGAACUCAAUCGGUGGCUGAAUACGAGAGCCAGUUCACCCAUUUGUCCAAAUUCGCGCCUGAGUUGAUCAUGACGGAGCAACGGCGAAUUAGGCGUUUCAUUCAGGGCUUGAACGUCGAAAUCCAAAAGGACCUCGCAGUGGCUCAAAUCAAUGCUUUUAGCGAGGUCGUAGAAAAGGCCCAAAGGGUAGAGAGUGCUCGAUUGCAGGUCCGGAACAUCCAGGCGAAAAAGCGGGGCUUUCCUGGAAGCAGUUCUGGACAAGGGGACAAAGGUACUCCCUCAAAGUUUGGACGCGGAGCUGGAGGUGGAGGACAGUCAGGUUCCGGCAGAGGGGCUUAGUUUAGGGGCGGCCCUGUGACGACCCCACUUCCCCCUAAGGCGAACCAAAGGGUUGGCGGGCCGUCUGCCCAGCUCUCGCCAGGACUCACGCAAGCAUUCAAGCUUAAAAUCCUCCAGGGAUUAACCUAUACUACUACAAAAAUAAUUCUUCCGAAAUAAAUCAAUUUCUAUCACCUCAUUAGCUUCAAAGAUAACGGCAUACCACUUAGCCAAACGACGGCUCUUAACCACUUCACACGUUACUCGCAAGGUUAAAGACAUACUAUACUAAUAAAAACAUACAAACCGAAUAUUUGAAUUUGGGAUUACAUUUUUCCAGCUUCAAGUGGCAACCAAAAUAAAAGGUACAGUACUUAACAUAGAAUUCAUUACAAACCGAAAUCUAAAUUCAAGCUAUUCAAAUACAUUCAUAGGAAAUAUAAGAAGCUCAAAUUCUUUCAACUUCCAGACCUGUAAGGAAAACAAAUAAACGUGGGGUGAGCUAAAGCUCAGUGGUGCCCCAAAACAUGCAUUCACGUAAAUCAAACAGCGAGAAAUAACUUAAACAAAUUGAACAGUUAGGAAAGCGUAUAACAACACAAGGUAGGAUACAGGGGCUCUCAGGAGCCAUUUUCCUCGCUUGAUCGCCAUUCAUCGUAGUUGACCCUCCGUCAACUCUGACUACUUAUAGUCCAUGUAGAUCCACUCAUUUUAAUCCUAACCCGUCACCAUUCAUACCCCGGUCCCGGGCCCGAACAUCGACUAAGGACGCAGUAUACUCGAGAUAUACCCGUAGAUAAUUUGUCGAGGGAUUCACCCAACGACGUUUUUGUAGUUCGAUUCAAGUGCCGAGGGAUUCACCCAACGACGUAACUACUUUUAGAUUCAAGGAUUCACGAGAAAAAUGAUUCACACAAGUUACCACUCGAACGGCUAGUGCGAUAAAGUACACACUGCUCACUUCGAUGGAUCAAAACUCGUUUUGCAAUUUAUCACAUAUCAAGUCAAGAAAGCACUUAAUUCAGGUAGGAAAAGAACAGGCAGAGACACUCACCAAGAGUGGAGUUCAGAUAUCAGGUUGGGAAUCGAAUUCCGCGUCCUUGCAAAAUCCUAAAAACCAGAUUUUGAAACUAUAAGUUUUCUAUUCAAUUUUUAAACUUAUUCGUAUAAGAAAUUUAUUUAAUAUAAUAUUAGUUUACUUCCUCAAGAGAUUUCAAAAAUCUAUUUAGAUUGAAGCUUGACAAAAGUAGUAGAAAUGUUCCUUAUAGUUUUCCUUAGGAGAGGGUAACUAGUGUUAUUCGCUAGAAACAAGUCGACAAACUUCUCAAUAUCAAAGUUAGAAGGUUACUUUGAACAUUUCUCUAAAGUUACGGCUUUUGCAAAAAUUAUCCUUAAAACUAUUUUUCCUAGAAUAGGGUUUCUUGCCGAGCAAGUCUCCCAAGCUUUUCACUAAAAAUUGGUAAAGCUUGUAUUUUGGAACUUUUCCUAUAGUUAACAAUCCAAGUGCAAAGCUUAAGGAAAGAAAAGAAUUAAAAUAAUACUUAGAGUUUCCAAAAACUAUUUAACUUAUUUACUAUAGCUAUCAAGGCUAAUUUGAGCUAAAGAAAUUUAUCGAGUUGGAAAGUUUUAGGCAAAACCCUAGAUAUGAAGUUUUUAUAAUUUAAUACAAGCUGGAAAAUAUUUUUGGUUAAUUUUGAACGCAGCUACUCGAGUUCGCAAGGUCUAUACAAUUUCCCCCCGCUCCGAUUCCAUUUCGAGAUCAUAAUAUCGAUCAAAAUAUGGCAAAAAUCACAUAGCAAAUUACUAAGGCUUCGUCAAUCAUUAGCCCUAGCUUUAGACAAUUGAAAUUCUGAAUAAAAUAAAAUGAUCAACCAAGGCUUCAUCAAUCAUUAGCACUUGGUUUCAGCAAACCCAACAUAAGCAAAUAAAAUAAAGGUGGAGUCCCAAGACAUUCCAGCAAUUAACUUCCACCAUCCAAUAAUACUUUAUAAAAUUAUUUCAAUGGCCAAGGGCUUCAUCAAUCAUUAGCCCUGGACAACAUCAAUCACUCCCAACCACAAUUUAGUCAAGAAUUUAAUCCACAAGUAAGCUAAAAUCUCAAUCCAAAUCCAACUUUAGUUUCACAAAGAAAUCAGACAUUCAACCCAGGCAGUCUAUUUUGAGGAGUCACGAAUAGCAGUAUACAUGGUGGAAAAAUAUAAAAUUUCUACAGAACGAAGGCCCAUGAGUCUAUUUUCAUAUGCCACUGACGGCACCUCAAUCGGAUUUUCCUACACCAAGAUAUAUGCAUUUUGCCUAGACUGGUCAGAAGUUCCGAAAAUCUGGAAGCUCUUGAUCACAUGUGGAAAAGCUCCUUUUUCUCUUUUUAAAACCACAAGGCUUUUAGUCUAACCAUCCAUACGACUCUAGUAGAAUUUUAGCACCACAUUUUCUAGACAAUUUCAACCAUUAUAAAUUCAAAGAAAGUUUCACAAUCAAGCUGGAAUUUUUAACUCAAACUUUGGCGAUCACAAGGAAAAUUUCCAGCAUUUGUAUAUCCAUGUUUUUGGGUUAAAUCUUUCAAAAUAUCAAAUGACUCAUUGCCAAAUAGCUUUCACAGAUUACAUGUACAUUUUGUCAUGCAUUUCGAGUUCCUAACAUUCCAAGGAAAAAAUUCCAGGAACCACUUAAAAAAAUUCCAAGUUCAAGUUCACAGCGUUUCACAAAGAAAUUCCAGCAAUAACAAUGGUUCUAAACAGAAUUUUCUUUGGUUAAAACAGAAUUUUUUGGUACUCUAUUAGGACAUGCAAACACGUAGUUAGCUAGUAAAGGUUUCCAAAUUCAAACUACAAUUACACACAUCUUAACACAAAUCCAGAAAUUAUAACAACUAGUCUCGGAUGAUCAUUCAUGAAUCAGUUUUUCUAUUUUCAUUUUAUUCUCUUGGUUAGCCAAGCUACUUGACCUCAUGCAAGCUUUAAUUAACAUGUUGUUAACCAGUUAAUUGCAUUUAUUCACUCUAAUCAUCACCAUAUGACAGAUUGAGAAUUAUAUUUCAGAUUCAAGAUCUCGGAAAUUUUCAGCUCAUAAGAAUUCCAAUUCACAAAACCAGAAUUCCUUAGGUUCCUUAAUUCAUCAAUUAACUUCAUAGAAUUAACAUGCAGGGUCCUAGUCAUCAUAAACAUUAAGUUUCACUCGGCUAAUUACACUCAAAUGCUCAGGUUAUCACAGGAAAAAUAGAAUUUCAGUUGCAUUUCCAAUCCAUCCUCUCGGCAGAAUCAUUCUCAAUCAAAACAGAAUUUUCCAAUCUCCUUAGUUCAUCAUCCGAUAUUAUCUUCAAUUGAAGCCUUUUAAUUUGCCCUUAAAUUCUCACAUGCCCAAUUGCUGAGUUAUUUAGCUAACAUAACAGACCAGAAAUCAGCUCGGCAGCAGCAAAACACAUUCAUAAAUCCAGAACUUGGUGAGACUACACUCGGGUGAGCUUGCAUGCAAAAAGUUCUGUUUCAUUUUUAUUUCCAGAGUAAUCCAGGCUAAGUAAAUUCAGGCAUGACCCUAAUCAUAAUAAUCAUCCAAGAUUCGAUUAAUUAGUCACCAAUGCAUGCUCAAAUCAUUUCCAGAAAACACCUUAGAGUUGCAUUUCAAAUCAGUUUCUCGGCUAAGACAUUUUCCCCUUAAAACAGAAUUUCCUUAAGCCUUACCAUUAUCAUCCGCAAGCACAAUCAACAUGCAUGGUCUUAAUCAUCAAGUAUUCUCACGGCUAAUUCCAUUAGAGUGCUCAGAUCGUCACAGGAAAACCAAAUGAAGCCGCAAUUCAAAUCAGCUUCUCAGCCGAAACAUUUACUUCCAAAACAGAUUUUCCUAUGACUUUGAUUUCAUUAACUGGCUGUCUAAACCGUGCAUGCAUGUCCCUAAAGGUUCAAUCUACCUCUGAUAACUCCUAAUAUGAUCCAGAAAUUACCUCACAGCAAGCUAAGUUCUCGGACAGAAAGCUGAGGUCUAUCCCUCUCCCUCGGCUCUUCUCCUCACGCACGGCAAGCUGGUUCUGGUUGGAGCUGGUGGAUGUUGGUCUGAAGUUAACGAAGAUGGUGAUGGUCAGCAGCUCCUACGACUUCCACUAACUCUCCCCUUUCUUUCCUCUAGCUCACGAACAGAAAUGGGAGGUAUUGCAGCUCGGUCUCUCCCUCUCUAUCUCUGGCGAUGAUAACAAAGUGGGAGUAGUGUGUUAUCUGAGGUAGGAAGUGUGCAGAGGUUAUGGACUGGGAUUGUGAAGUGGUGCUGCGGUUUUGAGGAUGGUUGAGUGUCGGCAGAGAUGGUGUGCUGCAGUGGUGAAGCUGCGGUUGGCCGAAUGGAGCGGCUUGUGAUCAUGGUGUCCGGGGAGUUGUUUGGCUGCCUGGAAUGGUUGUGGCCGUGGGGUAAUUGUGAAGUUGUGAGGGGUAUUUUAGUCUUUUCACUUCUCCUCCUAUUAUCCACUUAAGCCCUUGGUUCUAACUUAGCUCCAAAAAUUGUCCCAAGUAUGAUUUGAUCGCCUAAUUAUACGCUAAUAUACCUAAACCAUUUUUAUCGAAUAAUAAUCAAUUAAACUUGAAUAUUAAGGUUCCUAGUAAUUCUUAUAUUAUUUAGCGAUUGAAUUAGUUAUUAGAAUUUCCAAUUAUUAUAUCUCAAGAAUUAGAGUUAAUCUAACUCGAAAUUUAUCGUUUUAGUAAUAUAAAGUCAAGUGAAACAAUAAUUUAAUCCAAGGGUGUCAGUUUGCACAUAAAGAUUAUCUUUACGCACUUAUUGUGAAAACAGAGAAGGAUAAGACUAUAAUUAUCGAAAUUUUCACGCCUUAAGUAUGUUUAGUAUAUUUGUAUCAUAUUUAUCUAAAAUUCAUUGGUUUUCAUCUUAACGCGGAAAUUCCUAUUAACAUUUAACAUUAUUAACGAUUAAAACUAGUUAUCGGAAAUCAAAGAAUUUAUUUUAAAGUAAUAGAAUUAAUCCAACUCAAGAAAUAUUAGUUUAGUAUAGCAAAACCGAAUAAUUCAAUAUUGGCACAAUUAUAUUAUUUAUUACAUAGAAAUUAUCUUUACACUUUUAUUUCAAAACAAUUAAUUACAAUACUAGAAUUCAAAGAAAUUAAUUAUUAGAUCAAUGAAAUAGUUUACCAUUGAAAUAUGAAGUUAAUGUAACAAAACUAAGAAGUUUAGUAGUUUAGCACAAUUCUUUUAUUUUGCACCUAACGUUUAUUUCUACGUACUUAUUUAAAAACAAUUGGACUUAAUGCUAAAAUUUAUUAAAGAAUUAAAAUGUAAAUAAAAUAUGCCCUGAUAUUUAUAUGUCUAUUUUCAGGGUUCUCACAGGCCCAGCCGGGAGAGGCCAAGGUGGAAACUUCCAGAAGGGUUCAGGUUCGGCGUCCCGUGGACCUUGCGGGUACUGCGAAAAGCCGAAUCAUUCUGAAGAUAAUUGCUGGAAGAAGGGAGGCAAAUGUUUGCGUUGCGGAAGUGCAGACCACCAGCUUGCUACCUGUCCAUUUUUAUCGCAAGAAGGAAGGGGAGCUCAAACCACGUCAAAGACCAAUACGGGACCGAAUAAGGGGAAUGAGGCGAAACCUAAAGUGCCAGCUCGAGUCUAUUCCUUAGAACCUCGACAGGUCCCAAAUUCCUCAGAGGUCGUAGAAGGUACGAUCCCUAUUUUCCACCGUUUUGCCAAAGUUUUAAUUGAUCUUGGUGCCACUCAUUCCUUUGUUAACCCUGAUUUCAUGUGUGGCAUCGAUAUAAAACCUGCUAGUUUACCAUACGACCUAAAAGUUAGUACACCUACGGGGAAUCAACGGUUGGUUACUAGUAUGGUUUAUAGGGAUUGUGAAGUGUGGGUAGGAGAAAAGAGAUUGUUAGGGGAUUUGAUAAGUCUGGUCAUUAAGGGGUAUGAUGUGAUUUUGGGUAUGGAUUGGCUAGCCAAGUACAAUGCCGAACUGGACUGUAAAACAAAAGUGGUAGAAUUCCGCAUUCCUGGUGACGCGACCUUAAGGUUGGAUAUAAGGGGAAGGUUAGCCUCAUUUGCUUUGAUUUCGGGCAUUCGGGAUAGGAAAUUGCUAAGUCGAGGGGCGCAAGGAUUUUUGGCCUUUUUUAUUAACACCCCCACAGAUAAGUUGAAAGUGGAGGAUGUGCCCAUAGUGAAGGAAUUUUCGGACGUGUUUCCUGAUGAGUUGGUAGCUUUGCCUCCGGAAAGAGAAAUUGAGUUCAAAAUAGACCUGCUACCGGGAUCCUCACCUAUCUCAAAGACACCAUACCGAAUGGCCCCUGCCGAACUCAAGGAGCUAAAGUUGCAAUUACAGGACCUUCUGGAGCGGGGAUUCAUUCAAGAGAGUGGGUCUCCUUGGGGAGCUCCUGUACUUUUUGUGAAGAAAAAGGAUGGUGGGUUAAGGAUGUGUAUUGAUUAUCGGGGCCUGAAUAAUAUUACAAUUAAAAAUAAGUAUCCACUGCCCCACAUAGAUGAGCUAUUUGAUCAAUUGCAAGGAGCGGUGGUCUUCUCGAAAUUGGACCUCCGCCAAGGGUAUUACCAGUUAUUAAUCAGGAAGGAGGAUAUUCCGAAGACCGCCUUCAACUCGAGAUAUGGGCAUUACGAGUUCGCAGUCAUGCCCUUCGGACUGACCAAUGCUCCUGCCGCCUUCAUGGAUCUAAUGCAUAGAGUUUUUAAGCCCUACCUGGAUCGCUUUGUAGUGGUCUUCAUCGAUGAUAUUCUGGUCUAUUCCAAGACCCGUGAAGAGCAUGAGCAGCACUUGAGGAUUGUUUUACAAACCCUAAGAGACCAUCAACUAUACGCCAAGUUCAGCAAGUGUGAAUUUUGGCUGGAGAAAAUUGCUUUUCUGGGGCACGUAAUUUCUCAAGAGGGUAUUUCAGUUGACCCGGCGAAAGUAGAAGCUGUGACUAAUUGGAAGAGGCCUGAAAAUCCCACAGAGGCCCGCAGCUUUCUAGGACUGGCUGGAUAUUAUCGGCGUUUCAUCAAAAACUUUUCCAAACUAGCCGGUCCUCUAACUGACUUAACAAAGAAACAUGGUCGGUUCAUUUGGAAUGCCCGAAGUGAGACAAGUUUUCAAGAAUUAAAGAAGAGAUUGACCAUGGCUCCAGUUCUCAUCUUACCUAACGGAGGUGACGGGUUUGCUGUAUAUACGGACGCGUCACGAGAAGGCUUGGGUUGUGUAUUAAUGCAAAACCGAAAUGUGAUAUCUUUUGCCUCAAGGAAGUUGAAACCCCACGAGCAGAAUUACCCAACCCACGAUCUGGAGCUAGCUGUCGUUGUUUUCGCUCUUAAAAAGUGGAGACACUACUUAUAUGGGGUAACUUUCGAAAUUUACUCCGACCACAAAAGCUUGAGGUAUCUCUUCUCACAGAAGGAAUUGAACAUGAGGCAACGGCGGUGGAUGGAAUUUCUGGAAGAUUACGACUGUACCAUCAAUUAUCAUCCGGGAAAAGCAAACGAGGUAGCCGAUGCCCUAAGUCGCAAAACUCAGGUCGCAAGCUUAAUGAUUAAAGAGUGGAAUUUGCUUGAGUUGGUUUGCGAAUGGAAACCCUGCCUUGGGAGCCAUAAGGUGAUUUUUGGCAAUAUUCAAGUGACUUCCACUUUCUUGGAAAGAAUUAAAGAAGCUCAAAAGGAAGAUUCAUUGGUACAGAAGUGGGGAGAGAAAGUGGGAAAAGGAGAAACCACUGAUUUCAAUUUUGGUCCUGAGGGUAUUUUAAAAUACCGAAAUCGAAUAGUGGUGCCGAAGGAUGAAUCAUUGAAAACGGAGAUUCUCGAGGAAGCUCAUCGAUCCAAGUAUACAAUCCAUCCGGGUAGCAGUAAAAUGUACCAAGACCUGAAAGGAACCUAUUGGUGGGACAAAAUGAAGAAGGAAAUCGCUUUGUAUGUGCAAAAAUGUCUCAUUUUCCAACAGGUUGAAGCCGAGCAUCAAAAACCAGCGGGUUUGUUACAACCCCUUGAGAUACCUGAAUGGAAGUAGGAAAACAUCACCAUGGACUUCGUUUCAGGUUUGUCGCGAACGCAAAGAGGGCACAAUGCCGUUUGGGUGAUCAUCGAUCGGUUAACCAAGUCGGCCCAUUUCUUGCCGGUGAACAUGAAGUAUUCCAUGGACAAGUUGGCCCAACUGUACAUGGACGAGAUCGUAAAGCUGCACGGUGUUCCUGUAAGCAUCGUCUCCGAUAGAGAUCCCCGGUUUAUAUCUCGGUUUUGGCAGAAGUUCCAGGAGACUCUAGGGACUAAACUGAAUCUAAGCACCACCUAUCACCCUCAGACGGAUGGACAAUCGGAACGAACCUUUCAAACUCUCGAGGACAUGCUACGAACUUGCAUUCUGGAUUUUGGAGGCAACUGGGGUCAACACAUGACCUUAGUAGAGUUUGCAUACAACAACAGCUACCAUUCGUCGAUUCAAAUGGCUCCAUAUGAAGCACUAUAUGGACGAAAAUGCAGAUCACCAAUCUAUUGGGAUGAAGUUGGCGAGAGGAAGGCACUGGAUCCAGCAACUAUUCCUUGGAUGGAGGAAGCUCGAGAAAAGGUCAAGUUGAUACGGCAACGACUCCAAACAGCUCAAAGCCGACAAAAGAGCUACGCAGACAAUAGAAGGAAAGAUUUGGAGUUCGAGGUUGGAGACCAUGUAUUUCUUAAAGUCACCCCUUUACGGAGAGUCACGGCAGGCAAAGGAAUGAAGCUUCAACCGAGGUUUGUCGGACCUUACAAGAUCUUGCAGAGGAUAGGUGCAGUAGCGUAUAGACUAGAACUGCCGUCAAGUCUCUCGAGAAUUCACGACGUUUUUCACGUUUCAAUGCUCAAGAAGUACUAUCCCGACCCCUCCCAUGUCUUACAACCAGAGGAGAUCGACGUGGACGAAUCGCUUGCUUCCGAAGAAAAACCUGUCCAAGUGCUUGACCGGAAAGUCAAAGAGCUAAGAAACAAGCAGAUUCCAUUGGUGAAGAUACUGUGGAGAAACCAUGGGGUAGAGGAAGCUACCUGGGAAGUGGAAGAAGAAAUGCGAACGAAAUACCCUAACCUUUUCGUGAGUUAAGGUGAGAAAUUUCGAGGGCGAAAUUCUUUUAAGGGGAAGAGAGUGUGAGAACCCGUAAUUUGUUAUUUUCUAGGUUUUAGGAUUUUCAUGGCUUGUUUUCUGCAUUUUCUUGAUUAGAAACAUUUCGAGAUAAUUUUAAGGAGCAGAUAUAAUUUUUAGAUGAUUUUUCUAGUAUCAAAUAGAUUUUGAGAAAUUAAGAGCGUAUACCGGACGUGGGACCCACUAGUGCGAGAAGUUCGGAAAAAUUCGGCCAACUAGGUUAAGUUUUGAAUACUAGAAUUAAUUUACCGGGUGUUAAGAGAUAAGUAGAGGGUGCUAAGUGGAUUGGUAUAAGAGAGACAAAUUAGGUAAGUAUUUAAUAAAAGGUGACAAGUGUCACCAUUUGAGUGGGUUUACCUUUAAGAACACUAUUCAUGGUCUUACCAAUUGACUAAAUAAAUCAAAAAACAACCAAAAUUUCUCCAUUUUGCUCUUCAUUGUGGCCGGCUCUUUCUCUCAAAAAGAAAGGAAGAAACUCUUCAAGUUUUGCUUCCAUUUAGCUCAAAUCCAUCCAACCAACCAUUGAAACUUUCAAUUUCUCCAUAAAACCUCUUCAAUUAGAGUUAGUGAGUUGAUUUGUGAAGUUAUUUGGAAAGCUAGGAGGACCUAUUGCUCUCUCUCUCUUGUUUCUAAGGUGAGUUGUGAAGAACUACUCUCCUCUCUUAAUUGAUGCUUAAAUCAUGCUUAGUGGUAGUAUGAGAUGCAAGUUUAUGGAUUAUUUCUUGAUUUGUGGUUGUAGUGAUGAAGUUUUAUUAUUUUUGGGGAUUUUUCUGUUUUAAUAUGAGCAUGAUUGUGUGGCUAUCUAUGAUGAUUGGAAAUGGUAUAUAAUGACUCUAAGAGGUGGGAAAAGUGGUUAAUUGCAAACAAUUGCUGAAUUGGAAGAAAUUUUGGAAAGUUAGGUUUUGGUUAGGGAACAUUCUGCCCGAAUUUAUAGGUCCUAGUUAGAGGCCGAAUUGGCCUUGGCUUAAAACAUUAAAGUUGUAGGGAAUGACAUUUUAUAGGUACCUAAAAAAAUUCAGGUCAAUCGGAGUAGCGUAGAAUGAGAAAAGUCGAAAUUACCCUUGCUGUUCUGGUUUUAUCCGAAUGUAAGAAUUGCACCUGUAAUUGGUUGUUUUGGCUGGAAUUGCUUCAGAAUUGGUUGUUGAGAUCUUCUGAUGAAAUGUAGCCCUGUUUCUUAGCUUUAAGUUGGUUUUAGAAUUUCUGGAUUUGGACUUGGAUAGCCUGAUUUAUGAUGUUUCCGCUAGAAUGCGUUCUGUGAAUCUAUUUUUGUGAUUCUGGUGUAGUAUCUUGCAUUUUUGACCUGGUUGAACUCAAAACUGGGUUGAGUGACCUUCUGUAAUGUUGUAGCCCUGUAUUUUAGCUUCGAAACGGUGGGUCUUGUACCUUCAUCCGGUAAUCGUAGUGCCUUGGGUGCCAUUACCGCAAAAAGAGGUCAAAAACUGUUUUUUUCAGGGCCAAAGCUAAUUGCAUUUCCGCAUUUUCUGGUUUCCUCUAAUGUUUGUAUAUGCUUAUGGAACCCUAUUGGGGUUGUAUUUGGCAUUGGUUUAUGACUCGUUAUCGAGUCUCGUUGUACUUGUUUGCAUGUUUUAGGGCGUGACGUUGGUGCACAACGUUCUUUUGACGGAAGUGCAUGAAACCACAUUUGCGAGCUUGGUGAGUGUACUACUCACUUGUGUGUUAAUAUAUGGCUUUGAUACUUGAACUUGGUGCUUUGAAUGUUAAUUGCUUGAAGUGAAAGUGUACUUUAUCACUCUCACUAUGUGCCUUAUAUCCUUGUUAUCAUGUGAUUGGAAUGUUACACGAAGUGUUACUUGAAAUGAAAGUACAUGACUUGGUGUCGUUUGGACGAGUAUCCAACGACUACAAUUGUUAUCAAUGAGCUCAACCCCAUUGGUAGUUGAUUGAAUCGAGCCGGCGAGGGCUUGGUCGUACCAAUUAAUGUGCCUUGGGGAAGUGUUAUAUGGAAUCUUAUAGUAUGAGAGACUUUUGAUUCCGGUUUACUCGAGUAAUACCAAAGUGCAAGUGUUUGGAUUUCGGGCCCGGUAGGGGGAUGUUAGGUGGAAGGAACGGAAGUAAAGUGGAGUCUACGGUUGGUUACUUUUAAACAUUGACGGAGAGUCAAUGCGAUCCGAUCAAGAAUGCCAACGAGGAAAAGGGCUCUUGAGAGCCGCCCGUAUCCUUUUAUCCUCAUUAUUGAUGUGUGUUUUUAUUACUCUUGAUGAAUUGGACUGAGAAGCUUGAUGCAUCUAUGAACUUGGUUGCUUGAGUAGUAAUCUCACUGGGCAAUUAGCUCACACCGUUCCUUUUGUUUUCCUUACAGGAAUAUGACUCUUUUGGAAUGAAUCUUGAUAGAUGGUUGCCGAAUGAACUUGAUGAAUAUCUCUUUUGUUUUGUAUUUGAAGUGAAACCCUAAAUGCUUCUUUAGGGCCAUUUUCACUUUUAAUUUGGCAACCCGUGUAUAUAUGAACUUUUGAAAACUUUUGUAUGCCACUUUGGGUUGUAAUUGCUAAAGUUCAAGAUGUGAAUGUUUGCUUGCUAUUUGGUUGGAUUCAGACGGGUCGGUUACUAUUCAUGACCGACUCCAGAUUAAUUUUUUUUUAUUUUGGAUUAUUUUGCCAUUUUGACUCGUUUGCGCGCGUUAUAAGUUCCGGAACGCAAUAGAUCCCUCUAACUACACUGUUAGUCCUGGCGAGAGUUGGGCAGGCAGUCCGCUAACCCCUCUGGUUCGCCUUAGGGGAAGGUGGGGCUGUCACAUCAGUGACUUGGUAGAAUAAUUUUAGCUUCUCACAAAUGGCAUUACAAACUACCCAAUCAUCAUCAUUUGGUAAACUAGUGUGGUCUUUCUCACGCACCUUAACCCAUCGAAAUACGUCUUUAUAAAUUGCAGCUGUUUGUAACAUUAGAAAAGUUGAAUUGCAAUGGGUUUUACGUUCCAAAUACAACUUUUUAGUAGAAGAAAUGCGCAAUUGGCAAGCCGCUUCUUCAAAAUUUUCAAUUCUAGCAGCAGAAUCAGUCCAAUACACCACACUAUCACGAAUUCUUUCAAUAGCACCCGAUAUCAUUUCUAAACCAUCUUUGACAAUCAAAUUUAAGAUAUGGGCAGCACAACGCAUUUGAACCACUAGACCAUCUAUCAACAAAUCACUCACAUUCAACUUUUCCAACGAACAAUUAAUCAUACCAUCAUUGGUGGAACAGUUAUCUAAGGUAAUCGUAGAUAUCUUACAAUCAAUAUUCCAAUCCGUCAAUGAACUAAGAAGCAUAUCACUUAACACUUCUUUGGUAUGUGGAGCAAGAACAUAGAUAAACCUAAAUACAAGAAAAAAAAAGUUGCUCAUGUAUAACAAACAAUUAACAUAAUUCAAGUUUUUAACUUUUGAAAACAUACCUCAAAAUUUGACUUUGUAAGAUCCAAGAAUCAUCAAUAUAAUGUGCAGUGAUAUCCAUGAAGCCUCUCUUUGUGUUGCUGGAAGUCCACAUAUCAGUUGUAAUUGCUAUCUUACUUCCAAGAUUCUCCAAGAUAUUACAAUUCUUCAAUCUUUGCAAUUCAUAGAUCUUCAAAAUAUCUCCUUUAAUUGUAUUUCUUGAAAAAAGUUUAAAACAUGGCUACAAACUCUUAACAAAAUUUUGAAAGCCUAUACGAUCCACAAUAGAUAAUGAAUACUCAAGUAACACAAUUGCAGAUGCAAGCUCAUGGCGUGACUGUUGUUGAUCAAACACAUAAUUGUGCACUUCUAGUUUGCCAUCAAUCUUUUUACUACCACUUCAAAGAAACAUUUGUCUGAUAUCUUGUUUAGGCUUUUUAGCACACCUUUUUGUACUGAUCAUGCAAAGCACUCGUCCCAUGAGUGCUACCUGUCUUGUAUUUUUUUUUUUACAAUACUUGCACACACCAUAAAAAAUGCCAUCUUCACCUUUCUCUCUAUCAAAAUGUGCCCAAAUUUUUUAUUUAAAUUUUUUUUUUCCUCCUUCAAUUUCAUAUUCAUCUUCUUCUACUGCAUCUGUCAAGUCAAUUGAUUCAACAUUCAUUGAUUGUGGAGUUGGUGAAUUAUCCCAUUGUUCAGAUGCAAUUAGAUUUUCGGACUGAUUCAUUGUGAUAAGAAUUUUACAAAGGUAAGAAAGCAAAUAGCACAAUAAAUAGACUGCUUACAACAAUGAAUUUCAAAAUAAAUCAUAUAAUACAGAAAUUUUGGAUAAAAAUUUAUUUUUUUAGUACGUAAAAUUGCAUAACUAGCAUAGAGAGACUAAAAUUGUGGGGAGGGGAAACGGAAGCUCAAAUUGAUGAAGUAAAAUGAAUGGCUUCCUGUACGAUGUUUGGUUUGGCAGUGUCAUUGAAAGUAGCCAAAAAUUUAUUGAUGGGUUUGGGUCCUACAACACAAAAAAGGAAGCAAUCCGUUGGACCCAUUCACUAGGAGGAUUUUCUUUUGAUAGUAAAUAGUUUGUCAUCUUGAGUCUUUUGUAGCAUACAUCAUAUACCAUCCAAAUUUGGUGACAUCUCAUUAUAUUCGUAAUUUCUGCUUUCAAUUUUUGCUGAAUACUACAGUAAUCCACAUUAAAAAACCCAACCUUCGAAAAGGUCAACAAAUAAAAGAAAGAUAGUACAUGCAAAAUAGCCAAGAAUGCAAGUAUCAAAUUUCUGAUGCUUGAGAUUAGCAUUAGCCAAGAAGAACUACGAUUGGUUAUCAACCAGUGUUGAUCUUAGUCCCUAACUUUUGAUGUUUACAAAAUAAAUGGAUGAUACUAAUAUCUUUUCAAAAUAUACUUUCAGUUAUGAAGCAAAUCAGAUUCAAAGAGCAAGUGCAAUUGAAAUAAACAAAGGUUGUUAAAAGCUAUCGGACACUUGUGAAGACAGGAUCGGACGUCCGAUAAUCAUUGCGCAACUUCGGACGCAUGAAGAACUCUAUCACUGGACGUCUGAAGGAAAUAAGACAUUCCCCCUAACUUACUGACCUAGAUUGGACGCAAGCAUCGGACGUCCGAUAGGAUCUUUCAAACUCGACGAAUGCUGUCAGACGCUCACAAAGACAAUACCGGACGUCCGAUAGAAUUGAGAUAUUUCUUCUAACUCAUUGUCUGUUUUCGGACGCAAGCACCGAACGUCUGAUAGAAUUAAAGAAGAUUUUUCAAACUCAUUGCCUGCCAUCAGAUACAUGCUUCGGAUGUACCGGACGUCCGAUACUCCCAACAGCUAGUUGACUUUUCAGCUACUUUCUAUCCGUUGGAAACAUUAAUGAAGCACUUUCUUGGUCUCCUAUAAAUAGAGCAUGGUUAGAAACUUCAAAAAACUUUUGCACACUGAAGAUACAAAAGAUAUAGAGUAGUUUUAGUGAGAAAAUACUCUCCAAGAAAGAUUUGUAAUCUUGCUGGUGUGAAGUUUAUUGUAAGCUUUUCAUUUGUGAGCGAAUACCUCAAUAGUGUAACUCUGUGAGAGUUGUCCGAAUGAUAGUAAAACUUUCUAACUUGACCAAGUGUUGGUUGGGGCAAGGAGGAAGUGAUCCUUCCUUUGUACACAAAGAUUGGUUGUAUUUCAUCAACUUGAAAAAACUUGUUUGAAUUGAUCUUCAAGUUCAAGAGGAGCUUAGUAGUCAAUUGGUUUGUAAUUCCUUUUUUCUCAUUUAUUUAUUGUUAUGUUAUGAUCCUGAAAUUGCUUAUCUCUUCUACUUCUCUCAAGCGAUAUUGUUCAUUCAUUGAUUGAUUCAUUGUGUGAUCACUUAGAAAAGAGGGUAAAUUUCACAUUUAGCCAAAAAAGUACCCAUAAUUUGAUUAACUUUUUAAUCAACCUAAUUCACCCAUAUCUUAGAUUGUCGUCGAUCCUUACAAUUGGUAUCAAAACUUGGUCUCCUAGAGAUUAAGCUCAAGCGGCUUAGGAAUAAUGAUGACAACGAACAAUGUCAUAUUUUUUGAAGGACAAUCUGUGAUUAGACCUCCUAUGUUUAAUGGGUCAAAUUAUGUGAGUUAGAAAGAAAGAAUGAUUAUCUUUUUGCAAUCAAUUGAUAUUGAGUUGUGGUUUAUUGUUAGUGAAGGUCCAUAUGAUGGCUCUGUUAUAGAUGAAAAUACUCAUAGAUCUAGACCAAAAACAAGGAAUGAAUUGACUGCUGAGAAUAGAACUCAUCUCACCUUAAAUGCAAAAGUCUUGAAUGUGUUAUAUAGUGCUUUAAACUCAAAUGAAUCUAUUAGAGUCAAGGGUUGCAAGUCAGCAAAAGAAAUUUGGGAUAAAUUGAAAGAAAUUCAUGAAGGUAGUGAGAAUGUUAGAGAACAAAAGAAAUCCAUCUUAGUUACUAAAUAUGAAUCGUUUAAAAUGGAACCUCAUGAAAAUAUUGAUCAAAUGUAUUGUAGAUUCAAUGAUUUUAUUAAGGAUUUAGCGGUUUUGAAAAAGGAAUAUAUCUUAGGAGAGAGAAAUAGAAAAAUCUUGAAUGCUAUGUCUCGUGAUUGUGAAAGUAAAGUGACUGCUAUUGAAGAGACAAAAGAUUUGAAUUCUAUGCCUAUUGAAUCUCUUAUUAAUUCUCUAACCUCUUAUGAGCUGAAGUUUAAGACUAAGGUACAAGAAGAAAAAGAUGUAAAGGUAAGAAGGAGCAUUGCUCUAAAAGCAUCUCAAGAUGUAGAUGAUUCGGUUUCAUUGGAUGGAUAAGAUUUGGAUGUUGAUGACAAUGAUCUUGCUCUCAUCGCACAAAGGUUCAAGAGAAUCCUCAACAAAAGGAGAUUCAGAAGAGGAGGACCUAGCAAUUCAGAUUCUAAUCAAUUCAACAUUGUAAGAAACAAAGGAAAGCAUAAGGCCAACAAAAAGUAUGGUGACAAAUGCUAUGAAUGCGGCCAACUUCGACACUACAUGAGUGAGUGUCCAAUGAAGAAGAAGAAAGAAGGAAGAAAAUCAAGAUUCAACAACUUCCAAUUCACUUGGAAUGAGUGCAACUCUGAUAGUGAAAUUGAAGAGGAAGAAGAAUCUGGUCAAUUAGCUUUUAUGGCCAUUAAAGAUAAUGAGAUAACAACUUCUAACUCUUAACUUAAAAGUGAUGAUGAUGAUCUUGAAUCUUUCAUUAUAAAAUUGCAUAAUAGUUUGAAAGAAUCUUAUACUAGAAACAAGGAGUUAAAAUAGAAAAUUACUUUUUUGCUUCAAGAUAAUGCAAAUCUUUUUAACAAAACAAAAGGUUGAAAGUUGAAAAUGACUACUUCAAAAAGAAUGAGACUGUCUUACAUUUUGAGUUUGAUAGAAAAACAAACCUUUGUGAAUUGUUCAAAAAGGAACAAGGUGAUUUGAAAAGAAAAAUAGAUGAUUUAAAUGAUUUGCUGCAACAUAAAAAAUAAAACUGUUUUCAAGAGAAUGAAUCAAAAACUCAUCUUGACACUUAUGAGUAGAAGAUAAAUUUUGGUGCAAAUGAUUUUGCUGUUUAUAAGAGAAAAAACAAGUAAGAUUUUUUAAACCUGUUUAUACAAAUAACUCGCUGGUUAUGUGUAAUUUUUGUUGUCAAAAAAGUCACAUGAAAAGCAACUACUAUGUGAGGAAGAAUAUGAGAAGAUGCAUGAAAUGCAUGUGGAUAGUUAGACAUGAUACUAACUCUCAAGAACCCAAAAAUGUUUGGGUACCAAAUAUUUGUUCUUGAACUCUUGAGUAAGUGAACUUGGUGAACAUUAUUAAGGGAUCAAAGUGGUUCGUACACAGUGGAUGCUCAUGACACAUGACCGGUGAUCCAUCACAAUUCAUCAAGUUCAAACAAAAGUCUAGUGGCAUAGUGACAUUUGGAGAUGACGUAUUUCUACCUCAAGACCAUUGGGGCUUUUAUAUCUUGAUUUGUUUGAUCUUACAUAAAUUGCUAGCUUGGUUGGUAAGAAAUAUUGUUUAGUCAUUAUUAAUAAUUAUUUUAGAUACAUUUGGGUGAUUUUUCUUGCUCACAAAAAUGAUACUUUCAAAAAAAAAUUUUGUUUCCCUAUUUGUAAAUGUUCAAAAUCUGUUUGGGUUGAAUAUUGUUAAAAUUAGAAGUGUCAAUUGUUCGAAAUUUAAAUAUUGUGACUUUCUGAAAUUUUCGGAUUACACUUUAAACACUCUAGGGUCAUUUGCACUUUAUAUUAGGAUGUAUCUCUUGUAUUUUCUCUUUUGAUGUUUCAAGUGUGGCAGCCCCACCUUACCCUAAGGCGAACCAAAGGGUUCGGCGGACCGCCUGUCCAACUCUCGCUGGGACACAGUCACUCACUACAGUCCUCAAUUCAAUUACAAGAUAAAUCUCCAAUAUACAUCAAAUGUUCCACAAAAUAACAUAUCAUAAGCGAAACGAAAACUAAUUCUAAGCGUGGAACGUACAUCAAGUACUCUGCACUACUAGAUCUUGGUUAACAUUGAUGGUUUUUAGUUGAGUUGCUAAUGUAUUUUGGUUGAUAUUUCUCUGUUUGGUACUUCUUUUGGUAUUAAUUCUCUAUUUUUGGCUGAUGACUGAUAUUGGUAUGUUGGUGAUUGUUGAAUUCUUGUAUCAUUUCUCUAUUUUUUAUUGGUAUUUUAGAUUCUCUGUUAUGGCAACUACAUUAUGGAUUAGGAUUGCGGGAUUUUACUCUCAUCUUAUGAUGACAAAAAGAGGGAGAAAUGGAUGUUAUGUGAAAGGGGGAGUUUUUCUGAAAUUAUAAGUUUGGCUCUUAAAAAUUUUUUAUGCAAUGAGUGAGGGGGAGCUUAUGCUCAUUUGCUCAAUCUUUUUCUUUCUUCCAUCCAUUGUUUUGUCAUCAUCAAAAAGGGGGAGAAUGUUGAUCUUAGUCCCUAACUUUUGAUGUUUACAAAAUAAAUGGAUGAUACUGAUAUCUUUUCAGUUAUGAAGCAAAUCAGAUUCAAAGAUCAAAGGCAAUUGAAAGAAACAAAGGUUGUUGAAAGCUGUCGUGUGACGCCCCGAAAAAAAAAUGAGUUUGAGAACCCGGAAAUUUUCUAAUUUUCUAGGGUUUAUUUUUUAAACGCCCGCCUUUUCUACAUUUUCUUGAUUAGAAAAAUUCCCCAGAUAAAGUUUAUGAGCAAAAAUCAUUUUCAAAUGAUUUUUCUAGUAUCGGUUAGUUUUUGAGAAAUUAAAAGCUUAUUUUGGACGUGGGACCCGCAAGUGCGGUAAAUGCAUUAUAUUUUUGACAACUUGUUGGAAUUUUGUAUUAAGUGAUAUUAUUUUACAAAGUGUUAAGAUAUUUGUAUUGGAGAGACAAAAAGAUAAGUUUUGAACCAAAAGGGUGACAAGUGUCAUCUUCCUAUUCAACCUUGACUUUGACCAUUAUUUCUUACCUUUACUAAUACUCAAUUUUGACCCAAAAAGCACCCAAAUUUCUGCAAGCUUGGCCGACCCUCUCUAGCUAAGAAGAAAGAAAAACUCUCCAAGAUUCUUGCUUCCAUCUUGCUUGAGUGUAAUCAUCCAACCAUUUGAUCUUGUUUCUACUCCAUAAAAUCUCUCCAUUUGGUGCUAGUAAGUGCUUUGGUGAAGUGUUUUGGGAAGCUAAGGUGUCCAACAACUCUCCCUCUCUUGUUUACUAGGUGAGUGGUGAUUGAACUUCCUCCUACACUUAAUGAAGCUUAAGUUGUUCUUAGUGGUAGCUAAAGUGAUGAAUUGUGGUUUAUUUCUUGGUUUGAGAUGAAUUGGUGAAGUUUUCAAUUUAUUGAUGAAUUUUCUGGUUUAAUAUGAAUGUGAUGUUGUGGCUAUCUUUGAUGAUGGGAAUUGAUGUUUAAGGACUCUAGUAGGUGUCUAUGAUAGAUAAUUGUAAUCAAUUUUGGGUUUGGAAGGAAUUUGAGAAAGUUAGGGUUUCAUAACCCCCUUUCUGUCCGGUUUUGUAUCAUAUGGUUAGAGGCCGAAUUGGCCUUGGCUCAAAACAUGAAAGUUGUAGGUAUUGAUGUUUUAAGGGUGUCUGUAAAAUUUCAGGUCAAUUGGAGUAGUGUAGAAUGAGAUAAUCCGAAAUUACUAUUGCUGUUCUGGGUUCAUCAGGAUGUUAGAACUAUGUCUGAAAUGGGUUGUUUUGACUGGAAUUGUUUUGGAUUUGGGUGUUGAGGUCUUCUGAUGAAAUGUAACUUGAUGUCCUAGCUACCAUAUGCCUUUGGAAUUUCUGCAUUUGGACCUGUUUAGACUGAGUUGUACUGAUUACAGCAUAGUGUAAUUUGUAAACCUGCAAUUACGGUUCUGGUUUGUUAUUUGGCAUAUUUGACUUAGUUGUGCUGGGAUUUGGACUGAGUGACCUUCUACAUUGU